CGGUGUCCAUGACGGCGGCGACGAGCUCCUGCUCGUUGACAACGAAGCGGAUCGGGCCAGCACUGCCGAGCACAGUGAUGCUGAUCAAGAGCCUGUUGCCCUUGGCGGUGCUCUGGUUCUUCUUCUGCUUGUACAGCAACAUCUUCGUCGUUUUGUUAUCGAAAUCAAAUAAAUCAAUCGAACAGCAAAAAGCCAGACAACACAAAAUCUAAGUUUCUUUUUUUCUUCCUAGUUCCCUCUUUCCCAACAAGUUAUUGAUUCAAUUCAACAAAAUAAUCAAAAAAAUCGACGGACGGCGGCGGCGAUCAGUGAAAAUCCGGGUGCGAUAAUCAAAAACGGACGAUGAGAAAGAGGAAGAUGGGGGGAGAGAGCUCUGGUUGCAGAUUUACGGGUCGACUCCGAGGCAGCGGUAGUACCAGCCUUCCUUGCAGGAGCCGAAGGCGAAUGCGGACGCGGCGGAGAUCGGGAGGAUAGCGCUCGCCCUUGAUUGUUUCAGGGAGCGCAUGAAAUUACUGCCGCUUAAGAUUUCCACCAUUCACAACUUGCUUGCUUCGAAUCGUGAUGUAAUUUUGAUAAAGGGUAGAAUACCGUGAGUUUCUGGAGAGGACCAAUUGGAACCGUAACAGGAAAUCCGAUCGAAAGAGGAAGAAAAUUGGGAAUUUAGGGUUAGGGUUUCGUCGAGUACAGAGGCGGCUCUCUCUCUCUCUCUCUCUCUCUCUCUCUCUCUCUCUCUCUCUAAUCAAAUCCUCUGUUUUGCUUUGAGCUUUUUGUUGAGAUGAAAUUUUGGGAGAGGAGCCCCUGCUUUUAUAUUUGCAUUUCGGUUUAUUCCUGACUUCGUUCCGUGGAAUGAUUGGGUUUGUUGGGUGUAAAUUUUACUGCCACCGACUUCCCCAAAUUUACCGCUUCCUCCUCGCGUCUUCCUACCGUCAUACCGUGUCAGUUUUUAACCGUUGGAAAUUUUUUUUUUUUUUGGGUCAAAAGAUAGGCUUUAUUUAUAAUCUAAUUGAAAUGUCUACAUCUAUAGCAAGAAUAUUAAAUAAAAACUCAAGGUCUAUAUUGUCCUAAACAAAUGGACCACCAUAUUUGGCAUUGGCUGAUUUUUUCCGAUUAGUAAGGAGCUACCAAUUUCCCAUUAAUAUUCCAGUCAUAACUUUUCACAUUUUGACUAAGAGACUCUUUGAAGAUGUAACUCUCUAUAGACUUUCUCUCACCUUAUUGUUUAAGGUUAAUUUUUGUUUGAAUGUUACAAAAUAUUGUGCUAAAAAUAUAAGGUAUCAGAGAGUUCACGAAGAGUAGUACUUAACCUAAUUACACUUUUUUUCUUGGUGAGCAAGUCCAGAAGAAAACACCUUUGAACUGACCAACAUAUAUCGUUUUGAGGUAUUGGUUAAUUUUUUCCGAUUUGUAAGGAGCUGUCAAUUUCUCUAUAAACUUUAAUUUUAGCCGAUUACCUCUUUGAACUUUAUAAUUGGCUAAUUUCCCUCAUGAACUUUAAUUUUAAUCGAUUAUCCCGUGAACUUUUAUUAUUGACCAAUUUCUCUCUGAGCUUUAAUACCCCCUAAACCCUAAAACUCAAACGGAAAAAGGUACAAAGAGAACUAGCGGAAGAAAAGAAGAAGAAAAUAAUAAUUUGUUGUCUGCAUUAGGGAUAAAAUUACUUUUUUUUUUGCAAUUAUAAAAUUAAAGUUAAGAAGAAAGUUGGCUAAUAGUAAAAGUUUAAGGUUAAUCGACUAAAACUAAAGCUCAAAAAGAAAAUUUGUCAAUUACAAAAGUUUGUGUGAUAACUGGCUAAUAUAAAAGUUCAUUAUAAAAUUGGCAGCUCUUUACAAACUCAGGAGGAGGAUGGAGAACUCGACAAAUACCUUUAUCGUUUUUUCACUCUACUUUGUUAGGAUAAAAAAAAUAAGAUAAAAAUGCGUUUGGUUGGUGGAAUUAGAGAGAAAUUAUUGGAUCUGGUAUUUAUCACCCUUGGGAUGAAAAAUUAAGAAUAAAAAAUGGAAGUAAGAGUAUUCGUAAACCCUUGAGUUGAGAUGAAUCAUGUAUAUGAAAAGGUAUGAGCAAGACAGUUUAUGCAAAUACUCAAUUGAAAAUGACAUUAUUAUUAUUAUUAUACUCCUAUAUAAAAAUAAAUAAUAUUGAACACUAUACAAGUUUUUUCCUCGUUUUCUAAUAUAUAAAAAGGACAUUUCUCAUAUGCGAUGUACGGAUACAAACUGACCUACCCAAAACGCACCAACCGUGCCUUGGUGGGCAAAUGAGAGAGAGAGAGAGAGAGAGAGUGAGAGAUGCUGAAUUAUUUUGUCUAAUACUAAUUUGUCUGGGAUAAGUGGGUGGCAUGGGCUGUAAACCUUUGACAUAAAAGAGCAUAAUCUCUUUGACCCCGACUAAUUAGAGUUAAGAACAUGAUCAAGUGGCAUUUGUUUAGAGUGAAAUUUAGGUAUACAAAAGUCUUGGUUUCUUGGUUGCUUUGUCGACUUAUAGUCAUUCACAGUUGAAUUUGAUAUUAAAGGUGAAGAUCCAAACAUUAAAGACACGUUCAGUCCUUAUUCAGCCUUAAAUAUGCAAUCCAAGGUGAGUAAUUAUGUAUUUUCUAAUUACUUGGUGACUAUAAGUUGGCGUUGUAUCGUUUUUUGGUAAAUGAUAUAUAUUUCUUGUUUGUAUGUUUCUCUCAUGACGGUAAACACACACAAAAAUAUAUAUACAGAAGAUUGGACUCAAGAUUUUGCCAUUUGUUAGCUUGAAAGCUGGCCAGUAAAGUUCAUGCCACGAAAUUGCAUAUAUACAUAUACAUAUAUAUAUAUAUAUAUAUGUAUAUGAGGUAGGAUAGAUUUGAUGAGAUUUCAUGGUGUUCUUAAUCUGAUGGAGAUAUGAGGUAGGAUAGAUUUGAACCGAUAUUUCUCAACGAUGCUAAAACAGCGACAUCACAACACAAGAUAAUUUAAAGGCGCCGUGGAUGUGCAUACAACAUAGCAAAUGAGUGAUAUAAGCCGUAUACGUGGUCCCUCUGAAGAAGAGAAUGCAUGCAUGUGUUAACAUCUCAGCUCUUCCCCACAUGUCUUGAACAAUUUCCAUGUGACUAUUGACAGUAUAUUGAAAGCCAACUUUUUUCGCUCUAGUUUCAUAUUUUUUAUACGUAAAUUAAGUUAAUUGGCCAGAGCAAUGACGUACUCAUUUAAAAUAUAAUUCGAAUCCUCUUUUUUGUAGAUUAGAAAAUGUUUGUUUAGAUAGCACUUCUGCUUAUCCACGUUUUUUUCCUAAGUGUUUCUUCCUUUGAGAAUGUGUUGACAUUUUAACUAAUUAAAAAUCUUUAUAGAAACUUAUAAGUUAUUCCUAAAAGACAAACUUAGCAAGUUUCUUUUAGACAAGUUGUUCAACUGGAGAUUACGGGUCAACAUAAUGUUGAGGGAGAAAUGUUAAGGGGCUCUGUUAAAAGUGAGAUUUUCUAUGGUUUAUUUGUUACUUUAUGUUUUUGACAUAAUAUUUUGGCUUGUUAUAGUAACACUCCACAUUUGUUUUUUCAAUUAAAAUUUAUCUUAAUACAUUCCACAUGUAUUUUCAUAAUUCCCUCACACCCCACACUCUCAACAUAUAUCUUAAAUUUUCUACAUACAUCUCAUACUCUUCACAAUAGUUUCUUUCUUCGGUUUUUGUCUCUGCUACGUACCAUUUGAUACAAAAUCAUUCACGUCAUACAAGGAUCAAUUUGCUCAACUUUUUCCCUUACAUUAUUGUUUAGUAACAAGGAUUUGCUCAACAUUUUUCUAACUAGUGAACAUUGAUUACUGAGGGGGUGUACCCCAAAAAUGACAAUACAUUUUAACCUUCAUCCACUUGUGACGGUACAUUUUGAACAAGGUUUGGGCCCCAAGUUCAGGCAGCCCCACGAAACUGGAAUUCACUUCUCAAUGUUUGAGGAUACAAUGUUACUGAAAGUAGUUGACUUGGAUAUAUAUCCUAUAGAUGUGCCCUCCUGCCUACGAUAGAUCAGAGGGAAGCCCCGUGUCUAUAACAACAAACUCCUAGAUAACUCAAACUGUUUUAGAAAGAGAAAGGUGAAUUCCAAGUUAGUCUUAGGGUUGUCAAGCAGAUUCUUUGGGUGAAUGGGAUGAGGUAUGAACUACAUGAGAUAUAUGGCAUUGGUAAUUCAGUUGAAGGUGACGUGCACAAAUAAUGUGUAAUUUUCAUGUCUGAACCAUAAAAAUUGACGUAAACUGUGAUGUAUCAGGGAGUCCUUAAAAAGUUCAACUUUAAGAGAGUCUCUUUAGCAUUAUCGUGCUAAGGUUAUGAAUCGGAGUGAUCAAAUUGUAGGUAUAUAGUACAAUAAUAUGAUAUUACUUGAUACAAAAGGUGCAACUUGAGAAGGUUCAUGUGACCCCUCUACGCCUAUAUAUACAUGCAUUCGGCCAACAACAUUUGUCCCUUCAAUGGGCCAAUACGCCGUCGGACACGUCGGACAGUUAGACUUGUUAGUCAAAUUCCCAAACGAGCCGACCCAGGCAUGUGAUCCAAUUGAAAAGGUAGAUGGGUCAAUCCAAAACCUAAUAUACACAAAAUCAUAGGCCGGCCCAACCGAAAUCCAAAUAGCGACUCACUCAAGGGGUGGCAAAGCGACAAGGGCGGCGGACCACUUCCAAACCCUUAAGUCAAUUUCAGCAGUGAUCGGUGGUUGUGUGGUCUGUCUGUGAAUGGUUGCCCUAAUGACAUUUCCACCACUUUCAUGCCCUUCAAUUCCAUGCAACGCAUCCUCGUAAAUAUCUUCUUAUCAUAUCAUAUCUUCACCAAUCCAGGAAAAAAAAAAAAAAAUCUCAAAAAAAAAGAACCAGGAAGUUGUUAUUGUUAUUGUUUUCGCGAAUUACGAUGAACAACAUCCUCGGACUUCUCCGGCUUCGGAUAAAGCGAGGAAUAAACCUCGCCAUCCGCGACGUCAAGACGAGUGAUCCGUACGUGAUGGUUACCAUGGGAUCGCAGAAACUGAAGACGAAAGUGAUAAAAAGGAACUGCAACCCUCAAUGGGACCAGGAUCUGACGCUUUCGAUCACCGACUUGGAAGAACCCAUCCAUCUGCAAGUGUACGACAAAGACACGUUAACCGUGGACGACAAGAUGGGGGAUGCAGACAUAGACAUCAAACCCUACGUCGAGUGUCUGAAGAUGGGGUUGGACGCGGACGCCCUCCCGAAGGGCUGCGCCCUUAUGAAAGUUCUGCCCAACAGGACCAACUGCCUCUCCACCGAGAGCUGUUGCGGUUGGGAAAAUGGCAAGAUUGUUCAGGACAUGAUUCUCAAACUGCGAAACGUCGAGUGCGGUGAAAUCGUGGUGCAGAUUGAGUGGAUCAACCUUCCUGGUUCUAAAGGUUUAGAAGGAGUCUAGGUACAACAUAAAUCUGUUUGCUCUCUUAUUUAAGUGUGUUUUGUUUAAUGUAUAUCUAUGUUUCAAGCAAGAAUGCCGUGCGUGUCUUGUGCUUGGGAUGACUACUUUUUUGUAUUUUCUUCCAUGUGAAAUUAUAUGAAUCAUGCAACGCUACUUAAAUACUCAAUUUUUUUUUGUUUUGUCUGAAAUAUUCGCUUUUGGAGUUUCUGCAAGAUCUUUGGGCACGUUGAGUGGACCGAACAAGAUAGGAUUCCGUACUUCAGACUGCUUAGGCUAGGAUUAGAUUCGAUAGGUUGUGCCUUUUGUCUAUUCUUUGGUCUAGACUAACUCAACUGAAUUUGGAUUAGAUCGAAAACCUACCUGCAUUUUGAUCGACCCACGCUGCAAACUGGAAAAAUAAAUGAAAAAUUAUUGGCGGGGACCAAAUUCAUCACAAUUUUCCAAUGGCUAGAACGUCUCUGAAACGUUUAGCUUAUGGUGAGACCAAACUACCACAACAUAAAAAGGUUUUAUGAUGAGAGAUUAAGCGGUUCUCUUUUGCUUCAAUUUGUUUUAAUUCGGUUUGGAUCAUAUUUAAUUAGUUAAGAACCGUGGACUGAGCCAUGUGUAGCCAGUCUAGUUCGGUUUUUGAAGGUUUUAACUAUUUUUCGUCAACAAUCAAUUGGUCAGUGAAGAUGCAUAUUGGGACCUUAGUGGUCCCAAGACCACUCGGACCACUCGGAGUUUGAGAAAUAUACAUAUGAAGAUCUUUUGAGGACUCUCCAAAUAUUUGGCAUGAGUCAUUUUUAUGCUUAGUGUUUGACGAAAUACUUCUCUCAUGUUGUGUCGACAACACUCUUGUUCUCUCAAUAGCAUUCAUUAGAUUGCUUGUCAUAUGUCAAUAUCUGUUGACAUGUGUGCAACUUGGUUUGGCUGACAACAACAGGCUCACUAAGUGUUCAAUAAUGUCUCAGUGUGAAUAAAUUGAUUUUUUUUUUUGUCUCGCGUUUUGUUUCUAUCUAAAGACCUUUCGAAUCCUGGAUCGGCCACUAGCAAUAGCACCAAGAAUAUGCCAUUGCUUCUUAUGGACUUGGGAGAGAAUCAUCAAUAGCACAUCUUGUAAAAAGAAGGGGCAUUGCCUUGACUACAAGAAGAAAGAAGCAAAAAAUCUGGGCAUUUGGAAUUUUUGUUCAAAGAUAUUUAUUUUCUUCCAAGUUUUAUUUGUAUGGAUAUUCAAAUGUAGGGCUAUAGUUUAUUGAGGUAUCUUAUCUUCCAAACUUGUUUGUUUGGUCCCAAAAUCCCCCUCUUCAAAACAAGCAUUUGAAAAAAAGAACCAAGGGCGCCAAAUUGAACACUACUCUGAAUUUGUUUAAUCUCAUCGAUGGCUUCCACUUCAACUUAUUCAACAAUUUAUUUGCAAACAAAUGCUCAAAAACUAUCCUUCCCCUCAAAGCCAGCAACCAAAACAUCCCACACAAACCUUAGCUUUCCGUGCUCAUUGCAAUUCGCUACUAAAUUUGUAUGUGUGAAGUCUUCUAGCACUGCCUACAAUGAAGUUGUGGUGGAUGAAGAGAUGGACAGAAUCAGGAGGCUCCAGAACGGGUCUGAUGUUCGCGGUGUGGCCUUGGAAGGCGAGAAGGGGCGGAUUGUGGACCUAACACCAGCGGCUGUGGAGGCCAUUGCGGAGAGUUUUGGUGAGUGGGUUAUCGACGGCUUGGAGAAGCAGCAAGGACAACUUGUGGAGAAAGUUAGGGUGUCCCUUGGCAAGGACCCAAGGAUUUCAGGACCAAAUUUGAGUGUAGCUGUAUUUUCGGGACUAGGUCGUGCAGGUUGUUUGGUAUUCGAUAUGGGACUUGCAACUACACCGGCCUGCUUCAUGAGUACAAUUUUGCCUCCAUUUUCCUACGACGCUUCCAUCAUGGUAUAAUAUAUUCAGCAACAUCUACAAACUGGCACUGUUUACACUAGUAAAAUGUAAAGUUAGACUAGGACUUAUGAGGCAUUUCCUAAUUUAAUGGGACGGGACCAUAAGUCUCCUUUCCUUCGGGGUCAAGGGUGGAUGCUUACUUCUUGUGACCUUAAGAGCUUAUCUCGCCUAAUUCUUUACUUAGAAACAAAUCGAGGCAUGUUAAAUGUGAGGUUGAAAUCAGAGUUCCUUCAAGUCAAUUCUCAUAUCACAUAAGAUGUAAAACAAUUACUAUGAUCAUUUGAUUUCGAACGUUGUACUGCAGAUGACCGCAUCUCACUUACCCUACACCCGAAAUGGUCUCAAAUUUUUCACCAAGAAAGGAGGACUAAGCUCGCCAGAAGUGGAAGACAUAUGCAAUAGAGCAGCCCGAAAGUAUGCCAAUAGGCUCGCCAAAGUGUCAACAUUGCUCAAUGUCCCUCCAUCAAGAGUUGAUUUCAUGAGCUCGUAUGCAAAGCACCUCCGAGACAUUAUCAAGGAGAGAGUUAACCAUCCGUUGCAUUACGAAACUCCACUCCAAGGAUUCCAGGUUCGGAAUUGAAUUAGCUAUCAGGAAAUGAAUUCCGCACACGUCUUUUCUCCUACUGCGCACACCAAUUUAUUUAUAUCUCUUGAUUCUUCAUUGAUUUAUUCACUCGGAAUGAUGACUAAUUGCUUUUUAAUUAAUGCAGAUAGUAGUGAAUGCAGGUAAUGGAUCAGGAGGAUUUUUCACAUGGGAUGUGUUGGAUAAGCUUGGGGCAGACACCUUUGGCUCUCUAUACCUUAAUCCAGAUGGAAUGUUUCCGAACCACAUUCCCAACCCUGAGGACAAAACAGCUAUGGCGGUAACCAGAGCUGCAGUGCUAGAAAACUCUGCUGAUCUUGGGAUUGUAUUUGACACUGAUGUGGAUCGCAGCGGCGUUGUGGAUAACAAGGGCAACCCCAUCAAUGGCGACAAGCUCAUUGCUUUGAUUUCUGCUAUCGUAUUGAGGGAACACCCUGGAACCACCAUAGUGACCGAUGCGCGUACAAGUAUGGCGCUUACAAGAUUCAUCACGAAUCGGGGGGGUCACCAUUGCUUAUAUCGUGUUGGUUAUCGAAAUGUGAUUGAUAAGGGAGUGCAGCUUAACAAGGAAGGCAUUGAAACUCAUCUCAUGAUGGAAACAUCUGGACACGGUGCUCUUAAAGAGAACCAUUUCCUUGAUGAUGGUAAUUAGCAUUGUUGUUUUUGCAUGUCUGUUUUCUACUUCCUUAAUUUUGUUCUAAUUUAAAUUCUUAGGUAGCUUAUUUAUCGUGCUCAAAUUAAAUAAUUGUUCGUAGGAGCUUACAUGGUGGUAAAGAUCAUCAUCGAGAUGGUGCGAAUGAAGCUUGCAGGAUCAGACGAAGGGGUUGGAAACAUCAUAAAAGACCUUGAAGAACCGUCAGAGUCCAUAGAGCUGAGGAUGAAUGUAAUUUCUGAGCCUAGAUAUGCAAAAGAAAAGGCAGUGGAGGCCAUUGAAAUGUUCCGAGAGUACGUUGAGGUAAUUGUUUUGAGCAACUCCUUAUUAGCUCAUGCAAAGUUCCUAUGACUCUCACGUAUUCAACAACUCUUCACAUCCUUACAUUAUUUGAUACGAAACACACAUCGACUUUUAGGAGGGGCGGCUUGAAGGGUGGGAGUUAGAUUCGUGCGGAGAUUGUUGGGUGAGCGAGGGCUGUUUGGUAGACUCAAAUGAUGCGUCAGCUGCUGCCGUUGACGCACACAUGUACAGGUGCUGUACUAAAUACAUUUGAAUUUGACGUUGUUUGAAUUUAAUCAUAGCUACAUUUCUUUAAAUUUUAAUUAAAACUUGUAUAUUUCAGAGCAAAAGUAUCAGAUGAGGAACAUGGACAGCAUGGUUGGGUGCACAUUAGGCAGAGCAUUCACAACCCGAAUAUUGCAGUGAACAUGCAAUCAACUGCGCCUGGCCGUUGCCGAACAAUGACAAGAGUUCUUCUAGAUAAGUAAGUCAUGUUGCUCCAAAUUGACGUUCACCCUGCUACGUAUGCAAAUUCAUAGAAUGGUAAAUAGUAAUGUUCUAGAAUGAUUGAUUCAAUUGACGAUACGUUUCUUUGCAGAUUUCUCAUAGCAAGCGGGAUGGAUAGAUUCCUUGACAUUAGCCAGAUUGAUAAGUAUGCCAAGAGUGGAAAUGUAGGCUGAGCUGCUAUAAUCUACGGUGAAGUUGCUAGCUAGGUAUACAAACAGAUGGAUUACGUCACAAAACUUAUGUAUAAUGUAGGGGUGUGAUAUCCACACACCCCAUUUUACUUCUCACACACCCUUCUAAUUUUCGGCCGUCGGAUCGGAUGAAUUGAAGAAGAUCAACGGAUAGAAAUUAACAAGGGUGUGUGAGAAGUAAUUUGGGGUGUGUGGAUAGCACACCCCAUAAUGUAUAUAUCUGCGACUUAUAACGUGUGCCAUGUCGAGUUAUUUUUCGUAUUAAAAAACAAUAUGGAUGUCAAUCUCUUCAUGCCGAAAACUGUUGGAAUUGUUGGAUCGCCGGGCCCGUCCCACUCUAACAACACUAAUACUGUCCCCACUUAACCACCUGCACAAUCCUCAGGUGUGGGGUUUUAUCACAAAAGGCCUCGGUAUUAGUUAGAGUGGGGUAAUACUAUUUAAACUUCUUUAGUUUUCCCGUCCCACUCUAACAACACUGAUACUGUCCCCACUUAACCACCUGCACAAUCCUCAGGUGUGGAAAGGCCUCGGUAUUAGUUAGAGUGGGGUAAUACUAUUUAAACUUCUUUAGUUUUCUUCACCCCACCGAUGUGGGACAGUUUAACACUCCCCCUCACGUGUAACCUCAUUUAGUGGUUCACACGUGGAGAUCCACAUCAGUAAUUGAAACUCAGAGGUCGGCUCACGUUGGGCCCACUUGUUUUCAAUUGGAACUCAGCGGUCGUUUCUAUAUUAAGAGUUUAGACUUGUUUCCUUCCGGGUGGUGACAAGCUCAUUGGCUUGCACACAAGCUCGUUGGCUUGCACGGGCCCGCAACCGUGGGCUCUGAUACCAUGUUGGAAUUGUUGGAUCGCCGGGCCCGUCCCACUCUAACAACACUGAUACUGUCCCCACUUAACCACCUGCACAAUCCUCAGGUGUGGGGUUUUAUCACAAAAGGCCUCGGUAUUAGUUAGAGUGGGGUAAUACUAUUUAAACUUCUUUAGUUUUCUUCACCCCACCGAUGUGGGACAGUUUAACAAAAACAUCAUAUAACAAAAUCAAGCUGUUAUUUGUGAAGGUUUUGGUUUCCCCCACUACAUUGCCUUGUAUCCGUUUAAAGAUGAUGGCGAUUUACUGCAGGACGCAAGUACUCUUGUCUAUUGUAAUCUGUUGAGAUUCGUAUUUCUUGCUGAUCGUCUUCAUCUUGUGUGGACAAGGAGUUUGCGUUACUGCUACGCGAUGAAGUCGAGCCAGUAAACAUACUGUCAUCAAUCACUUCCCUUCCCUUCCAUAUGAUCUUAAUAUUGCAGCUGGUGUCGGGCGCAUUUCGUAGAAUCUGACUGGCUAUUCCACUUCCUUUCUUGGACCUCAGUUUCCUCAGACUUGAUUCGGUGGUUCCAACUACUAGGUUUCUUAUGUUUUGAGUAGGAAUAAGGUCUAGGAGUGCCUUGGCAACUGUAUCACUCUCAACGAGCAUAAUUUCAGUCUUAACCUGUUCCGUUAACGUCAUAUUCAUCGACAUACAGAGGUUAAUCAGUACUAAUAAACUUGUAAUUAAAUAGCUAUAGAGGGCCUGUAUUUUGGAAAUCUGGUAAUACCUUGGCAGAUGAGCAGGCAUCAACGUAUCUGUCAAGGAGCUUCCACCUCCUGUCUCUUUCUAGGGCCAUGCAAUUGUUCACCAUCUUUGGACUCACUGUAUUUUUGGAAGCAUUCCUACUGCAUAUCAGAAAAACCAAGACAGAAAUAUCUCUUACUAAUCAUCGAUUAAAUGAUAAAAUUAAUUAAAUGCAGUCAUAACCCUAUGGUUAAUUAGUCGCCUUUACAGCUAGAAAAUCUGUGUAAUCUGAAAUUUGUGUUGAACUCCUGUAGUGUAAGACUUUGAUGGAUUCAACUCGAAUCAAUAACUUGUGCAAUACACACACGCAAGAUUAUGUCAGCCCUUGUAUCACUCUCAACUUCGAAAUUUAGUAAUCAACUAAAUUAUAAAAAGAAUAAAAUAUAUAUGUGAUAAUAUAGAUCAAAUGUAUGAAUCAUGACAUCUGAGUCAUCUGACUAUACAGCACGCAUGUUCAUUGUAUUAGGCUCUUACAAUUUGGGAUUGCUUUAGGAAAGGUUAAAACCGCUAUAUGACAACCAAAAGAAGUUUUAACUGUGAUUAAUAGAAAACGUAAAAGUGUUUCAAGGUCUUAGCUAGAAGCCUAGAAGCGCUUUCUGAAAAUUGAGGACUUGAACAUUUACUAAAAAUAAUUGACGUGUUUUUAAUUAAAAAACACUUUUAGCAAACACGCUAAUGAACUUACAAACAAGCCUUCCUCAUCAGACCUCGCUCCAACUGACCGCCGGGCGGCGACAUGCACACGCAAACACACAGAGACAUGGUUCAUGCCUUCAUGGAUAGAGAGAUGCCCGUGAAUUAAUGCAAUUGACGAUGAUGAGAAGCUGAAUUAGAUAACUGAACUUACAAGGAGAAGGAACAAAUCGCAUCGGUGGGAAGACAUGGACGAUGACUAUUAAUGGUGAUUGAUCAUGAUCAUGAGUCACUGCGGCGCGACUCAGUGUCCAGAGAAGCGCAUCCAUGCUAGACUCGCUCUUCUGGCCCCCAACUGCUACAUAGUAUUGAUAAGGACCUACCUCUUCCUCUCCCUUAGAAUUAUUCUUAAAGUUAAAAUUAAAAUCAAUGGAAAACAAGCUUUCAUCAUCAUCGUCCUCCUCAUCUUAAGCAGCUUCUAAUUCUUCUUCGAUGGAAGUCAAGGCCAAAGGCAAAGGCAAGGGCAAGGGCAUCCUCGUCUCUUCCUUUGCCAUCGUCGUGCUUAUAAUAAAAGCACCGUUAAACUGCUGGCGACCGACGUCGUAUGCACCAGCAACCAAGCCCAAUUGUUCCAACUCCGAUAUAAUUGGAUCUUUUGAAAGAGGCAGCAGAAAAAACUAGAAAGUGAAGCAGCCUGGCUAGCCAGCUCGAAAAAAACUUUGAUUUGUAUCCUUAAUUUUAAAUUUCAAUAUAUACCUUAAUUUUUAAUUUAAUUUAUAGUUUUUUUUUUUUUUUUUUUACAUACGUAUGUCAAUUACAUGUCACUUAAUACUACACUAUAGUGGUAUUCUUUUCACUUAAUAUGACUCGGCCCAUUAAAAAGUUUAGCCCACUCCAUCACCCUUAGUGCAGCAAAUAAGCUUCUUCUUCUUAAAAAAAAAAGCUAAUUGUAUAUUUAUUUUAUGUUUUAAAUUACUAUGUGAAGAAUAAUAAUAGAGUUUAAAUAAUCUUUUUUGUUCAAUAAUAUUACUCUCUUAUUGAUUUUAAGUAAUUCCUAAAUUUUAAAAUAUUAUUUACUCUUAUUUGAAUUUGUUUAAGGGAAUUUUAACGAAAAGCUUUUGGUACUGUUCAUUUUAACGAAAAACCACAUUUUAACGCUAAAAUGUCAAUCCUAUUACUAUUCAUCUUACCCUUUAUUUUGUUAUUUUCGUUAAAACUCAAAGUUUUCAAGUUAUUUUCAUUAGUUUUCCUUUUGUUUAAAUGUAUAAUUUAUAGCAUGUAGAAAGAGUUAUCUUAAAUAAUGACAAGAAUUUCGAUCAAAAUAUUAAACAAAUAUGAUUUCAAUUCAACGAUUAAGUUGAGCAUGUACUGGAACUAAAAUCACCAUUAAUUCUAAGGAAAACUAAUGAAAAUGGCUUGAAAACUUUGAGUUUUAAUGAUAAGGACAAAAUAAAAGGUAAAGUGAAUAGUACUACGUUUAACUUUUUAUUGUAAACAUGUGAUUUUUCAUUAAAAUGAAUUUAAACUUUUCAUGCCGUUUUGUCUUUUGCGUGUACGCAGGCAUCUAGGAAUUUACCGUGUACUUUGUUGUGGUGAGGUUUCUCACUUCAUUUCUGUCUUUUUAUUUGCUUUGAAAGAGAUUCUUUCCUUAAAAUAUACAAAAGAAAAGGACUGAAAUAGAAUAGAAAACGGAUCCAAAUGGUACCUCUAAGUAUAUUCAUAUGAAAUUAUGAAUUAUAACGUACUUAGCACAAAUUAUAUAUAUAUAUAUAUAUAUAUAUAUAUAUAUAUAUAUAUAUAUAUUAUUAGAGAAAACGAGAGUUCGAAACUAUUAUAAUAAAUUUGGAGAGGAAGAAGUUUCGAACUGGAAAGUAAGCCAACACUUCUAUCUAUUAGGAUAUUGGACCACAUAUGUAGUGACACACCCCGAUCCUAGAAUCAAGGCGUGCUGGCCGUCACGUGAGCGUGACGUAACCAAAAGUGCGACGCGGAAGCAAUAGAUAAGAACAUACGAAUAAUAAAAAAAAACCAGAUACUAGCAGAAUAACCAAGUAACGUGCUAGAAUAAGUUUAAGUGUGCAACACACAUAUUCAGAGCCUAAGAACUAGAUGCAGUCAAGUAGGACCAUAACUAGAUUACAACACCCGUAGGUGAGUCCUACAUUUAUGUAGUCUGUCAGUACGCCGUGAGGAUCCUCGUGGGCCACCAACGCUGCUAACUAGAACCUGGAGGGGUGCAAAACAAAAUUGAGUGGGUCAGUAAAACCAAAGUUUUCCAAAACAUUUCAUUUAAAACAUUUCUAACCCCUCACUGUAAAACUUGUAUACUUUCCCAGAAAAUAACAUAAUAGUAUAUAAAUCCUCAUAUAUCUCAAAUCAUCAAUCUAUCACAAAUCCAGAAAUAUGCCAUGUCAUAAAUGUCAAUAACGAAACAUGGAUGCAUCAAAAUAACAGGUGACAUAAUGAAUCAACCGGAGACCCUGCAGUUGGUCCUGUACGGUUAAUUCCAUAGCUCAAUAUCCAACCCAGCCGGAGUCACCACGGUGACCUGUACGGCACUACUCUGCACAUAAAUCGGAACUACCUAAAGUAAUCUGUACGAUAAGAAAGGUGUAAGAAUACGCUCUAGUGCUUCUCUCAUCAAUCAUCUGCAUGCAUAAUCUAAGGUCACCUACUAGUCGGAACAACCUCUAGUGGUCUGUACGACUAGCAUGUCGGAACCCUCUCAUGGUCUGUACGACAUGCACCUACUUGGAUCCAAGGUGAGCGUGCGGUGCGGUGAAUAAUAUAAGCACUAACACCAGGGGGUGUAGGUUAUGAGCUCUCAACAAUUCACAUCAUCAAUGAUUCACAUGAAUAACAUAAACUCACCUGAUACUCACCUGUGCGUCCACAGCACCAGUUCACAUAUAUAUAUGCAUCAAUAUCAAUUCAUACAAUUCACAAUAUGCAUGCAUGGCAUUUGAAAACAUAUUUUCAUAUAAAUUCAAUUUAUAGGAAAAUCAAUAGUAUAUAGGUAUAUACGGAAAACAAAACUGCCCACUCAUUGGUAAGUCGAUGGGUCGUAACCCCCGUGACGUCCCUGGAUGCGCUCGUCCUCGGGAUAGGUGUCACCUAUAUGCGAAACAACUAUAAAAACGUUAAUUUACGCACAUAACCGACAAUUCGUAAUAACUUCUCAUACGGUGCUCAAAUUGGGUAUAUGAAUAUACCACAUCGACCUACUCGACGUCACGGACGUCGAGAAAUUUUUAGAAAAAUUUUCUGAGGCUGCACGCGCCCCCACGCGCCUGGACAGGCACGGGUCCACGCGCCCCCCACGCGCGUCUCCUACCUCGGCUCGCCGGAUUGGUUUUUCCGGUGGCCGGAAAACUGGAGAUUUUUCAAUCUCCUUGUUCUCCGUCAUUUCUCAACCAUUUUCUUCGUAUUUUAUAUCAAAAUGAAGCCCUAAGCAUGUAGUUUCACGUUACACUACUUUAAGGCUCUAAAAACUACAAAAUCUCAUCGGAGAAAUUCCAAGAAAACCGGCCAAUUUCGAACCCAAUGAUCCCGACGUCCAAAACCUUCAAACGAAACACUCCGAGCUUCCUUGGGACCUCACUAAGCUCACUAUAAGCUUAGAAUUCCCUGAAAAUCAACAUAUCACGAUUGCAUGAACAGUGAUCUCAAAAUGGGUUUCGGGUUUCACGUGAUAUCGAGGGUUCUAAGUUCUAAAAAUUGCACCAAUGAACUCACAAGGUUGCAAGGAUUCACAAACUUACCUUUUUGACGUCGAUCCGUGAAAGUUGGAGGGUUUUGGUGCCUCGUCCGUACGAGUCGAGAGGGAGAGAGGAAGAACUGAGAAGGGGAGAGAGAUAGAGGGCACGGGGAAAGGGACAGGGUGUCCCGUGUGUGUGUGUGGUCCCUCAAAACAAUUCCACCCUUAUUUUCCUAACCACAUAAAUUACAAACCAAUUUUAAUCCAACUUAAAAUAUUUUCCAAAAGCUUGAAAUAUAUGAAUUUAGUCCAAAUAAUAUGUCACACACACACAUACCUUAAUACCCGUCAAGGGUAAUUCCGUCAUUUCGCAUCCCCGAUAUAUAGAAUCCCGGGACGGGCUGUGACAUGUAGUACAAAUUGGAAUCUAUAAAUAUAUUCAUUAUAACACGGUAUAACUAAUUCACAUGAUGCUCUUAUUUUGAGAACUUGUGAGAGUGAAAUGCAUAUUAGCCACAAGAUUAUAUUAGGUUAGAUCGAAAGGAUUAUAAUACUAAAAAUAAUAUUGGUAUAAAUUAAAAAAAAGGAUACAAAUUAUAAACAGAAAUAUAUGAAGAAAAAAAACUAAAAAUAUAUAUUUAAAAAAGAUUAAUAAGUUUUUUAUUUUUAAAAUUGCCAUAUAAUGACUUGUAAAUAAUCUAACAUUCCAAUCAUGACAUGGGGAAAAGUCAAGAAACUUUUAUCAAAAAUGAAAACAGAAUAAAGUUUUAAUUAAUGAGAAAGAAAAAUGAGAAAUAAGAACCUAGUUUAUCUUAUGAAAAUGGUAAUAAGAGAAACAUUUUUGGUAUAGUAAGAGAGUAAAUUAUUAAACUAGUAUUAAUACACUUAUGGAUGAAACAAAGGGAUUUGGAUCCUCUCCUGAGCUCAACUUGCUAAGUCUCUUAAGCAAAUCACACGGAUUGUUGGAUUUUGAUCCAAUGACUACAAAUAGGGGACAUCUCUAAAAGUUAUAAUAAUUAUAGUCGUUGGAUCAAAAUCUAACAGCCUGUGUGAUUUGCUCAUGAGGCUCAGUAGGUUGAGCUCAGGAAAGGAUCCAAAUUCGAAACAAAGACAGGUUGGGGUAAGUAAAUGGGUGGGACAGUCAAUCAACUGACAUUCUCAGUUACUUAGUUUUAUAUUGAAAUAUGAGGGUAAAAAUUGGAAAGGGAUCCUCUCCGGAUCCCUUCCUUCUAAUUUACCAAGUCUGGAAAUUCGGGUCAUUAAAAUUUGAUCAAACAACUAAAGUUAUUAUAAUUUUUAAAGUGGACAUUUGUUUGUAGCCGUUGGAUUAAAUUUCAAUGGUUCGGAUCUCCGAACUUGAUAGAUUAGGAGGAAGGGGUCCAGAGAGGAUCCCUUUCUGUAAAAAUUGCUUUUUGAUUAAGAUCAGACAACUAUUAAGGAUUGACUUGUUGUGCGCAAUAUAUAAUUUAAGAAUUUGGUGUUACAAUCAUCUUAAACAAAUCUUGCUUUAUGUCCCCCACUUACGCUUUUAUUCAAUCUGGAAAACCACGGUACAAUAUGCAAUUUCUCGUUUGUCAGCUCGGACUGUACUGAUUAUUUCAGUCGGAUAGGAUAAAUAGUCGUCGGAUAAUACUGACUAAAUUAGUUGGACGUUUGGUAAUUGAAUCGGAUUAAUUUCUACAUCGGAUAAUACGUCAGAUUAUAAUAAAUUUUUAAAAGUAUUUCACAGAAUAAUUGUUGUUAAAAUGAAAAAAAUGAGAAAAACAAAGAAAAACAGAGAAAAAAUGAAUUAAACACCAUUACAGAAAAAAUUAAAAAAAUAAAAAUAAAAAAGGGAUUAAACAUCACCAUCUUCCCCACGGAGGAAUAUGUUCUUUGAAACCCAGGCAACCACUACUCCAACAACAAAAAAAAAAAAAAACCAGCCAUUACACCAACAGAAAAAAAAAACCCAGCCAGCUUUCGAUCUCGUUGCCACCUUCAAUUUCUUUCAAAUUCAGAAACCAAUUAAAACCUCCAAAUUUGCAGAAGCAACCUCCAACAGAAUCGAUGGUCACUCGUGCACCCAGCAAACUGCAAUUUUGUGCUUUACAGGGAAAUUGGUGCCGCUGCUCUCUCUCACAGCUUCUAAUCCAUUGAAACUAAAAACCCAUAUGAGAUUUCUCCCAUUCUGGUUUGAUCUGCCACUAUAGGUGUAUGAACAAGAAUGGCGUGAAGUGGUUUCGAUUCGGCACCUCUGGUUUUGUGUUUGUAUCUACUUGAUGUUGAUUGGUAGUGAGGAGGGAGAAAGAGAGAGAGCAGUAAUUCCUUGAUUGAGGAGUUUGUGAUGCGCAAGAGCGAGCGGUAGCAUGAACCCGACUAAUUAUACAAACGAUUUGGGGAGGAUAAGGAGCCGUGUGUAGGGUGUAUUAAAUAAGCAGAGGCGGACUAAUUAUCCGGUGGCUAUUUAAUCCAAACGGACACCAAACACCGUACUCCGUAGUAUUAGUACUAUCCGAUGCCUUAUACGGUGUGCCAAACAGACCUUAGGGUCUAUGAAUAGAUUUCCUGUCUGUAGUGUUCCGUUUUUCCUUUCCUCAUUAUAUGAUCACCAUCGUAUUUCAGGCUCAUUAGUUCUUGAUGUAUUUUAGUCUUAAGAACCUUAAACAUCUAAUUAAAACAUAUCAUCAUUUUUUAAGGCAUGCUUUUCUUUCUUCUGGUUCUGAUACACACACACACACACACACACACACACACACACACACACACACACACAUAUAAUAUACACAUAUAUAUAUAUACAUAUAUUUUGCUUUUCUUUCCUCUGGUUCAUAUCAUCAUUUUUUAAGGCAUGCUUUUCUUUCUUCUGGUUCUGAUAUUUUUUGGUUCUGAUACACACACACACACACACACAUAUAAUAUACACAUAUAUAUAUACAUAUAUUUUGCUUUUCUUUCCUCUGGUUCUGAUACAUAUACAUAUAUUUUGUUGGUUUAGUUAUCAUUGGUACGAAUUUCUUAAACUGGACUUUUGGUUGGAAAUUUAUAUUUGAUCAUCAAUGGAUAUUGGACAUUCAAGUCAUAAUUUCACAUACAAUACAAUAGUACUAGUUGUAGUGAAAGCGUACCAUUAAAACAUAGAAGAAGCAAGAAAUUAAAAGGAAACGCUAAAGCUUCCCACUAUCACCCUGGCCAGCUUUUAUAUACGUACCAUACUAUAUGACUAUUUUUCUUCUUAUGCACACCUCCUCUUGAUUUUGGUCUUCGCUGUAUAUAUAUAUAUAUUUUUUUUUGUGAUUACUAAAAGAGUGUGCCAAAAAUAAAAAAUAAUGUGCAUAAAUCGUUUUCAAAUUAAUUUAUUUAUUAUUGAGAAGGUGGGCAUCAAUAUUGUUCGUCAGAAGGACCAAAAAGUCCAUGUACUUAUGAGGAACCGGAACACCCUCCGUCAGCUUCUCAUACUCGACGGUCCAUUUCACGGAUGAGCUGCUGCAUCCCCCACUAACCUUUGGUGUGACUUGAACCGUAGCCUUGAAACUCUUGUAGUAUUUCGCCAACUCUCCUCCUACUGUUCGGAAAGUCACUGAUUUGUUUUUCUCAUCUAUGGCUUCAACUGUCUCUCUUGAAACCUCAGAAACAUUGUCUAUCAUGCAGGUAUAUAAUUAAUUAAGAAAAUAUCAAAUCAUUGGGUCCAGGUUAGGUUAUAUAGUCGAUCGAGUCUAGUAUAUGUAUAAAAUAUUUUAAGUUGGCAUGCAUAAAUUUUUUUCCAUGAAUUGUUAUUGUUACCUGCAGCAAAGUAAGUCCAUUGCUUGACUGAGCCCACAGAGCCCCAAUCACCUUGGAUGACCUGAAGGUCCUUUAUGACGUUAGGGCACAUCUUGGGCAACAGGUACCCUUUGCUACGAAAGAUUUCGUAGAACUUGUCGGCACUGGCUUUAAUCUCAGCCUGGACCUCCAUCUUUGCUAUUUGAGCCAUAGCGUUCGAUCUUUUUGCCUUUGUAAUUUGUAUGAAAUUAGCUAGCUAGAGUCUGGUGAAAAAAUGACUCCCCCUUGUUCUUUAUAUAGAAGAAAUAAAAUAGCUAGAUAAAGUAUAAUAUGCCUUCACUUCGAGCCAAUUGCAAUUGCGGAUCGGAAUUGGGGUGGUUUUUCUGACAAAUUUAAUUUAGGUUUGGAGUUCUGUUUGGUCCCUCGCUAGCUAGGGCAACUGGGCAAGUAGAUUUCUGUUUUAGCACUGUCUUGUUAAUUUGAUGCUCAUGGCCACUAUGUUAUGGUGGAUCAGAUGCGGAUUCUAUUCCAUCUUUUUCAUAAAGAGAUUAUAUACUUUCCUAAAUUAUACUGUUCUUUUCCUUUUUGUUGUUCCUGUGUUUCCAUCAAAAAAGGAAAAUACCGAUAAGACACUUAUUAGUACUAUAGUUAAGUAAUAUUUCUCUUAAGUAUCAAUUUAUUAUUUUUAUCCCUUAGUGUAAAAUGUGUAAAUAUAUCGUUGUAUCAACAAAACAAAAAAAUUUAUUUGAAAAGGGCAAAAGCCGAAAGCAUUUUGCCUUUGUUUUUUCUCCCACUAGCCUUUAAUGCCGAAAAUUUGAGUUUGUUUCUAAUUUUAUAUAAAUCAAACUCUUACAGUGAGCUGUAGACUUUGUGUUCUUUGAGAGUGGAUCCAAUUCUUGAGAGUUUAAUAUAUGAAACUCAUGAGUUAGAAAAUUACAACAAAAAUUCUCCACCACAUCUGUCAUUUUUCAUGAAUGAACGGUUGAGAUGAUAUUUAGUUAAAUAUCAACCGUUCGCUUUUGACCUUUCAUGAGCAUUAGAUCAAAGUUUGUAUACAAUAGGUGACCACUCAUUUGGGAGUGAAAAAAGGGAAUAACCCACCAUAAAGUAGGAAAAAUAAAAAAUAGGUGAGUCCUUACAGCAGUAAACAGAUAGAACUCAAGAUAAACUCUGAAACUCACACAGUUGUAGUAAUGGUAUUCUAGGAAUCAAACUGAAGAUGUUUCUUAUAUAAGAAAUUAAACAGAUACAAAUACAAAUGUUGUUGCAUACCAAAUACAUAUUUGCACACGCUCUGUUAAUGUACAAGAUAAUGAUUAAGACGAAAUCAUCCCUUAUACAUGGAAGACACCCAACUGACUCAAGCUUUGUGUCUUUUUUUUUUUAUGUACGUAUAAAUACAACGUUACUCAAAUCCCACAAUUAAAAAAAAAAAAAAGGCCUUAGUUAUAAUUCGAACCAUUUAUUACUAAUAAUAGCUGUGUCUCAUUCAGUGAGAAGAUGAGCUUCAAGGUCUUUGGUGACCUUCACUGCAAAGUCCUGAUAUGAUUCUGGAUCUGGGAUUUCCUCCUUCACCUUCUCAUAGUCAAUUAUCCAUUUCACCAAACUGCCCCCUCCAGUAGUCUUUUCUGUUACUUUUAGUGUCACCCUAAAGCUCUUAUAAUGCUUCAAGAUUUCUCCAUCCAGAACGUUGAACUUCACUGUUUUGUUUUCCUCAUCUAUCGCUUCAACCGUCUCCUUUACACUUAACGAACUCCCAUCUGUACAUAUCCAUCGUCACUUUCACAUUAUAAAAGAGUAAUUAUAUAUGAGCAAUAAUUUCUUCACACUUAGAUCCAGUUUUCUUUUUGCAUACCCUUGUUAAUUUUUCUUCUUCAUAUUCUUUUAAUAUAUUUAACCUAAAGAUCAUAAAUAAACAUAGAUGCGGACAAAAAGUUGUAUGCAUAAAUCACUUCCUGAUUAUAUAUAUGUGCACAUAAAUAAAUUAUAAAUAAGGGAAUCACCCUAGCUAAUUAAUAGUUAGGGCUUCAACUAAGUCAGUUCUAUUGCCUCCGGUGUGACUUACCCAACGUAUAAUCCCAAUGCUUGACAGAACCCGCAGUCUCCCAAUCACCUUCGUGCAGCUCAACCCCUUGUAUUUUGUCAGAGCAGAUGUUAGGAAGCAGGUGCAUUUGGCCCGAGAAAAUUUUGUAGAACUUAUCAGCAGCUGUACUUAUCUCUACCUCCGUCUCAAGCUUACCAACUAAAGCCAUAUCUUAAUUAAUUAGAAGAUCGAUCGGUUAAGGAUAUAAACCAAGGAUAAUUUAUGAUCAACAAUUGAUGAACUAAUAACAAAACAGGUUAGAGGUAGAAUUGGGAGAUAACACUUAAUCCUAGGAUUGACUUAAAUAGGAGAAAUUAUCAUUCAUGAAAAGCUACAACUUGCCUAUAAUAAAUAUUAAAAGGGAACUUAUUGGUGGUCCUGAACGUUUAAAAUUGACACCAAAAUUUACUUCCAUCACCUUUGCUACUUUAAUCGUUUUUACCUAUAUUUUGUUCAAUUUUUUUUUACACCUAUAUAUACAUAUGGGAUGGAUCCGUGAUAUCACUUUUUUUUAUACAAUUUUUUACACAAGUUUUGUGGGACCCACUCAGUAAUGUAUUUCAACAAUCCAACUGUUUAUUUUUUAGAACAUCAUUAAUAAAUCAUCCUUACAAAAAAUUAGACAAAUUCAAAACCAUGACAUUCAUUUAUAGCGAAGAAAGUGGACAAAUAUGUUUCUAUAAAGAAACCCUACAUGAUUUAUGAUGAAAUAUCUAAAAAUAGAUUGUUUGGAUCGUUAAAAUACAUUACUUACAAGUUACAAGUGAGCCUACAAAAAUUUGUGUAAAAGGAGUAUAUAAGUACACCGAUGGUGAAUAUAUAAUAAUUUUUGUGUUUGGUAGAUUUGGAGUGGUUAAAGGAAUUGGAAAUAAUAGGCACAUUUCUUUCAGGUGGGACACGACUAGAUAGUCAUUCCUAAUUAGGAUUUACCAAAUCUUAGUGACGUUCUUGUUUAUUGUAAACAAAAGAUAAAAGAAUUCAAAUGAAUCAGACAGUUAUGUCAAUUGUUAAUCACCAGUCACCACAUCACAUUAACAUUAUUUCGAAUUCUAUAUCUAUAAUUGACGAGUUUACGACUUGGAGCGUCAAAAAAAUAUGGCAAAGCAUUCAAGAUACUUGGGAAAUAAAUUAGAAGUUUCAGUAGUCCACAUAACUGUAACAAACACACAAACAAAUGAUAGAUUCACUUUAUUUUUCAUUUUCCCCAAAAUUACAUCCAAUGAUUAUCCUAUAUACGAUUGCGUAAAGAAAUUAUUGGUCUUUUUGACAAGAGCUGCAAACUAAAGCUGAAGGUGUUAGUCUGGAUCACCGCCACAUAGCUUUUCCUUUUCCUGUUAAAGGACCGCAUCACCACGCUGCCCUCAUCAUAAUCUCAUAAUUUUGAAGAAACUUGAAGAAUAAUCUUGUAGCAUCUGCAGCGAUCUAGAGGGUUCCUUCAAGCACCCUUAAAGUACGGACUGAUUUUCAUCAUCUAUGGUUUCAGUUAACUCCUUACGAAAUGUAGGUUUCUCAUAUGUUCAACAUUCCACAAGCAAAAAUUAUAUCAUGUUCCGAUGUAUAAGAUACUCUGAGCAUGUUAACUGUUGAAUCUUGAUUUUUGUAUAUUUGACCAAAUUUAAAAAAAAAGUAUAAAAUAUCCGAUACUUGGGAGCACCAUAGAACUCUUCACUAGCUUACUUCAUCCAACAUACAUAUCAACAUUCAUGGUAAAAAGACACUUGGAGCCGAACUUACGUUCAAGAUUAUUCAACCCAAUUUACCACCUUCUACUAAUUUAUAACUCUGAACUUUGUUGGGGGCGAUGUUGUUAACUUUGUUGGGGGCGAUGUUGAUAUCUCGUACGGUAUUGUUCGUGUGACUGUUAGCAAGGAGGGGAAAUUUGUUUGAUUUCAGCGCUCGUCCUCGCCUUAUUGUUACAAUGAUCUCAAAUCACCAUAUUGGCUUCUGUCCACCACAUGCAUUAAGCGUCUAUGACUAGAUCUAGUCUUCCACAACAAGAAACCCUUUCAGCGACGAAUUCUUCCUCUGAAAGUAGGAAAGUUGUCCCAGAAACAGUUGGCGACUAUAAUGUUUUCCUUUUUAGAUCAUCCCAGUACGUAGGGCCUUUAGUGAACUUAUAUGGCGAGAAAUAUGCUUGAUCGUUGUUGAUAAAUUAGAAUCAUCAAAAUAUUUCCUCGCUGAAAGUUCGUCAUUUUGUCGGUAAAAGUUGUUCCUCGCUGUUAGACAGGGGAAAAUAGAAAAAAUUCUGAAAACAUUGCGAGAAAAUUAGGAUCUAUUUAUUGAUUUGCAAAAACUCCCUCCAAACUUGUAUAAAGCUAGCAAUUUUUUUCUUUAAAUUUAAUAUUAACCGAUUAACUCUCUGAAUUAUUAUAAAGGGUAAAAGACUGUUUACUACCCUCAUGUUUCAUGGUUUUCAACAUUUAGUAUAUCAAGUUUUUUUCGUCCCAGAGUCAUACCUAAAGUGUUAAUUUUGGGACAGUCUCAUACAUCCGUUAGUCAAACUGUUAAGUAUGCCGUUAACUGAUGAUGUGAUGCCUAUGUGGACAAUGACUGGGUGCCACGUGUCAUUAAGGGAUCCACGUGGAAAUUAAAAAUUAAUUAUUAAAAAAAUUCAAAAAAAAAAAAAAAAAAACAAAAAAACAAACAAAAUAAAACCCAGAAGCCCUUCGUCUUCCUCACCCCCACCCGACAUCCCUCAAUUCCCAGAACCCCAUUGUCUUCCCCACCCGACACCCUUUAUCCAUGCUUCCUCAAUUUCCUUGUUAUGGCUGUCGUCUGCAAAUCACCAUCUACAUCUUCCUCCAGCAGCUGAAGACCUCGCCUCCUUGUCGUUGCUCGAAGAGCAGGUGAAGCAGGAUGAGCUUGACCGUGACAUGGCACUGAAUGACGACGCAUCUUUAAUAGAAGGGACGCAUAAGGAGAGGAACGAGGCCAUUUUCGAUUACUACUUUGAUUUGCAGGAAUGCUACUCUGAGGUGGAAGAAUCUGAAACAAUGAAGCGGAGAAAAUCGAGAAGCGCCGCCUGUGUGGCGAUGUCGGCGGUAGCUGAUGGAGUCGAAAUAGGUAAGCCGGGAGUCGAAUCGGGUCACCAUCGGCGGCUAUGGGUCAAGGACAGGUCGAAAGCAUGGUGGGACGAGUGCAACCAGUCGGAUUUUUUGAAAUCAGAAUUCAAACCGUCUUACCAGAUCUAGUCGAUGACGCAUCCUGUCUGUCCGUCCCUCACUCCAUCAUUUCUUUUCCCUCCCUUCUCUCCUCUGCACGAACCAAACCGUCCUACCAGAUCCGGUCGAUGACGCAGUCUGUCUUGGGCUGCUGCUACGAGCUAUCUCGUCCUCUACGUCCAUAUCCUGGACCCACCGCCUAUUCUCUGCCUUUCCGUCUUUUCUUUUUCCCUUAUUCUUCCUUUUUCCUUUUGAUUUUCCUUUUCUAUUUCCGUUUUAUUUUCAUCUCGAAAGAGACCCCAAUUUUUCUGGGUUCACAAAAGAAACCCAAUAUUAGUUGAUCUGAAUAUUUUUUUUCUUUUAACUUUAUAGUUUUCUGGAAAAUUGGGAGGAUUUGAGUCUCCUCCACCCGUUUUGAUUUUGCAUUUUCUGGUCCAAUUCGAAAUGGCCUAGAGGAGGAAGAAUUUGAUUUAAUGGUUUAUGCCCCAGAUCUCGUCAAGAUUAUUGAAACUUCAAUCCACACUUUUCAGCUUUUCCUGAAGAUGGAAGUCACUUGUUUCUUAAUUUGCUUUAAUUAAACUUCUUGUUUCGUUAUUUAAGAAUUGUGAUAGAUGUAGAGAAAUUGAGUAGCGAGAGAGAGGUGGGUAAGACGGAUUGAAGAACGAUUCUAAUUUAACUUCUUCUCUUUUCGUGGAAUAGGGGUCACGAGAGAGGCUUUUUCUGGCUUUUUCUUCUGGGUUCACAAAGAGAAGAUCCAUACUUGAAAAUACCAAAUUCUUGUUGAAAUAGAAUUUCUUUGGGAGGGAUUUUGUUGGGUUGGGUGUGCGGAGAUGAUGGGUACGGGUUGUAGAGGAGAGAAGGGAGGGUGGUGCAGGUGCAGAAAAGAGAAUGGAGGGAAGGGGUACGGGUUGCAGAAGAGAGAAGGGAGGGAGAGGGUGCGAGGGAUGAGGGAGGAGACAAAUGUUUGUUCUUUUUUUUUUUUUUUGUAUUUUUAAUUUUUUAAUUUUUUUAAUAUUGAAGUGGGCCUAAAUUGACAUGUGGUGCCCAGUAAUUGUCCACGUGGGCGCCACGUCAUCAGUUAACAGAAGUUCUAACAGAAAACUUAACGGAUGUAUGAGACUCUCUCAAAAUUAAUACUUUAGGUAUGACUCUGGGAUGAAAAAAAAUUGAUGUACUAAAUGUUGAAAACCAUGAAACUUGAGGGUAGUAAACAGCCUUUUACCCUAUUAUAAAUAACCAAUUUCUCCACUGCGUUUAGAUUUUGAAUUUUUUUCAUUCAAGUUUUCAUCAUCGUGGUCAUGCGGACAUACAAGGCAAAUGUAUAAGGGCAAAAAAGUGAUUUUCGUUUUGGUAAAUUGGGCACAAAGCCACUAUUUUACAGCUGCUAAUUGGACUUUCAGGACUAAUUCAAACAAAAGUACGAAGUCAACUACACUACUACAAAUUUUUACAUACAUAAUGCAGUUUAUGGGUCAUGUUAAAAGUUUAAUGACGCAAGGGUUUAGCGUCAUCUUUGUGGUGUCAUUAAAUAUAUUUUUUAUGACGUUGAAAAAGUGUCAUGUAUUACUUUUAAAGACGCCUAACAAGUGUCAUUGAAUUAAGAACUUGUGUUAUCUACUACCAUUUAAGACGCGGAAUAAGUGUCAUAAACAGAGGAAUGAGUUUCAUGGUAUACUAAUUAUGACAUACGCACAGUGUCAUGUAUAGCUUUUAGAGACACUUAACAAGUGUCAUUGAAAUAAAAAAGCGUGUCAUCUAUUUCAGUUCGAGACGCGGAAUAUGUGUCAUAAACAGAGGAAUGAGCGUCAUGAUAUACUAAACAUGACAUCUGUAUAGCGUCAUGUCUAUAGCACUACAACGUCAUUGAAUAUUAGCAACGACACACAAAGCUUGUCAUAAACCAUUCAAUGCAUGUCCUGAAAUAUGUUUGAUGACAUAUGUAAUGUAUUUUUAAUUUGAAAACAAGACUUACAUAAUUCAUCCAAGAAGUAAGAUAUUUACCUCAAAUAAAAUAAUAUUGUUUCAUAAAUUUGUAAUUCACCCACCACCAAAGUAUUACAAAAGACAAUAUAAUGUGUAGAGCUUUCCUUCUAAAAUAAAACUAUACGUUCACUUAAUUUAAAAUUUCACAAACUAGCUAAUCUAGAGUUUCAUCUAUUGGGCUGUAUUCAUCAACAUACUCAGCCCACUUUAUUCUUAAUGCAUCAAUUUCCUGUUGAGUGUAUGUAGCUUUUAUCCUUCAAACUGCUCCUGCAAAAAAUAAAUAAAUUGAAUGAGAGGAUCCUUACCAUAAGACAACAGAAAAACAAAUAGGAAAACUCUUUGUUGAUCACCGUGGAUCUUCCCGUCUCCCUUGUCCUCGUUCUUCUUUAUUUGUGCACAACUAAAUAGCAACCGUAAAUUAGUGGUUCAAUUUGCAGUUUAAAUUAGAGGUUAAAUAAAAAUAGAAUAAACACAUAUUUAUCCAAGACUUGAAAGCAAAGCCUAAACCUGAUGCAAUUUUUAUGAGGUCUGGGUGGAGGGCAAGUCUGUAGCAUACUAGCUGAGAUCGAACUUGUGGUGCUACAACUUAUCAUCUCAAUAAUUGAACUAAAAAAAAAUAAACAUAAAAUUUAUAAGAUUAUAUACUGAAUGAGCAGGAUACGAAAUUAUUCCUAUGACCAAAAUGAAGAUGAGUGAUAGAAAAAAGCAACACGCAUGCAGAGAAAGGGAGGGAGAGUGUACCUUUGGAGUGAUGUUUGUCAUCAUCACUGAACAAAAUUUUGAUUCUGAAAGACCUGUCAUGAUUCAUAUAAAAAAAAUCCAAGAACAAUUUUCAAAAGCAUAUAAAAAUCCUUUAGACAAACCAACUCUCUUAAAUACCAAUCCAUAAGAUUGCCUCUGCUUGCUUUACGAAUCUUGCAAAUAUCAGUCUAUUAAAUAUGAAUGAUGAAGACAAACCUACUCUCUUAAGCAUAAACCAGAUGCGUCACCACCGCCUGUCCAGAACCCAAUUCUAGGAGCGGACACUCGAGAAUGAAGACAUCAGACCAUAAUUGAAACAACUACAAACUAAACUGACCAAACCACUUAAAACCACACAACUAAGAUAAGAGUUUGUAUCAUAAAAGCAUAAGUUUGAGUGAGUGAAAAUUUGAGUACUGACAAUGGUUCACUUUUUCUUAGCAGCAGACUUGGUGACCUUGGCAUCGAUGGGAUCCUUCUUCUCAACACUCUUGAUAACACCAAAAGCAACAAUCUGGCGCAUGCCACAAACAACAAAGCAACCUAAUGGAUGGUACUCAGAAAAUGUCACCACAACCAUGGGCUUGGUAGGAAGCAUCUUCACCAUAACUGCAUCUCCGUUCUUCAAGAACUUUGUCUCCAUCUCAAUCUCCUUGCCAGACCUCCUGUCAAUCUUGGUAAGGAUCUCACCGAACUUCCCAACCUUGCGCAGUUGAUAAACAACGUGCUUUUCAAGCGUAGUGGCGUUAAAAAGAAAUAAUCUAUAACUGCUUGAGAGAUUUAAGGGAUAAAUCUUCCACUUUUCCUUUUAAAAUCUUCCGCAUAUUUUAUUGAACAACACAUUUUUUUUAGUUGCAUCAUAAUAUUACUUUAAUAACAUUUUUAAUAAAAGAAUGUCAUUAAAAAUUUUACCAAGUGUCAUGAAAGCCCUAUUUUGUAGUAGUGCUAGCAAAAAAGAAGACGAGAAAAAACAAUCCGUUGUACACAUUAGGAAUAAAAAAAGGAGAGGUUUGGGUGGGUGGUUGGGUCUGUGAAUCUCUUUCUCACUAAUUUAUGGCUUGUUACAAGCGUUUAGAUGGUGGUUGGACCCAUUGAUAAAAUGUGGUUAGAAUAAGUCUGGAUGGCAAGGGCGGAGGCUUGAAACAUGCUCUCCAACCCAAAAACCCUCCUCCAGCAGGCUAAGAAGAAGAGGGCAGCCUGAGCAACUUAUGCUCAGCCCUUACGCUAGCGGGCAAGGCUUUUUUGUUUUUUUUUGUGUCUGGCGAUUGCAAUGAACGCAUGAACUCAGCAAGUGAGCUAACAACUUCCAACUUCGAUUGUCGUGGGGCCCACUGCAUAAUCUAACAGCCACCAUCAACAUCUCUAUGACGUGACAAUUUGUGAGUCGUUAAAUUUUCAAUGGCCUAAUGUUCUGGACUAUCGGAUUUCCAAUUCCAACAGUAAAAAAUUGAAAAACUUAUCAUUUUGACAUGUGUCACAUUCUAAUGCAUAUGAUUUUAGAUAUGUUUGGAAAUGAAUGGCCAUGAUUAAUCCAACAGUUAAAAAUUAUAAAAAAGGGGAUUUUUUAUUAUUUAUUAUUCUAUAAAUAUUGAAUCAUCUUCUGCAUUUCUCUCAACACAAUAUUUAUUUUUACUACAAUCUUCUAAAUUUGUUUUCAACUUUUCAAAUCCUUUUAUUACUAAAAAAAAUGAAUGAGAAGGUACUUUGGUCGGUCGAGGAAGAUGUUGCUUUGCUUUGUUUUUCACUUUCCAAAUCCUUCUAUCACAAAGAAUAAUAUUGUUUAAAUAUCGUAGUUGGUUAUCUUAGGCCUCAUUUGGCUGCUCGGACUGUACUGACUAUUUCAGUCGGAUAGGAUAAUCUGUCAUCGGACUGUACUGACUAAAUUAGUCAGGCGUCUGGUGCAGUAUCGUAUUAAUAACCGUAUUAUUUAUAAUGUGUUUGGUACUGUACUGGAUAAGAGAUCGGAUUAUAUUAUUUUUACUAAAAAAAUUUGAUGACUAAUGAAAAAAAAAAUCACAACAACCAAAUGCAUCAAAAUAAAAAAUAAAAUAAAAAUAAUAUUGUUUGUGAUUUUGAACUUUGAUAUUGUAUUUUCUAUUUGUCCUUUAUUUAAACCAAAUUAUAAAAAAUAAAAAUAAAAAAUCCUUUCUUCCCCAGAUCUUCUCCAUCGCAUAGCCCCCAGACACCCUCACUCCCUUCUCCAGUUUUCCUUACCAGUUCAAGAAAAUCUUCCCCCUCUAUACAGAAGAAGCGGAUUGUCGGUGUUGGCAUCAAUGGCUAGUGAGAACGGCAGUUACCCAUAUCAAACUGCAGAUUAUCAACAUUUCCCAAAUUUAACGUACUGGAGAUUCCCAGUGAGAACGACAUUUACUUGAAGUAAUGAUAUGAACUGGAGAUUCCCAGUGACUAUAUGAUACCUGAUUUCCUAAAUUUAAUCCAUAAUUUUAUUUUCAAUUUAUCGAGAGGUUGCAUUGGAUUGUCGAUAUCGUUGAACGGUGUUGCAGCGAUGUUGGGCAGUAGGUGAAUGCAGGCAAUUCUAGUGCUCCGACGACGUGGGUUUCGGUCAGAUCUAGUUCAAAUCCAGGGUCGAUGGCACGUGAACCCGUGCGGGUCCCGCAUAAGGAACUAAAGAGGAGAGAGAGAGGCAAAAAAGAAGAAAAGAGAAAGGGAAGAAGAAAGGAGGAGGAAGAAGAACCUGAGAUUGACGAUUGAGCGAUUUGGUGAAUGGGUUUGAGGAGAGAGAGAAGAAGAAAGGAGAAGGAGGAAGAAGAACGAUGGUAACAGAAGUGAGAAGAGAACGAUGCGCCACACCGAUGAAGCGAGGACACGAACCCAACUAAAUAAUACAGAGAUUUCUGGAAGGAUAAAUAAGCGGGCAGACACCGGAUAAAAGAUGUGGGCCCAGUUUAAGUAAUACGGGUACUAUUUAGUACGUAGUUGCACCAAACACCCGGAUCCAUAUUACUUAUCCUAUCCGAUUCCUUAUAUGGACUACCAAACGAGGCCUUAGUAUUGUAAUACCCUGAAAAUUUUAAAUAUAUGAAUAUGUGGAGAAAAUCGAAAAUAAAUCGAUUUAUGAUUAUGAAGAAUUAAAUCGAGCAUAUUACUGAGCUUUUAUAUGAUUUUUCAAGAAUUUAUAAUAAUUUGUGUAAGUUUAGUUUUAAAUUAAACUAGUUAUGAGAUUUAAAGUUUGGACCUUAAUUAUUUAAAAUACGUAGACCUUUCGAGGUCAAAAAUCAUAUUUUUGAAUAGAGCUCGACCUCAUGAAUGCGUAGGCGCAAACUGUUCGUGAAACAGAGUUAGAACGAAGAAUUUAUUAACGUUUAAAGUUAGGGGCAUUUUAGUAAAAUAGUUAAGUUCAAGAUAAUUCCAGAUUUUUGAGAAAAAUCUGGAAGGCCACGUGUGUGGCCGAGAUUUAAAGACAGAAAAUGGGCGGUGUAGAUGGAAAAUAAAGGAGAGAAAGGAGGGAGAGAGGAGCCAAUCAGAAAAAGAGGGAUGAAAGGUGACCAAUGAGAGAAGAGAGAAAUGGGGAGAAAGGAGAGAAGAGAGACACGGGGGAUCGGGACCCGGGUCUUGGUGACCCGACCCGAUCGGCAUCAUACACUUUUCCGGUGGAUUUUCACCCCUUUUUUCCGGUGAAAUGCAUCAAACCACCCCUUGGAAACCCCCUCCACGAUCUUCCCUCUUCCUAUUGCAUCCCAAAAAUCAUAAAAUUUGGUCUUGAAAUUUGGAGAAAGAACACUCGGUGCCGCGACUUUCCUUGCUUGAAAUCCAUCAAAAUCUGAAAUGUUUUGGUUCAAUUACAACCACCAUUAGACUCCCCUUAAGAGCUGGAAUAAAGCCCAUUCAUUGGUUGGGGUGUCGGAGUUGCUAUGGAGUCGAAUUGAGGACACCCAAAUCUUAGGGUUCCGACGGAUUUUGAUGAAAUUGGAGCCUUUUCCAGGCCAAAUUGGCCUUGGUUGCAGGUGUGAAAGUUUCUCUACUCAUUGAGAUCUUCAUUUCUGUAAUUUUUGAGAAUUUUUAAAAAUAAUUGAAUUUUUAAGCGAACCGGGACGGCCGACCGCCACCCGCGGUGGCGGGUGCAGUAGCGCACGGCCAGGGAGCCUACAAGUGUGUUUUAUGCGAAUUUCGUUAUUUUAAUUAUGUUUUUGAGAUUUAAUUGAUGUGGUUUGAAUAUUACUACGUUUUUGGUAUAUGUUGGAUUAAAAGAAUAUUUUCAGGUUUGGUUUAAAUUUUGAAGUUUUGAACUACGAAAGGCUUGAUCCCUGUUGAGGGUACGUAGGCAGUCUAACGAGACGUUAGAUGCAGCCAUAAAAUAAAUGUGUUUAAAUAUUCAAGAAUUAGUAUAUAGAUGGAAAUUGAUCCAAGAGAGAAAAUAAAUUAGCUAUGUUUUUAGGUUGGGCCUAACAUAAUUAUUUUCCCGAAAUAUACAAAUAUUUCGGGGCAGUGGCAUUACAAAUAUGCUAUACUUUUGCCUUGUAUUUGAAAUUAGAUAAUCGUUUUAUUUUAAAAAAACAAACUUACUAAGUUCACACUUAAACAUAUUUAAACAAACUUACAAAGGUCAACACACUUGCAGAUAACACAAUUAAAAUUAAACAUACCAACAAACAUGGAUCACACUUACAAGGCCAAACAAAGCAUAUAUAUAUAUAUAUAUGUAUGUAUGUAUGUAUGUAUAUGUAUAUUAUAUUGAUGAACAGUAUUGCCCUUGCUCUUGUCUUUGCCCAACUGGUAGUAGAGUUGCACAGAGACAAAGUAUUGUUCAUAGUAAAAAGUACGGGCAAGCCAACUGCCUUGUUCUUACACUUGCAUUCUCCAAACGGGUGAAACUGCUAUUAUGAUCGGUCUGAAGUAGACGCGCUUAUUCUUGGGUGAGGAAAUUGUCAGUCUCCUUAACAAGAACAACAGCUAACUGGAGCUGAAGUUGGGGAUCCGGAACCCCAUCAUGUAGCUUUUCAUAUUGUAAGACCAAAUUCACCACGCUGCCCUCAUCAUGAACGCCUAAUUUUGGAGUAACUUGUAAAGUGAUCUUAAAGCUCUUGUAUCGAUCUAGAGGGUUUCCUUCAAGCACUGUGAAAGUCACCGAAUGAUUUACAUCGUCUAUGGCUUCAGUUAACUCCUUGGAAAAAGUUGGUUUCCCAUCUGCUAACAUUUCAUCACAAAAUCAAUUACUUGCUUCAUCCACAAAAAAACAUGUAGACAUAUACAGUAAGAGAACAAUCUUUGAGCCACACUUACCUUCAAUAUAAUCCCACAAGAAGACACAACCCACUUUACCCCAUUCACCUUCAAGUAAUUUAUGACUCGGAACUUUGUCGGGGCUGAUGUUGCAUAUUUCGUAUGGUGUUCGUGCGAAGAAUUCAUGGAACCUGUUUGCUUCAGACUUGAUUUCAACACUCGUCUCCACCUUGCUAGAAUUUGACAUUUUCCACUAGUACCAGAGUUGAAGGAAAAACGACUUUGGCCCUUACACUUAUAUAGAAGAAAAGAGGGAAACAAAAACUUUACAAGAACCUAAUUUGCCCAUCAGACAUGGAUGUAUUUAUUCACUAAAAAAAAUGCGUUAGUUGUAUUAUUUUACUAGAACCGAACAAUUUGCCCAGUAGAGAUGGAUGGUGGAAUGUCUUGAUCAAUAUUAUUCCUCGUUUGCUCUCGUCGUUUCUAAGAAAACAAUGUUUUGUGGUUUUAUUAAAUAGCUGGAGACAAAAUGUUUCGAUCUUGUUCGUUUCUCUGUUUGUAUGCUUUUAUACAUGUUAUUUCUAAACAAUUUGUUUGUUUUAUGGUGGGCAUCUUUAAAAGUAAGAUACCCAUUUGUUUUUAGAGAAAUGUUAUUGUCACCUAAAAAUUUAAGUGUGUAUUUAUAAUUAUUUAUAUUUAAAAAGAAAAAUAUUCUUACAAUAAAUGUACAAUUAGAUUUUUGUAGUGUAAAUUUUCUGUCUUCAAUUUCGACUACUCGAAAUAUAUGAUCCGAUUGACCCCCAACCAUUGAGGUUUAAAUAUUUAUGGCUGGGGAAGACGAAUUCACCCAAACCUCGAACUCCUUUUCUUAGGAAAUAAAUUGAAAGUUAUAAUCUAAGGCCAAAUUCAAACCGAAACAACAACAUUCUAUUCUAUAAUUUCUCCUAGUCCUGAUCGGUUAGGGAUUCUAGUUAGUUCGUUUACAAACUACGUUGGCUAAUAUAUUUCAGUUACAGCUUCAUAUAUAAAUGCAUUCUUCGUCGAAUUAACAAAUAAUCAGUUUGUAUAAUUAAUUAAGAACAAGAGGACUCGAAACAGAAGCAGCAAAACAUGACCAUGACCAACAACGACAACGUUUUGGAGCCGCCCAUCAAUUUCUCGAUGGUGGAUGAGGGCGUAUUCCGAUCAGGCUUCCCGCAGCUGUCAAACUUCCCAUUCCUCCAAUCCCUUCAACUCCGUUCCAUUAUCUAUCUCUGCCCUGAGCCCUGUUAGGGCUUAAAAAGACUUUACUACUUUGGAGAUGUUUAUCUCACAAAGAAGAAUGUAAUGCAGCGGAAUUGAUAGGCAAGAGAAAGAAAGAACACUCAAAGUUUUUACACAAGAUUUUUUAUUCACUCACAAACUAGUACAAGAGGAAACACUUAAACACUCUUAGAAGCUUUGUUGCCUCUUACUUCUCACUACUUGCUCUCUUGGUUGUUUCAAAUGGUGUGGAUGCCUUCUCCUUUUAUAGGCAUGGAUGGAACCUUGGAGAAACAUGGAAACAUCAUGCUAGAUAUAUGACAAUUCCACUACCUUCCUAUGCUAGAAUUAUCUACACUAAUCUUGUAUGUUGGUGGAAUCCUCACCAUUCUUCUAGACUCUUCCACCAACUUGAACUUUGCUAGAAUUCUCUAGCAUGUGCAUGGAUCUUUCUUUGUGCAUGGGCUAGAUCCAUUAUCUUUGCGCCAAGACAAGAUUACAAUUCAACAUCCCCCCUUAAUCUUGUCUUGUGACGCCGAUUGUGUUCCUUAAUCUGACAAAGUCUUUUUGCCUGAGUGGUUUGGUGAAUAUGUCGGCGACUUGGUCUUGUGACUUCACGUAUUCCACUUGCACAUCCUUUCUUGCAAUACACUCUCUUAUGUAAUGAUAGCGGGUAUCUAUGUGUUUGCUCAUGUCAUGGAAUAUUGGAUUCUUUGCUAGAGCUAUUGCAGACUUGUUGUCGACAUAGAUCUCUAUUGGCUAUUCUUGUGGCAUGUUUAAUUCUUUUAGCAAGUUUCUCAGCCAGAUUGCAUGAUAGACACAUGAGGUAGCAGCUAUGUAUUCAGCUUCGCAGGUAGAGAGAGUGACAAUCGAUUGCUUCUUCGACAUCCAUGUGAAUGCAGUGUUUCCCAUAAAGAACACAAAUCCAGUAGUGCUUUUUCUAUCGUCGGAAUCUCCUGCCCAAUCACUGUCGCUAUAUCCAACAAGUUUGUAGUUAUCAGAACUUGAAUAGAACAAGCCAAAGUUAAUAGUACCUUUAAGGUAUUGAAGAAUUCUUUUGGCGGUCUUCAAGUGUGUAGUUGUGAGAUUCUCCAUGUAGCGACUGACUAAUCCGACGGCAUAGAGAAUGUCUGGUCUUGUGCAUGUCAAGUAGCGCAAGCUUCCAACUAAACUCUUGAAAAAUGUUGGAUUUACACUUUCUCAUUCGUCAUGCUUGGUUAGUUUGACUCCGCACCCCACUGUCGUGCUUAUGGGCUUGCAGUCUUUCAUUUUGAACUUUUUCAGUAUCUCAUAUGUGUAGCUUUCUUGGGAGAUGAAAAUGCUUUCUUCGUUCUGCUUGACUUCAAUGCCUAGGUAGUAUGCCAUCAGCCCGAUGUCGGUCAUCUCAAAUUCUUUGGUCAUCACUCUUUUGAACUCUUCAUACAUGCUUGGAUUACUUCCGGUGAAGAUUAUAUCAUCCACAUAUAAGCACACAAUCAGAAUAUCUUCAUCUUUGACUUUAACGUAGAGAGCAUGUUCAUGAUGGCACUUGAUGAAGUUGUUUUCUUGGAAGUACUUGUCGAUGCAACUAUUCCAUGCUUGUGGCGCUUGUUUUAACCCAUAAAGGGCUUUCUUCAGCUUCAGAACUUUGUCUUCAUGCCCUUUGAUUUCAUAGCCAAACGGUUGCUGAAUGUAGACUUCUUUUUCAAGGACUCCAUUUAAGAAAGCAGACUUCACAUCCAUUUGUUGAAUCUUCCAUUUGUUUUGAGCUGCCAAAGAAAUUAGUAAUCGUAUAGUUUCCAACCGAGCAACGGGUGCAAAUACCUCAUCAUAGUCGAUUCCGGCUCUUUGACUAUAGCCCUUUGCCAUUAAUCUCGCCUUGUAUCUUUCGACCUCUCCGUUGGCAUUCUUCUUUGUCUUAUACACCCAUUUGACUCCGAUGGCUUUGUGUCAUUUCGGAGAAUAGUGAGUUCCCAUGUAUUGUUCUUAUGGAUUGCUUCAAUUUCUUCAUCCAUUGCUUUCCUCCACUUAGUAUCUUGCAUUGCUUCUUGGAAGUCAACUGGUUCACAAUCAGCAAAGAGACAGAAAAGUGUAGGAUUAUCAAGUCUUUCAGCUACCUCAUAGAGAUCUCGUAGACUUCUUAUGUGUGGUACUUCUCUUUCAUUUAGACUCCCACUUGAUGAUGCUGAUGCUGGUGAAUUGCCAUGAUUGGUUGAUGUUUGUGAAGCAGGUGGAAUAGUGGAUUCUUGUUGAACCCCUCUUGCUUGCUCCAUCAUCCCUUGUUCAUUCUCUUCUUCAAACUAAGGAAAAAAGUGAAGAUCACCUGCAUGAGAGCCAAAAUCCCAUUCUCAUUCUUCAUCGAACGUCACAUCUCGACUGAUUACCAUCUUCCCAUUGUUUGGAUUAUACAGCUUAUAGCCUUUUGAAUUUGAGUUAUAGCCGAUGAAGAUGAACUUCUCACUUUUGUCGUCGAGUUUGGUUCUCCUCUCGUCUGGUACAUGUACAUGGGCUAUGCUUCCAAAAAUUCUUAGAUGGGAGAUACCUGGUUUUCUUCCACUCCACGCUUCUUGCGGAGUCUUUCCCCACACACUUCUUGUUGGAGACCGAUUGGAUUGGUAGACAACACAUGAUACAGCUUCUGCCUACAACUCCUUAGGCAAUCUCUUACUUUUGAGCAUGCUUCGAGCCAUGUCGAGGAUGGUUCGAUUUUUCUUUCCGCCACACCAUUUUGUUGAGGGGAUCUUGGAACUGUCAAAUGUCGACGAAUUCCAUUGGCUUCACAGAAUUCUUGAAAUUCCUUCGAAGUGAAUUCUGCUCUUCGAUCAGAUCUCAUGGCUUUAAUCUUGCAACCACUUUCUUUUUCUAUAGCAGCUUUGAACUUCUUGAAUGCUCCAAAUACCUAUGAUUUCUACUUUAAGAAAUACACUCAGGUUUUCCUUGAAAAAUCAUCAAUGAAGAGAAGGAAAUAAUUUAUUUUUACCCAAAGAGCUUGGUUUUAUUGGACCGCACACAUCGGUGUGAAUGAGUUCGAGUGGCUUCUGGGCUCUUGUGGUUGACUCUUUUGGAAAGCUUUUCCUGAACUGUUUCCCAAGUAAACAUCCUUCGCAAGCUUGAUCAGGACGACUGAUGCACGGUAAGCCUCUCACCAUCUCCUUCUUGGAUAAUAACUCCAGUCCCCCAAAGUUAAGAUGCCUAAAACGAAGAUGCCAAAGCCAUGAUGUGUCUUUGUAACAUAUCUUGAGACACUUUGCAACAUUGUUUUGAAUGUUCAUGGGAAACAUCCUAUUCUUUGACAUUUUCACCUUGGCAAUUAAUCUUCCUUUGUCAUCUAUAAGAAAAAGGCUAUAAUUUUUCAUGUGAAUAUCAUAACCUUUUUCUAAGAGUUGACCCAAGCUCAAAAUGUUGCUUUUCAUAUUAGGCACGUAGUAGACAUUUGAAAUUAAUUGGUGACCACCAUUUUUUAAGGGAAUAAGGAUGUUACCUUUUCCUUUGAUGGGUAUUUUGGAUUUGUUUCCAAAAGAAACGUUGCCACUCUCCGAUUCAUUGAGCUCUACGAACAUGCUUUUUCUUCCGCACAUGUGGUUGCUAGCGCCGGUGUCAAGAUACCAUGUAUAGUCUUGGUCUCCAUCAUUGUUCUUGCAUGCUAGUAGCACAAUGCCAUUAUCUUCUUUCUUUUCUUUCACAUAAUUGACCUUCUCAUCAGGCCUGUUGCUUGGAGCUUUACAUUCCCAAGCAUAAUGCCCAAACUUUUGACAAUUGUAGCAUUGAACUUGAGAUUUUUCAUACCUCAAGUUUGAGUGUCCUCUUCCAUGACCAUUUGUUGAGCUUCCUCCUUUUUCGUAGUUGUUAUGAUUGUUGAAGUUCCAACCACGUCCACGUCCAUGUCCGCGACCUCGACCGCGACUUCUUUCGUACUGGCUUCUCUCAUUAUCCAAUCUUUCUUCUUUCUUCUUUGGCUGGACAUGCGUCUUGAGGAGCUGCUCAUCAUUCCCUUGCCUCUUCUUAUGUUUCUCUUCAUAUGCUUGUAGUGAACCCAUUAAUUGCUCUAUACUAAUUUCUUCCAAGUUUUUUGUUUCUUCAAUCGUCACGACAAUGUGCUCGAACUUGGGGUCCAACGAGCGUAGUAUCUUCUCCAUAAUUCUAACAUUUUCUAACUUUUCUCCGUUUCUUUUUAAUUGAUUGGAAACGGCUAAGACUCUUGAAAAAUAAUCAGAGAUUGAUUCAGACCCUUUCAUUUGUAGAGAUUCGAACUCACCUCUUAGUACUUGAAGACGAACCUUUUUCACUUGUUUGACUCCUUUGUAAGAGGUUUGAAGCUUCUCCCAUGCUUGCUUGGCAGAGGUUGCACUCGAGACUUUCUCAAAGCCAUUGUCAUCUAAUGCUUGGUAGAUGAGGUAGAGCCUUCUUGUCUCUCUUUCUUGAAUCUUUCAAACUCUCAUUCUGGGGUUGGGACAGAGUAGCUUCAUCUUCUGGCUCAGUGUAGCCUUUCUCCACGACUUCCCAUACAUCAUGUGCUCCCAAAAGGGCCUUCAUUUUGAUACUCCAAUUAUUGAAGUUGUUGUUGUCGAGCACUGGAACUUGGAAGGCUGUCAUAGCGUUGCUAGCCAUAGCUCUGGUACCACUUUGUUAGGGCUUAAAAAGACUUCACUACUUUGGAGAUGUUUAUCUCACAAAGAAGAAUGUAAUGCAGCGGAAUUGAUAGGCAAGAGAAAGAAAGAACACUCAAAGUUUUUACACAAGAUUUUUUAUUCACUCACAAACUAGUACAAGAGGAAACACUCAAACACUCUUAGAAGCUUUGUUGCUUCUUCUCACUUCGCACUACUUGCUCUCUUGGUUGUUUCAAAUGGUGUGGAUGCCUUCUCCUUUUAUAGGCAUGGAUGGAACCUUGGAGAAACAUGGAAACAUCAUGCUAGAUAUAUCUAGACAAUUCCACUACCUUCCUAUGCUAGAAUUAUCUACACUAAUCUUGUAUGUUGGUGGAAUCCUCACCAUUCUUCUAGACUCUUCCACCAAUUUGAACUUUGCUAGAAUUUUCUAGCAUGUGCAUGGAUCUUUCUUUGUGCAUGGGCUAGAUCCAUUAUCUUUGGGCCAAGACAAGAUUACAAUUCAACAAGCCCUACCCGGAGGAGAGUUUGGAGUUUCUUCCGUCGCAAGGCAUUCGGCUCUUCCAGUUCGGAAUCGAGGGCAAGAAGGAGCGGUCUACGUCUCCGCUGAUUCCAGCAGAGACUAUCUCCGAGGCACUGAAAGUUUUGGUUGAAAUUGAGAAUCAUCCGGUGUUGAUCCACUGCAAAUGCGGCAAGCAUCGGACUGGUUGUCUGGUGGGUUGCCUGAGGAAAUUUCAGAAUUGGUGUUUGUCUUCGGCGUUAGAGGAGUACCAGCGGUUUGCCGGCGAAAAAUCUAGGGGGACGGAUUUGAGAUUUAUCGAGACGUUUGACGUAUUGGGCCCCAGGGGGGAUGCCUUCACGGCAUUGUCCGCCAUUAUUAUUAAGCUUAUGCUUCCGGAAAGAGGCGGUUGUUGUACAAACAAGAGUUGCAAACCCAUAAACCCUAGGUGAUGUUUUAGUUUUUACGUGUUGAAAUUUUAUGCCCUUUUAGUUGUACCAUAAUGAAAAUUCCUUCAUUCGCUUAGUGACGGGUCCCACGUAUGGGAGUGAUUUUUUUGUUGUUGUUGAUUUAGCAUAAUCACGAAAUUUAGACAUGCUUAUAAAUUUAGUCCUCAAUUUAGGAGUAGGAAAUUUUUAUGAAUAUAUGACGUGCAUGUUUACUUAAAAAAUUAGAAUGAAAAAUUAUGAAUCCAGAAAGUCAAAAAUACAAUGAAAGAAAUUUAGGAGUAGGAAAUCUUUUGACAUAUUUUUUUCUAUUUUUAUUUUAUUUUUUAGUUGUUGAAUUAUCAAUGUAAAGUAGAACUCAAAUACUUUUUGACUCCACAUAACCACAUAAAAAUCAAGAAUUGAAACAGAGUAAUUCUAAUACUAGUUCGUACUCUAACCUAGUGCAAAAAGUUAGAAUUGUAAAAAUUUAGAGCUGAUCUUGGUGAAAUAUAGAACGUCAUAGGACCAUGAUUCUGGAACUCCUUUCCCUCCUUCAACUGUGGUCGGCCUGGGUCAGAUUUCUCGUUCAGGGAUUUACCUCUUCUGAAUAGUCCGCCCUUGAUGGGUCAACUCUAGUUAGUUAAUCCAAGCAUAGGAAGAUGAGACAAAAUACACACAAAGUUGUUAGGAUAUCUUUUCUUUUUAUAUUUGAGCGAUAUUCUAAUCUAAUCCAAAUUCAUGGGAGGAUUCAAAUUUGGCUACACUCGGAUUCACAUAUUCGGAUUGAUUUUAAAUUAAAUCCAGGUUGAAACAGAAGAUAUUGAAGUUGGGAUUGAAAUAGAAGAUAAAGCGUAAUAUAAAGUUACAUUACAAUAACAUGUUCUAUUAAAUGAAAGUGACUAAAGAUUGAAAAAAAUGCUACACUGCGUGAUCAACUCCGGCAACGAGCAUUAGCACUGCAUCCACGGUUGUAGGGGUUACUCUGAUUCUGAGCACCCGGCUUGCAGUUGUUGGAGGAAGCACCUCUCUGAGAGCAAGGCACAGUGUUUCUCUGCAGAGCUUCAUAGCUUAUGUUUCGUGAGGUGGCUAAGAUGUGUUGAAUUAUAAGUCUCUAGCUGAUUAGAAAUAAGUUGUGAUGUUAAUAUGUGUAUGCACUUAUGUUAAAAUACUAAGUGAGAAGAUAUAUAGAUGUAAAGGCCAUGAGUGCCAUGUGUGAUGAUCUUAUAGAUUAGCUAAAUGUGUGGCUGAGAUCUGUUAUUUUGAAUGUCCAUGAUCCAGCUCAGGUUUUGUAAAGCUAUAUAUCCUCUCUUGCACGUUGAGUGCAAGCUAGAGAGACAUUUAAUGAAAACAUUAUUCUUCUGAGUAAUUGCAGAAGAAAGAACCACCACCUUCUCUCUCUGUUUUCUUUUUCUCUUUCGAAUUUGCUCUCUUUAAAAUACUAACAUGGCCUCAGAGCCUAUGUUCGAUUAGAUCUGGGCGUGUUCUGUGCACUCAAACAUCACCGGUUUUGGGUUCGGUGAAGUUUGCCGGAGUUUAUUUGUGAUCUAAGAACUACGUGUUCCUGGAUUCACACAAGCUCACGAUGGCUGAAUCUGGGAGUACUGAAGUAAGGACCCCGAUCUUCUCCGGUGAGAACUACGAGUUCUGGAGAAUCAAAAUGGUUACCAUUUUCAAGUCACAUGGACUAUGGAGUCUGGUGGAAAAAGGAAUUUCAACUCCCGAUUCGAAGAAGAAGAAAGCUAAGACUGAUGAAGAUACAGAUGUUGAUACUGACGAUGAUGAGAAAAUGGCUGCAAUCUUCAUGAAAGAUGCAAAAGCUCUCGGAAUCAUUCAAGGCGCAGUCUCCGAUCAGAUCUUCCCUCGAAUCGCAAACGCAGAUUCAGCAAAAAUGGCAUGGGAUCUGUUAUAUGGCGAAUAUCACGGUGGGGAUCAGGUAAGAUCGGUGAAACUUCAAAAUCUUAGACGAGAAUUUGAAUACACUAGAAUGCGUGAUGAUGAAUCUUUGACUGUGUAUCUUACUCGUUUAAAUGAUCUGAUUAAUCAAAUGAAGACGUUUGGUGAAACUCUGUCAAAUGAGAGAUUAGUUCAGAAGGUGUUAAUCAGUCUCACUAAGAUGUAUGAUCCUAUAUGCUUAGUGAUAGAAAAUACCAAAUGUCUAGAAUCUGUUGAACUGCAAGAGGUACUAGCUAUAUUGAAGAGUCAAGAGCAGAGGUUUGAUUUGCAUUCCACCGAUGUAACUGAGAGAGCAUUUUCUUCUCUUACUGUUAAUUCAAAAUGGCAGAAUCGAGGUUAUGCUCAGUCUAGUAUUUUUAAAUCACAGAAAAAUUGGAAUAAAAAGGGUAAGAAGUGGGAUUCAAAACCAAAGUUUCAGCAAAAAUCAUUCACAAAUGUUGCACAGAAUAGUACUUCUUCACAAGUUAUGGGUCAAGAGAGUGUAAAACCUCAAUGUAAAGUGUGUUCAAAGUUUCAUUAUGGUGAAUGUAGAUACAAUGGGAAAUCGAAGUGCCAUAAUUGUGAUAGAUUUGGACAUUGGGCCAAAGAGUGUACUGUUGGAAAGUCUGUUCAAAAGGCAAACUGUGCAAAUCAAAUGGAGGUGACAGGAAAUCUAUUUUAUGCAAAUUGUGCAGUUGCUGAGACUAAGGUCAAUGGAGAUUGGUACAUAGAUAGUGGUUGCAGUAACCACAUGACAGGAAAUGUGGAUUUGCUGGUUGAUGUGAGAACCAACAUAGCUGGCAAAGUUCAAAUGCCAACUGGAGAUCUUGUGAAUGUAGCUGGAAUGGGAUCACUGGUGAUAGACACAAAUAAGGGCAGAAAAUAUGUGAGAAAGGUAAUGUAUUUGCCUGGUUUAAAAAAGAAUCUGCUAAGUGUAGGUCAAAUGGAUGAGCACGGAUAUUUUCUUGUGUUUGGUGGUGGAGUGUGCAGUGUGUAUGAUGGUCCAUCACUGGAAUGUUUAAUCAUGAAAGUGAAGAAGAAAGUGAACAUGUGUUAUCCACUGGUUUUAUUAUCUGAGAAUCAAGUAGUCUUAAAGGCUAGUGUCACUCACUCCACUGAGAUUUGGCAUAAGAGAUUUGGACACCUGCAUCUUGAUGGUCUCAAACAGUUGAGAGACAAGGAUAUGGUACACGGCUUACCUCAGCUUGAAGACUACAAUGGAGUCUGUGCAGGUUGUCAAUUUGGAAAACAACACAGAGAAGAGUUUCCAAGAAGUCAAGUACAGAGAGCAACUUCUCCACUUGAACUUAUACAUGUUGAUCUGUGUGGACCCAUGAAAAAUGAGUCAAUUGCAGGAAAUAAAUAUUUCAUGCUUUUGGUAGAUGAUAUGACCAGGAUGAUAUGAAUCUAUUUUCUGCGAUACAAAUCUGAUGCAUUCAACUGUUUUAAAAAAUUCAAAGCCAUGGUAGAACUACAAAGUGGUUUCAAGAUCAAGUAUCUGAGAAGUGAUAGAGGAGGGGACUUCAAAUCAUUCGAAUUUGACUCGUUCUGUGAAAAAGCUGGAAUUCAAAGGCAGUUUACCCUUGCAUAUACUCUACAGCAAAAUGGAGUAGUAGAAAGGAAAAACAAGACUGUGGUUGAGAUGGCUAAAUCUAUGUUGCAUGAGAAGAGUUUACCAUAUUUUCUCUGGGCAGAGGCAGUUCACACAUCUGUGUAUGUUUUAAACAGAUGUCCCACAAGGGCUUUGAAAAACAUCACACCUUUUGAAGCCUACUCGGGAAGGAAACCAGGAAUAGCUCAUCUGAGAGUAUUUGGUUCAGCAUGUUAUGUUCAUGUUCCAAGUGAGCACAGACAUAAACUUGAGCCUAAAAGUUUCAAAGGGGUGUUUGUGGGAUAUGCAACUUGUGAAAAGGGAUAUAGGGUGUUUGAUCCCAUAUCAAAGAAGUUGAUAUUAUCAAGGGAUAUUGUUUUUGAUGAAGAAGCUGUAUGGAAUUGGGAAGUGAACUCUGAGCAGCCUAUCUCUACUACUGAAAACCUUGUUUAUGAUGAAUUAAGAACAGGAAGAAAUGAAGGAAUGAUGCAGACUCCUACCUCAUCAACAGCAUGCUCACCUAGGAAUGUUCUUAGUAUUGGAGAUUCUGUCCAAUCUAAGGGACUUACAUCAGGUGAAUCUGUAAACAACUCAAACUUGAGUGAAAAGGAUACUCAAGCAUUUGAUCAUACACCAUUGAAGUGGAGAAAACUGGAUGACGUCUUAGCACAAUGUAAUCUCUGUAUUAUGGAUCCAGAGAAAUAUGAAGAUGCCAAACAAGAUGUGUCUUGGUUAAAAGCCAUGGAGGAUGAGAUGUUCAUGAUUGAAAAGAAUGGCACCUGGAUGCUUGUUGAUAGACCAACUGAGAAACCUGUCAUUGGGGUUAAAUGGGUGUACAAAACCAAAUUAAACCUUGAUGGUUCAGUGUUGAAGAAUAAAGCAAGGUUAGUUGCAAAGGGCUAUGCUCAAAAGCCUGGCUUGGACUACAAUGAGACCUAUGCACCAGUUGCUAGGUUAGAUACUAUUAGAACUUUGAUUGCCUUAGCUGCACACAAGAGCUGGAAGUUGUAUCAGUUAGAUGUGAAAUCGGCUUUUUUGAAUGGAGUUUUACAAGAAGAGGUCUAUGUUGAACAGCCCGAAGGUUUUGUUGUUAAAGGCAAGGAAGAAAAAGUGUACAAACUUCCUAAGGCUCUCUAUGGUCUAAAACAAGCUCCACGAGCUUGGUAUGGUGAAAUUGAUAACUAUUUCACACAGUGUGAUUUUGAGAAGAGCCUAAGUGAACCAACUCUAUACAUAAAGGCAAGGGGAGAAGAUGUCUUGAUUGUUUCCAUCUAUGUAGAUGACAUAGUCUACACUGGAAACUGUAAAACAAUGCUAGAAAAAUUCAAGGAAGAUAUGAAGAUGAAAUAUGAGAUGACAGAUUUGGGAUUGUUACAUCACUUUCUUGGAAUGGGGGUGAUCCAAACCGACUCUAGCAUCUUCAUUCAUCAGAAGAAGUAUGCAAGUUCUUUACUAAGCAAGUUCGGUCUGAAUGAGUGCAAAUCUGUGAUCACACCACUUGUGGCAACUGAGAAAUUAACUAAAGAUGAUGGAAGUGGAGCAGUAAGUGAAGAGUUAUACAGAAGCAUUGUGGGAAGUCUUCUAUAUCUCACUGCUACUAGGCUAGACAUCAUGUAUGCAUCUAGUUUACUUGCUAGAUUUAUACACUGUCCUACUAGCAAGCAUUUUGGAACUGCCAAACGUGUGCUCAGGUACAUCAAAGGGACUAUAGACUAUGGUUUGGAGUAUACAAAGGGCAAGAAAGCAAUGUUGAUUGGCUAUUGCGACAGUGACUGGGGUGGAUCAUCAGAUGAUAGCAAAAGUACAUCUGGAUAUGCAUUUUCUUUUGGAAGUGGAGUUUUUUCUUGGGCUUCAGUUAAACAAAGUUAUGUGACAUUAUCCACUGCAGAAGCAGAGUACAUAAGUGCAUCAGAGGCUACUACUCAAGCUAUAUGGCUGAGAUUUGUCUUGGAAGAUUUCGGAGAACUACAGACUGAAGCCACUUCUCUUCACUGUGACAACACUUCUGCCAUUGCAAUCACUAGGAAUUCUGUCUUUCAUCAAAAGACCAAACACAUAGACAGAAGGUAUCACUUCAUUAAAGAUGCACUGCAAGAAGGAAUCAUUGAUUUGAUUUAUUGUCCCACUGAAGAGCAGAUAGCAGAUAUUUUCACAAAACCUUUAGCCAAUGAUCGGUUCAACUAUCUCAGAAAUUUGCUUGGAGUGAAAUCAGCUCAAGACUUAAAGGGGAGUGUUGAAUUAUAAGUCUCUAGCUGAUUAGAAAUAAGUUGUGAAGUUAAUAUGUGUAUGCACUUAUGUUAAAAUACUAAGUGAGAAGAUAUAUAGAUGUAAAGACCAUGAGUGCCAUGUGUGAUGAUCUUAUAGAUUAGCUAAAUGUGUGGCUGAGAUCUAUUAUUUUGAAUGUCCUUGAUCCAGCUCAGGUUUUGUAAAGCUAUAUAUCCUCUCUUGCACGUUGAGUGCAAGCUAGAGAGACAUUUAAUGAAAACAUUAUUCUUCUGAGUAAUUGCAGAAGAAAGAACCACCACAUUCUCUCUCUGUUUUCUUCUUCUCUUUCGAAUUUGCUCUCUCUAAAAUACUAACAUCGCCUGCUAAUCUCCGAGUCCAUGCCAAACUCAUCAUCACGAUCAUCCAUACACUCUGCUACAGAACCCUCGCAGCGAGGUCUCACUGGAACCCAGCUCACCCCAUGAUCGCCGCCUGCAUCAACGGAGAUGAUCAGAGCGGCCACGAAGGCCAAGGAAAAGAUAAUCGCUGAGGAAUUGGCCAUAGGUUUUGGUAUGGUCUGUGUUUUUAGCUGCCAACUUGUAUUUUGUUGUACGCCUGUUUAAUUACAGAGGGAGACAGAUGAGGCGGCAAGAGAGAGAAGAUAAAGUUGGUGAAUUCUUAUGUGUAUAUUAUUGCACUCCAUUGUGUUAUUUAUAGUAGUAAAAAGUAUAAAAAAGGGAAAGUCCUUGUUCUUUAAUUAAUCCAUAGUAGUAAGAAGGGAAAAUCCUUAUCUUUCAGGUAAUCCAUCUUAGAUAAGACACAAUCUACAAGAUAUUCUGCAGUCCCAUAAGGAUUUUUUACACACAUUCCUAGUAAGUUUGGACUUUGAUAUAUUUAAAUUUGAUUAAAUGAAAAAUUGGAUGCUGAUUUCUUCAAGGAGGUGAUUGUGGAUGCAAAUUUCUCCCUUAUUGAUCUUGGACAAAAUUGCACCUACAAAACAAUUAACACCUUAGGAUCAAGGCCAAGAGCCUCACGCGCCCACGAUGAACGCCGGGGGGGGGGGAGCUUUGGCCGAAGAACCUCUGAUGCCAAAGUUAGAAUUUAGAGAGAAAAGUGUUUAGAGAGUAUUGAGAAUUUUGCAAGUGUGUUGGACCUAGGUUUUGGUGAAAAUGGGAGUCAAUACAUAGGGCAUAGGGUGUAACUUAUGGUUUAAUGUGUGAUUUAAUGGAUUAAUUAGGCAAUUAAUCCAUUGAUUGGUUAAUCAACACAUUUUUGGAAUAAAUAUUUUGGGGGUUAUGUAAUUUAUACCUUGUGGAAAAUAUAGAAUGAGGAUGGAUGAAAUAACUUUGAAUUUGUUACUUAUUUUGGGCACGUUUGAUUUGGUUGAAGGAUAAUUAACCGCUGCUCGCACGUAGGAAUGCCGUUGUAACUCAAGAGUAUUUUGUCUUCUUUUGUCCAAAAAUCCAUGUGUUGCCUUGUGAUUAUUUUUGGCUCCAUAGUGAUUACUUAAAUGACUUGCACUAAUUAGCCUUAGGGCUAGUUUGGUAUUCCUGUGCUUUGAAAAAAAAACUGCUUCUGCUGUGAAAUAAAGCGGUAGAGUGUUUGGUAAACUUUUUUGUAAAAGUGCUUUUAGCAAAAAAAUCAGUGUUAAAGUGCUUGGUAAAUUUUUAUAUAAAACUGCUAUGAUUAUGUUAAAUGACUAAAAAUGAUAUAAUGUUAAAUUUAAUAUAUAAUUUUUUAUUUUUUAAUCUCUAUAAUUGUCGAGUCAUCCAAACUCUUCCAUUUUCCAAAUCCCAUUUAUAAUUCUAGAGUCAUCCUUUUCGCCUAAUUUUUUUUUUCAUUUGACUUUCAGAUCCGAUAUGUUAGCGUUCCGUUGGUCAUCAGACAGGAUCACACUAAGCGUAGGCUGUUUCCGGAUCAGAUCUAGCCGAAGAGCUCUCCCCCUAUAACUUGAAUAUGGCAGUUUCCCACUAGCCGCUUAAAGGAGUACUCAAGGAUUACCCUAUUACCAAUCUCGAAUUGGCCUCCUACUGUCCUCGCUAAGAAAGAGUCUGCCCGCUUAAUUCAAUGAAGGAGUUGAUAUUUAUCUAUUAAAGUAAUUUAUCAAUUACGGAAUUCAAGGUCGGAUGAUAUCAGUUCUCUGUACCCAAGAAGUUCGGGGAAAGGAAAUAGAAGCAAUGCAGACUGAAUUUGACGAACUCCCCACCCAUACUAAAAAGCAAAUAAAGACCCAUGUUUAGCGUCCUCCACUCUAAGGACCACAUUAUUGAAUAUGAUAGUAGACAGAUGGCAUUAUCCUGUAUUGACAAAUGUCAUAAUCGUGUGAGAUCAUUGUUGAGAUGUUAGCUUAGUCAAUAAGCUACUAUGUUUACUAUAAAUAGGAGAUUGCACCACCAUGUAACUAAGUCUUUUGUAAUUCAUUACAAUCAAUAUACAAAGAUAUUUUCUCUCUAUCUCUCUUUUUCUCUAUUUCUUUCUUCCUUGUCGAUGGGUUUCUUGAUUUCUACUUCCGCAACUCUGUUAUCAUGGUAUCCAAAGCCAAGUUCUCAAUUCGAUCUUCAGAAUUAAUGCUGGAAUUCAAAGCGGGGGAUGGUCUUGUGAAGGGAGUUAGAAUUUUUUUUGAGGUGGUGGAGAUUUCUGUUCGUCGGUGCCGUGUCGGUGUACUUCAAUCUCAUCUUCAUGCUGAUUUCUUUGAAGAUUUGAUGGUAUCUGUUCUUAUUCCUCUAUAAUUCAUACUUUGUUGAUUUCAAUUCAAGGCACGAAGCCAUUCUUGAGCACGAAGCUGAUUGUCUUUUCCGGUGAAAUUGAUCAUGCAAAAUUGGUGUUCUCUUGAGUGUAUAUUGGACAAUUGUUGAUUGUAUAAGCAAGAAAUGUUAGGGCACAAUGCCAUACUCUUGAAAAUUGUUUCCAAUUGUUGAUAUUUGUUGAGUUCUGAGAUAAUUGAAAAGUUAGGGCACGAAGCCAGAUUGUUGAGAAAACUUUGGGGCACGAAGCCAGGUUCAUUUUGUAAAUCUUGAAGGUUAUUGUUGAAUUGGUGUGUAUUGAUUCUGUGGUUCAUGAUGGCGUCUUCGUUUAAGAUUGAUGGUUUGUUAGGCAUGUUUACCAUUCGUUUGCAAGAAGACAAUUUUGCCAAAUGGUCAUUUCAAUUCUGUUUUGUGCUUGAAGGGUAUGAUCUGUUCGAUCAUUUUGAUGGUACUAAUGUUUGUCCGCCUAAGUAUCUGAUUUCUUUGGAUGGUGGUGUUACUAAAGAACUCACACAAGCUUAUAAGGAAUGGAUUAAAACUGAUAAAGCUUUGUUGAGUUUACUCAUCGCCAUACUUGGUGACGAGGCUAUUGAAUAUGUUGUUGGUAGUAAGACUACAUUUGAAGCCUGGACUAAUCUUACUGAUAGAUAUGCUACAGUUUCUAGGGCUCGCAUUAAUCAUCUCAAGACUGAAUUCUAUACAAUCAAGAAAGGGUCCGAUUAUAUUGAGAAAUAUUUGCUUCGGCUGAAGAAUUUGAAAGAUCAAUUGCUUUCUGCAGGGGAAGUGAUUUCUGAUAAUGAUUUGAUAGUGGUUGCUCUAGCUGGUUUACCUUCUGAGUAUAAUAUCAUUCGUACUGUAAUUGUUGCCAGAGAAACACCACUUACUCUUAAAGAAUUUCGAGCACAGUUGCUCAGUGCUGAGAGGACUGCUGAAGAUUUACCAAGUUCUCUUCAUUAUCCAAUAGCUGGAAUGUACUGUCAAGGAGAGUCUUCGAAUUCUGGUGGCUAUAAUGGUUUUCAUGAUCACAAUACAAGUAAUGGGAGGCAGUUUUAUCAUGGAGAGUCUUCGAACUCAGGUGGUCAAGUUAGUUCUCAUUCUACUGAAAACUAUGGUUUUGUGGGGCAAUACAACAUCUCUAAUCCAAGGGGUCAUUCGAGUGGGAGCUUCUCUCAAGCACAUAUUCCUCAGCAAUAUAAGUCUCAUAGACCUAAUAGUAAUAAUGGUGGUUCCAAUGGUUCUCGGUAUAAUUCCAGAUCAAGAUUCAAUGGGGGUUUUAAUACCAGACACAAUGGAAAUAAUGGUUUUUCUAGUAGCAGUGGUUCAAACAGUAAAUGGGGCUCUUCAUGGAACAAUUGGAAUGGCAAUACUGGACAGAAAUCUCAUGUGAUACCCGAAUGUCAAAUUUGCAGUAAGAGAGGGCACACUGCUCCCAACUGUUAUUAUAGAAAUGAACAGCAGCCUAUGGUUAAUCAAGGUAUUCCUGAGUGUCAAAUUUGUGGCAAGAGAGGUCAUGUUGCUCUUAAUUGUUUCCAUCGAAGCAACUAUGCAUAUCAAUGAGCAAAUCCACCUGCAACAUUGACUGCUAUGACUGCUCAAUCUUCCUCUGAUUUUAAUGCAAACCAAGCCUGGAUUAUGGAUACUGGUGCUACCCACCACAUGACUGAGGACCUUCAUGAUCUGAAUGUUGUCACACCAUUUGAAGGAGAUCAACAAAUCACAGUUGGAAGUGGAGAAUGUCUUCCAGUGAAACAUACUGGUUCCAAUUCUCUUCACACUUCUUCUAAAACUUUGAAUCUUCUUACUGUGUUACAUGUUCCUAAUCUUGCAGCUAGUUUAUUAUCCAUUUAUACCUUGUGUAAGGAUAACAAAUGCUAUGUAAUCAUGGAUGAAUUUGGUUUUUGGGUGCAGGACAAGGCAAUAAGGGCAAUUCUAAUGAGAGGAAUGAGUAGUGGCGGUCUGUAUUACAUACCAAAGAGUUUGUUCUUCAAGCACAAUCAAUUGCGACAGUCUGAAUCUUUUCCAAAAGCUUAUCUUGGGAAAUUGGUGCAAGCUUCCUUAUGGCAUCAUAGACUAGGUCAUCCUAGUAAUGCAGUGUUACAUAGUAUGCUUUCUCAUUCUCAGAUUGUGUAUAGGUCUGAUAAAAAUCAACAUGUAUACAGUGAUUGUUUGAGUGGCAAGAUGUCUAGACAAAGUUUUUCUUCUAGUUCUCAUAUCUCUGUAAGACUUUUUGAAAGGGUUUGUAGUGAUGUAUGGGGACCAUCUCCGGUUGUAUCAAUUGAAGGCUAUAAAUACUAUGUGAUUUUUGUUGAUGACUUUACUAAGUUUACUUGGUUCUUUCCUUUGACUUAUAAAUCUCAAGUUGCAUCAGUCUUUGAGCAGUUUUAUGCCUUUAUUCAGAACCAUUUUAAAACCUCAGUACAAUACUUUCAAUCUGAUGGAGGAAGUGAAUACAUGAGUUCAAAUUUUCAGAAGUUUUUGAAAGCUAGAGGUAUUAUACAUUUAGUUUCUUAUCCUUAUACCCCUCAACAAAAUAGGAUGGCUGAGAGGAAACAUAGGCACAUAAUUGAGACUGCAAUCACACUGUUGAAUUCAGCUAAGUUACCUCAUAAUUUCUGGACACAUGCAUGUAUUCAUGCUAUCUUUCUCAUAAAUCGAAUGUCAUGUUCUUCUCUGGACAUGAAUUCUCCUUAUUUUAAACUCUUUGGAAGUCAUCCUGUGUUACAUUCUGUUAAAGUGUUUGGGACUGCAGUUUAUCCUUAUCUUAGACCCUAUGUAAAGAAUAAAUUGGAACCAAGAACUGAACAGUGUGUUUUUCUGGGAUAUAUGUUGGGUUACAAAGGUGUGGUCUGCUAUCACAGGUCCAGAAAGAGGUUGUUUAUCUCUAGGCAUGUUUUUUCCUUUUCACAAACCAUGCAUAGUUCAAAGCAGACAUGAUGUUUCAUCUUCUUCUACGAUCCAUCCUAUCAUUGUUCCUUCUGUAUUUUCUGUUCAAUUUGCAAAUUCAGCUAGUAUGGUAGAAUUGGGUGAUCAUCACGAUUUUGGUCUACUUAGAUCUUCUGCAGUACAUACUUCUCAUUGUGCACAUAACAAUGGCUCCUCUUCCAGAGUAACAUCUGCUAGUUCAUUUUCUUUACAGGCUUCAUCAAAUUCCACUACUCCACUCUCUUCAUCAGCAUCUUCACAUGCCCUGUUGCCUGUCCCAAGUUUGCCUCACCCUGAGGUACAUUCCCAUCCUGUUACUUAUGCUAAUGUACCAGUUAAUGAUGACAAUAUUGUUGCUUCUCCUCUAUCCUUGUCAACUCAUCCAAUGCAAACAAGAUUGAAGACGGGAACCAUUUCUCGAAAAGAUUACACUGCAUGUUCAGCUAGUACAUCUCUUGAAUCUUCUGACAAUUCAUUUGGUUCGAGUGUUUUUCCUUGUCUUGGUUUCACUGAUGUCUUUGAUAUUAAGGAACCUACAGAACCAUCAUCAUAUAAACAGGCUGUUACUUGUGAACAAUGGAGAGAAGCUAUGAAAGAGGAAUUCAAUGCUCUUCAUAAACAAGGAACAUGGGAACUUGUUCCAAUGCCUACUAACAAGAAUGUCAUUGGCAGUAAAUGGGUAUAUAAGAUCAAACGAGAUCAGAAUGGCAAGAUAUCAAGGUAUAAGGCGAGAUUAGUAGCUCAAGGUUUCAGUCAAGAACAUAGUUUGGAUUAUGAAGAAACUUUUAGUCUAGUGGUCAGACACAGUACUGUUCGGAUUGUUCUUGCUUUAGCUGCUACAAAUAAAUGGCCUUUAAGGCAAUUUGAUGUUAAAAAUGCAUUUCUCCAUGAAGAUUUGCAGGAAGAGGUUUUCAUGAAGCAUCCUCAAGGUUUUACAGAUUCAUCUCAUCCUGAUUAUGUCUGUAAAUUGAUUAAGUCCCUUUAUGGCCUUAAACAGGCACCUCGGGCAUGGAAUUCUAAAUUUACAACAUACUUGCCUUUUCUUGGUUUUGUGGUUUCCGAAUCAGAUACAAGUUUAUUUGUCAAGACCCAAGGUGAUGCAGUUGUUAUUCUUCUUCUCUAUGUUGAUGAUAUAAUCAUCAUUGGAUCUGAUUCAGUAUUGGUUCAACAAGUUAUUUCCAAUCUUAGAGAGGUAUUUGAUAUGAAGGAUAUGGGGGCUCUCACAUUUUUUCUUGGAUUACAUAUUACUUACCAAGUGAAUGGCGAUUUGUUUCUUUCUCAAUCGAAAUAUGCCAAAGACUUGAUAAAAAAGGCGGGUAUGACUACUUGUAAGCUUUCUCCUACUCCUUGUAAACCUCAUACACAACUAUUGCGAAAUGAAGGAACUCCACUCAUUGAUCCUACUAUUUUUCGAAGUUUAGUGGGUGCACUGCAGUAUCUGACUUUUACCAGGCCUGAUAUUGCGUUUGCUGUCAAUUAUGCAUGUCAAUUCAUGUCCAAUCCUACUGAUGUACAUUUUGAGUUAGUCAAACGCAUUCUGAGGUAUUUACAAGGGACUGUUGAGUGUGGUGUUACUUAUUCAUCUGCUGAUACUAUGGAUCUCACUGCAUUUAGUGAUGCUGAUUGGGCAUCGGAUAUCAAUACCAGAAGGCCCACAACAGGAUAUAUGGUGUUCUUGGGACAAAAUCCAGUGUCUUGGCAGUCUAGAAAACAAGGUAGUGUUUCAAGAAGUUCGACAGAGGCCGAAUAUAAAGCUCUAGCCAAUGCUACUGCAGAAAUAGCUUGGAUUCGAUUGAUUCUUAAAGAUUUGAAAGUGUUUCUGCCUUCUCCCCCACUUUUGCAUUGUGAUAAUGUUUCCACUAUUGCUCUGUGCUCUAAUCCUGUUUUUCAUACCAAAAUUAAACAUCUCGAUACGGACUUUCAUUUUGUUCUUGAACGGGUUCAAAAAGGAGAUUUACAAGUGGAGUACAUUUCUUCUACAGAUCAGGUUGCUGAUAUUCUUACAAAAUGACUUCAUGGACCUGUUUUCUUACAUCAUUGUCUUAAUCUCAAACUGGGUUCCCCAGUUGCGAUUGAGGAUGGGGUAUUGAAUAUGAUAAUAGACAUAUGGCAUUAUCCUGUAUUGACAAAUGUCAUAAUCGUGUGAGAUCAUUGUUGAGAUGUUAGCUUAGUCAAUAAGCUACUAUGUUUACUAUAAAUAGGAGAUUGCACCACCAUGUAACUAAGUCUUCUGUAUUCAUUACAAUCAAUAUACAAAAAUAUUUUCUCUCUAUCUCUCUUUUUCUCUAUUUCUUUCUUCUUCCUUGUCGAUGGGUUUCUUGAUUUCUACUUCCGCAACUCUGUUAUCACACAUUAUCCAGAAGUUCAUUCUCAUUUACCUCAAGAUCAUCGACAAGAUCGAUCUUCCAAUUUCUGAGACUGAGAUUUCUACCUUUUUUCCCCCUAGUUAUAUAACUUCCACUACCACUAGUUUCCCAAUUUCAUCUCCCCUACCAUCCAUGGCGUCUGCAAGCUCUCACAAACACCCAUCUCCUCUGUCAUCCACUACUUUCCCCAUCACUUUCCCACCUUCCUCUUGGAGUUGUAGAAGGAGCUUGCUAUGAAGAUCUGUUGUGUGAAAUUGUGCAUCUUGGAUUGAAAACUUUUUUAACACUGGGUUUUGGAUUUGUUUCCUGGUCUGCAAUGCGACGACGAGUUGAAAAAUACUCUGAUCAGAUUUCGAUUUCGAAAAUUAAAAUCUGGUAAAACAAGAAUAUCAACGAUGAAGAUUCGAUCUCAACCCAAUGAGAAGGAGAAACGGAGGAGCGUAUUUUUGAGAUUGUGAAAGUUUCAUUAAAAUCUACUGUUCACCCGCCUUCUUGAAAAAAUAAAAGCUGGUUUUGAGAAGCAGCAAAAAUGCAACUUCUGAUUUUUGCCACUUUUCAGCUUAUAAUGACCUGUGAUUUUUAAAAUAAGCAGAGUUACCAAACACAAAUUGUACUCCAAUUUUUUUUCAUCCCAGCUUUUAAAAUAAUUUAAGCAGUACCAAACCUUACCUUAUUCUAAUUGCAACAAAGAAAGCUGAAACUGGAAUAAUUCGUGAUUUGUUCAAACCAAGAAUACGAAAUCAACAACCUACUAGAAAAUAUGCUCGUAGAGAUUUACGGGUUGUUUCAGCAAGUAAUUUUGCUAAAAGCGCUUUUAUUAAAACAACGUUGAUAAAUCACUUUUAUAAUGAUAUAAGCAUGCCAAAAGAUUAAACUAGUUUACAACAUCAAUAUUAUAAUGAUAGUACUCUCAGUUCAUUCUUGCUCAUAGAAUUAAAGAGAGAAACCGAACUAAACAACAAUGCGGACUAGCUUGGUCAACUCUCAGGCCUUUAUUCUUGAAGAUAGCAAAAUUACUCAAAGUUCCAUAUCAUAUGUAUGCAUAAAUCUUGUGCUUGGCACUUAUUCCUUGAGAAGAUGUGCAUCAAUAUCUUUAAUGACAUUGACCAUAAAGCUGAGGUACUUCUGUGGAGGCGGAUCGUUCUCGUUGAGUUUUUCAUAUUCUAAAGUAAUUUUCACAAAACCUCCUUCACUCUUUGGAGUGACCUGGAAAAUGAUCUUGUAGCUUUUGUAAUUGUCCAGCACAUGUGAUCCUUCCAGAGCUGUAAGACUCACCCACUUGUUUACUUCAUCUAUUUCCACCUUUUCCUUGAAUGUCUCGACAUUUCCAUCUACACGUCACAUGGAAAAUUACAAUGAUACAUCUAUUCAUGGAGAGAUUUUUCAAUGCUCAGAACACUAGGUGGUACGACACAUUAUUAUACAAACGAAUGAAAAUUAUUUUCAAGUGUCUUUUCACUUAUAUAAUGAAAUAUAAUUUAUGUAUCCAUGUUCCGAGCACACUAAAAAUUCUCUCAUGUCCAUGAUCCGAUUCUUUAUAUAUUCAUCGUCAGGUAAUGCAAACCUAAUGGCGCAUGGAUGGCCUGGUCAAUAUAUUUCAGUUUUAAUUCUAGAAGAAUCUUAUACGUACAUAUACAUAUCACGUUAGCAUGUUUAUUUCAUAGCAGGUUAGUUUGUGUUAUUAAAAAAAAAAAAAAAUAAUAAUAAUAGUAAUAAUGUUACAGUAUUAACUAUAAACGUAACAUUAUUAUUAUACAACUUUUUUUAACAAACAAUAUUAUCUACAUUAAGGGAAAGAGGUGAGCUUAGCCUCACAAUGUUUGAACGAUGGAAAUAAAUUUGGACUUUUGACAAAAUUUAGAAUUUAUAAAUUAACAUGCACCAAUUCUCUUGUCUAGAUUCAUAAACAUAGAAAUUUAGAAUUUCCGCGUGAAAAAAGGGAGAAUUUGAGACCUCCAAUUCCCAAGUUUAAAUUUCAUGUAAAUAAGUCACUCAGUAUUACAGUCUUAUAGUAUUUCUCUUCACUUGAAAGUGAGAGGUUAUAGGUUCGAAUCUUGUUAAUGACGAAUUUGAUACCAAAUUAGGCUACCCAUUGUGUGGCUUUGCCGAACUCCCCCUCCCCUUAGUGUAAAAAUAUCGAUGUACUAAAAAAAAUCAUGUAAAUAGGUGUUAUUCCAAAUUUUUAUGAGUGAGAGUUUAAAGAUAACAAAUUCUAUAUUGAAUUUAUAUUAUUCUUUUAAGUUAGUCAAACAAGAAAAUUUACAAAUUCUAGAAAUAAAAUUUCAUAGUAAUUUUAAAUUUUCUCAUUCAAACAUAAUGUUAGAGUCAUGAUGUAACACCCGUCGCUUUUUAUUUAACAAAAUUAAUUAUUAGUUUAACUAGGUUAGGAGGAGAGAGGAGGGUGAUUAAUUUCAUAUUACCUAGGGUGUAUUUCCAGAGCUUGACAGAGCCAGAAGUUUCCCAGUCACCUUCAUGUACUGCAACAUCGUGUAUUUUAUCAGAGGCUGCUUUGGGGACGUCGUGGUGCUGGUUGCUGAUGACUUUGUACAACUUAUCAGCGUUGGCUUUGAUCUCUACCUCAACCUCCACAGUCAGCUUGCAAGCACCAGCUCUGUUGAAUAUAUCAGUCCACCUCAUCAUUCCAGCUCAGCAAUAGUUAGUUAGGCUGUUAUCAAAUUAGUUAGUUAAAUAGCUUAGGCUGUAAACUAGUCAUGAUGGCUAUAUAAACUGUAUUCUCAUAGUUGUAAAGAUUAAUUCAGUAUCAAUGUAACCAAUUACUGUCUCUCUCUCUUAUUCCCUUUUCUCUCUUCUUCUUCGGUACAUGCUCUUUCUGCAACUCUUCAUUUCUGUUAACAUGGUAUCAUCGCCAUGGAUGAUCUUUUGACUUCCGUUGUAGUACCUCUGAUGGGUAGCUGAUCUCUGUGUAAGGUUGAUGACGUUUUGCUGUUCUUGGGAGGCUUCGAUACUUGUCUAUGGAGUUUUCGUUGGUGAUGAAGAUCUGUGCGCUCCAGGUGUUUGAUAAUUUGUGUCAGCCAAUUGUCGGAGUUUGCGAGGAUUCUGGUAUAGGUGUGUCAUCGCCGGAGGUCGGUUCUUGGUGAUUUGUUGCUCUUCCGCUGUGGGUGAACAAGCUUGGAUGUUCGAGUGCGUUUUCUGGGUUUCAAGAUUCAAGUUCUCAGGUUUUGUUUCUGAUUACUAGUUUUCUUUCCAGCAUAUCAACUAUUGUGACUCAGUGAGAAUUUUGUUGGGAAUUUCGGAAGUGUCAAGGCCAAUAGCCGUAUACUUCAGAUUUGUGAAGAGUUCAAGGUCGAAUGUCAUAUUUGAGAAUCUUUAAGGCAAAUUGCCAUUUCUCAGUUGCUAUAAAAUUGUUGAUUGUAUUUCCCUAAGGCCGAUUGCCGGGAUUUUAUGUUGUCUAAAAGAUUGUCUGUUAAUUGGGUUCUCUGUGAUUGUAUGCUGUACUCCCUUAAGGCCGAUUGCCGGAGUAUAAAGCUGUCUGAAAGUUGUUUUCUUGAUGCAAAGUGUUUGUUGGGAUAGAGAGGCCGAUAGCCAUUUCCCUUUUAUGUUUCACUUCAGAAAGGCCGAUAGCCAGAAGUGUGUGUAGAACAUUAACUGAUUUAGAAGAAUAUGAAGGCCGAUUGCCAUUUCUUCUAAGAGAAAGAUUGUUUAGUAGGAUUUGAAGGUCGAUUGCCAUUGUUGAAAGAUUGCUGAAAGAUUGAAUCUUUGAUUCAUUAUUGGGUAUUGUUUGAUUGUUUGUUGGGUAUUGUACACUCAAGAAGGCCGAUUGCCAAGAGUGUCUUAGUUCAAGAUUCUGCAAAGUUGUUCAUAUUCUAUCUGCAAAAGUGAUGUGUGAUGAUAAUGGGAUGAGCAACCUGUUUUAGUUUUGGCAAGUUUGAAAGGAUGAUAACUAUAUGUGGUUGUACCUUAUCGCAAAAGAAAAUAGUAGCUACAGAGGUGUAGAAAUCAGUUUGAGGGGCUGAAAUUCUUUGGGCAGUUGAUGGAUGAGUAUGAAAUUGCAUCGUUCUUAAGUAAUUUUCAAUGCUUGCAGCCAUGGAGGAUUAAUUGGUGAGGAGCAGCAGAGCUAGGAGUAUAUGGACAAGAAGGACUUCCUAAGUUCUACAUUUCUCAAAGCACUCAUUCAAUCUCCAACUAGGAAACUCAGUUGAGAUUGAGGGGGGAUGUUGAAUAUAUCAGUCCACCUCAUCAUUCCAGCUCAGCAAUAGUUAGUUAGGCUGUUAUCAAAUUAGUUAGUUAAAUAGCUUAGGCUGUAAACUAGUCAUGAUGGCUAUAUAAACUGUAUUCUCAUAGUUGUAAAGAUUAAUUCAGUAUCAAUGUAACCAAUUACUGUCUCUCUCUCUUAUUCCCUUUUCUCUCUUCUUCUUCGGUACAUGCUCUUUCUGCAACUCUUCAUUUCUGUUAACAAGCUCCACUCACUGCCAUUUUCUUUUAUUUGUUAUUAGUAAUAUGUGAUUAGUCUGGGGAAAUUGUAGGAGACGUAUACUAACCUACAGGUUUCAACUUCUUAUAUAGAGUCGCAAAGUUGUAAAUUAACAUGUUAUAAACUGAUAGUUAUGGAGGCAGCGUGUGGAUAUGAUCCGAUCACUUAAUUAAAUAGUUAUAUAAUAAUAUUGUGUCUGUGGAUCUUCCACGCAGAGUUUUAUUAUUACACCUACCAAACUUAAGAGCACCCGCAAACUUGAUGAGACAUAUAUCAACACGUGAGAACAAUGAUUGAUCAACAUUACCUCCAUAGUAUUAUUAGAGUGAAUGAUUGUAUGAUAUUAAUUAAGCAUUAAGAUCUUGGGAACUUUAAUGAAAAAUUUCUGGUAUUAUUCAUUUUAAUAAAAAAUUAUAUUUUUACAUUAAAAAGUCAAUCUUAAUACUAUUCACUUUAUUCUUUAUUUUGUCCUUAUUGUUAAAACUCAAAAUUUUCAAGCCAUUUUCAUUAAUUUUCUUUAAGAUCUUUUGAUUUGGCAUGCGGAAGUGUGUGUUUGUAUAUUAUAUAGGGAUAAUACUAAGUUAGGUUCAUAUUAUCUUAACUAGUGAUAAAUUAAGGGUUCUUUCGAGUUAUUCGAAACAGUGGUUUAUAUUAUCUUGACAUACGUGCAACCAAACACAAAAAAGAGAGGCUGUAUUGGCUUCCAAAAUAAAACUAGAUGCAAACAAUAAUGUGGAGUUCCGGUUACUCUUUUGGAAUCAACCAAAGCUGAAUCAUUGAUGCCUACUUUCAGAAAGUUUUCCUUUUCUGCAUGCAGAUCUUUUCAAUGGAUGUAGCUCGUUUUGGGAGGUAACCACUUACUUCUUCGAGUUCAUUAAUUUUAGUCAAUCUAAAGUAAUUUAAUUAAGUUUAUUAACCUUACAAUUUUGAGCGUUAAUACUCAAUUUUGGAGGAAUUGCAUCACGUUUACGUAAAGGCAAUCGAAAUAAUAGAGUGGAAUUAAAUUUCAAUUACGGAAUACUCCAGUAUUUACUAAAUAUUGGAGAAUAAAAAAUUUGAUAGCACCCACUCAAUUUUUUUAAUCCAAUACUAAUUCAUACUCAAAUUUUGGAAUAAAAAAUCUAAUACUAAUUCGUACUCAUCAAAUGAAAGUAAAAUCUAAUUCUUCAUUUUUUAAGUACUUAAUUAUUGUAAUGUGAGUAAACGCAUGAAAAUCAUGAUUUAGAAUAUUUUCUAAUGCAGACUCUAAGUCUGAAAUUGAAAUAUAAAGAUAGCCCUUGAAGGGUCGAUUCUGGUUAAUCUAGGCAUGAGAAUACGAAAAAAUACACACAAAGUUAUUAAGAUAGCUUUCCUUUUUUAUAUUUUAGCGAUAGUCUAGUCUAAUCCAACAUUAGACCACAUUCAGUAAUUCAAACUAAGAGAAGGGGGAUUCAAACUUGGCUACACUCGGAUUCUCAUAUUAGGAUUGAUUCUGAAGUAAAAGAAUAUAACCAAGUUGAUCAAGAAAUUUCAAAAUUUCUAAUGGAAACUUAUUAGAAUUUUUUUGUGAAUGUGUUGAAGUUGGGAUUUUUUUGUUUUCGUAUUGAAGUUGGGAUUGAAACAGAAGAUAAAGCAUAAUAUAAAGUUUCAUUACAAUUAACAACAUGUUCUAUUAAAUGAAAGUGACUAAAUAUUGAAAAACAUGCUACGCCGCGUUGAUCAACUCCGGCAACGAGCAUUAGCACUGCAUCCACGGUUGUAGGGGUUGCUCUGAUUCUGAGCACCCGGCUUGCAGUUGUUGGAGGAAGCACCUCUCUGAGAGCAAGGAACAGUGUUUCUCUGCAGCGCUUCAUAGCUUAUGUUUCGUGAGGUGGCCAAGAUGCGCCUGCUAAUCUCCGAGUCCAUGCCAAACUCAUCAUCACGAUCAUCCAUGCACUCUGCUACAGAACCCUCGCAGCGAGGUCUCACUGGAGCCCAGCUCACCCCAUGAUCGCCGCCUGCAUCAACGGAGAUGACCAGAGCGGCCGCGAAAAUCAACGAAAAGAUAAUCGCAGAGGAAUUAGCCAUAGGUUUUGGUACGGUCUGUGUUUUUAGCUGCCAACUUGUAUUUUGUUGUACGCCUGUUUAAUUACAGAGGUAGAGAGAGGGGGCGGCAAGAAAGAGAAGAGAUAAUCGGUGAAAUUUUGAUGUGUAUAUUCUUUCACCCUAUUGUGCUAAUUAUAGUAGUAAAAAGGGAAAAUUUUUGUCUUUCAAGUAAUUCAUAGGAGUUAGGGAAAAUCCUUGUCUCUCAAGUAAUCCAUCUAAAAUAGGACAUUAUGUAAAAGAUAUUAUACAAUUCCAUAAGGAUUUACACAAUCAUAUUCCUAAUUAAAUUAAGACUGUGACAUAUUUAAAUUUGGUUAAAUAAAAAUUGGAUGUUGAUUUCUUUAAGGAGGUAAUUACUUAAUUGACAUGCUUUAAUUCAACCUUAUUCCAAUUGCAACAAAGACAGCUGAAAUUGAAAUAAUUCGUGAUUUAUUCAAAACCUAACAAGAAAACAAAAUCAACAACUACUACAAAAUAUGCUCGUAGAGAUUUCCGGGAUGUUUCUGCUCUUAAGUGUUUUUGCUAAAAGCUCUUUUAUCAGUACAAGGUUGAGACUUUAGUUAAAAAACUAAGUUGUUCUCGAAAAAAUAUAAGCAUGCCAAUAGAUUGAACUUGUUUACAACAUCAGCAUUAUAAUAAUAUCACACUCAAUUCAUUCUUGCUCAUAGAAUUAAAGACAAACCAAAUCAGAAACCGAAAUAAGCAACAGUGCUAACUAGCUUGCUCAGCUCUCAGGUCUUUAUUCUUGAAGAUAGUAAUAUUACUCAAUGUUCCAUAUCGUAUGUAUGCAUAAAUCUUGUGCUUGGCGCUUAUUCCUUGAUAAGAUGUGCAUCAACAUCUUUAAUGACAUUGACCAGAAAGCUGAGGUACUUCUGUGGAGGCGGAUCGUUCUCGUUGAGUUUUUUAUAUUCUAAAGUAAUUUUCACAGAACCUCCUUCACUAUUUGGAGUGACCUGGAAAAUGAUCUUGUAGCUUUUGUAAUUGUCCAGCACAUGUGAUCCUUCCAACCCUGUAAGACUCACCCGCUUGUUUGCUUCAUCUAUUUCCACCUUUUCCUUGUAAGUCUCGACAUUUCCAUCUACACGUCACAUGGAAGAGUAUAAUUAUACAGCUAUCCAUGGUCCGAUCCUUUAAAUAUUCAUCGUGUGGUAAUGUAAACCCUAUGCAUGGAGGUCUUGUCAUUUUUAAUUCUAAAAGUACAUAUAUAUGAGGUAACGCAAACCCCUAGCUUGCUAGGUUUCAAGUUAGCAUGCCUAAUUAUUUUGCAGCAGGUUAGUCUGUGGUAUUAAAAAAAAAAUGUUAGUCAUAAGUAUAACCUUAACAAUGUUUGGUUGUAAUUUGCUUGCUCCUUCAUGCAAUCUCACAGUCUCACUACCACCUCCACAAGUUUGCGGAGUAAGCAUCUUCAUUCGCCCCAAAAGGGCUUCGUUUCACUAUCUUUUACACAGCGGAGGCUGUAUAAAGCUACGACAGAACAAAAUUCGGCACCCGGGAGAGGGACGAUCUCCAGAGAUUCUUUAACAUUUUUUGUAUUUCUUUUUUUGUUGAAUCAUUUCUUGUAAUUUAAACAUUUAGCGUCAUCUUGUAAUUUAAAUAUUACCUAUGGUGUAUUUCCAGAGUUUGACAGAGCCAGAAGUUUCCCAGUCACCUUCAUGUACCGCAACAUCGUGUAUUUUAUCAGAGGCUGCUUUGGGGAAGUCAUAGUGCUGGUUGCUGAUGAAUUUGUACAGCUUAUCAGCGUUGGCUUUGAUCUCUACCUCAGCCUCCAUAGUCUCCAGCUUGCAAGUACCAGCUCCACUCACAGCCAUUUUAUUUUAUUUGUUCUUUAUAAUAUGUGAAUAACGAUAGUGUAAGUCUGGGGAAUUGUAGGAGACGUAUACAAACCUAUAGGUUUCCACUUCUUAUAUAUAAAGCCAUGUUAUAGUUACGGAGGCAGUAUGUGGAUAUUAUCCGAUCACUUAAACAGUUAAAUGAUAACAAUGUGAGAGUGGAUCUUCCACGUAAAAUUUUAUCACCACUACACACCUACCAGAAUAAAACUUUUUUCUUUUUUUUUUUAAUUAAAAGAAGAAAUGUCAAUUUCAUUCCGCAUUAUUAUCAUGGAACAAGACAUUAUUUUGAAUACAUUGAAGAAGAAAAAAAAAUAUAUAUAAUAAGUUAGAGGGGACAUGAAGCCUAGCCCUAACAAGAAGUAGAAAACUAUUUGAAACAACAAUCAAUUAAGACAACUCCUAAGAGAAACAAGAAUUUGGAAACACCGAAAGAUUAUGAGCAAAAGUCAUAACUGCACAUGACGGAUAAGAAUCACACAAAUAAUGAAAACUAACAUGAUCAACAUAAUAGUUUGCUAAACAAUUUGUUACAUGAUUUCCUUCCCGAUUAACGUGAGAAAACUGAACAUGCAUGGAAGAGAGAAUGGUAUAGUAAUUUGUCAAAUCAACCGAUAAACUAUGGUGCAUUGCCAAACAAGAAUUACACUCAUUUCAAAGAGAAUGCUGCUAACCCCUUUCGAAAGCAAUAUAAAUAACAUGAAUAAUAGCUUUAAGUUUCACUUCCAAAGCAGUAACAAUGCCAAAAAAAUCUUGUAUUAAAGCAUCAAAGAGACCCAAGUGAUCACGAAAAAUACCACAAAAACCAGCAAACUUGAUGAGACAUUUCAACACGUAUAUAUAUAAGAGGAUCAAUGAUUGAUCAACUUUACCUCCAUAGCAUUAUUGGAGUGAAUGAUUGUACGAUAUUGAGGCGUUUGUUUGGAUUUGGCACGAGGAAAUGUGUGUAUAUAUUGUAUAUAUAGUGAUAAAACUAAUUUAGGUUUAUAUUACCUUAACUAGUGAUAAAAUUAAGGGUUCUUUAGAGCUAAUAGAAAUCAAUGGUUUAUAUUAUGUUGACAUAACCUAGAGAGAGAAAAAAAAGAGGUUGUAUUGUCAUCAAAAUAAAAUUAUGACACAAACAAAUAAUGUGGAGUUCAUGUUACUUAUUUGGAAUCAAUCAAAGCUGAAUCAUUGAUGCCUAAUUUCAGAAAAGUUUUUCUUUUCUGGAUGCAGCAUCUUUUCACAGGAUUUUUUUUUCGGUUGUUGUAUUGUGAAGGAACUUCUUGGAUAGUUUUUUUUCCCUUUUACACUAGCUUAGUGUCUUCCUGCCAAAAUAAUGACACAGAAAUUUUCAUCAAAAGGGUUGGCGAUGUCGGGCAGCAAAUGUAGUUUCCCGUGAAAUUGCAAAACUUGCUCACAAUCUGAUGAUUUUGUCUCUUGGGUUGGCUCUCCCUUCUCCUAACUGCUGAAGACUGAUGAAGCAGAAAUUUAAUCAUCAAUGAAUUUCCUUGACUAAUCCAUUAUCUUUCCGUUGCCCGUUCUCUUUGAUUUGUUCAUAAUCCGAUUAUUGUUCAUUCCAAUUCCAAGCGCGUAAACGUGCCCUCAUAGUUAUGGACUUGUUCGCAUCGUUUAAUUUUCCUUGAAUACCUGACUUUGUCGCCUAUGGUUUCACAAGAAAAUAAUCUCUUUGUUAAACCAGAAAAUUUAACGGUUCAUUAAUUAGCAACUAUUUCAUUUUUUAACAAUAUUUGGCUACUCAAAGGAUGAGUAAGAGUUCCUACUCAAACCUAUUUGUUGCCGAUCCAUAGAACUUCAUGUUUAUAAUAGAGCAGUUCAUAUUAGAAAUCACUUUAUAAAAAUUGUCUCUACAAAAAAUCAAUUAGACUAAGGUCGUUUAGUAGUCGAACUGUGAAAAAACAAAGGAAAGAAAUUGGUGAAAACAUUACAAACCAUUUAUGUAUUUACUAGAAUAAAUUGACUAAAUGACCUUAAUUUUAAUUCAAUUUUUGCAGAAAUGAUCUCCACAGUGUGAUUCAUAAUAUGAACAGUUCUGUUCAUAAGCACAAACUUCAGUGAUUCGAACAUGAAAAAUUUUGAGUGGGAGUUCUUACUCAUCUUUGAGUAGCCAAGCAUUGUUCUUCAUUUUUUUUUAUGUCAGUAAUAGUCUGACAAAGAACAAUAAUAAGUAAACUGUGAAAAAAAAAAUAUUUUACAAAUGGAAAAACAAACAAAAUGAAAAAGAAAAUAAAUUAAUAUUUUAAGUUGUUUUCACUUUGAAAAUUUUGUUUUAUUCAUUCCCUCUUUAUCUAAUUCUUAGCCUUCAUGUAUUGAAUUAUGCAUUGUAUUGUAGAAUCCAAAAAAAAAAAAAAAAAAAAACUUUUUUGGAAUCCAUAUGUGUAUAAGCAUGAAAUUAUAGCCCACCCAUAUGAAAAUUUUGACUCCGCGGUUGCAUGUAAGGAUAAACAUGCCAAUAGAUUAAACUUAUUCACACUAUAACAUAAAAAUGCUAUUACACUCAAUUAUAGAAGUUGCUCAAAAGACUAAAGACAGUCCAAGUCGGAACUAAACAACAAGGCUAUAGCUUGCUCUUCUUCCAGCCUUUAUUCUUGAAGAUAUAAGAUUAUCUCCCCUCUUAAUCUCUCUUUCCAUUCCUCCUCUCCUAUUUAAAUGUUUACCGCGUCAACAUCUUGUUUUAAAUUUAUUAUAUAGAGAAAAAGACAAAAAGAAAAGUGUAAGAUGAGGAGGGAGAAUGAAAUGGUAUUGGAAGGUAGAGAAUCCUACUCCAAGUGUUCGUUAGGGGAGAGGGGGACCCUGAGAGCAGAAGACUCUUCAUCUUCAGGUUUGAGAGUAAACGCUUUACUGUUGAAGAUAUAUAGUGAUUGACACAUCAUCAUAAGUGCUACAUCAGCUAUUGGAGUUAGUUAGUUUUUUAAGAAUCAGUUACACAAGUGGCUUAGCUGAUAAGCUACAUGUGCAGACUAUAUAAAGGAAUCAGGGGUCUUUUGUAUCUCUCUUCAUCCUUAUGAAAUAACAAAACUUUUACUCAUUUCUUUCUCUAGUUCUCUCUCUAUUCCUUUUGAUCUUUCUCUCUCUAUUCCUUUGAUAUUGCUUGCAUACAUUCAUCUGUUAGUUGUUAGAUGAAUGUUAUCAUGGUAUCUUCGCCGAGGGUUCGAUCUCGUGGUGUGUAUUUCCGCUGUGUUGUGCCAAAAGAUUGUCUUGAUUGCUGUGCUGUGCUUUAGUGGGUUAAUGAGCUUUUGGCGUUUGGGAAGUCAGACUUCGAGUUUAUCAGGUGUUAUUUUUCUUUUUGCACUCCAAGUGUGUGUGUAAUUGUCGCAAUGAUGAAUCUUUUGUGAAAGACUAAAAGUUGAAGGCCGAUAGCCAUUUCUUGAUGUUUGGAAUAUGAUAUUGAAUGUCAAUAGCCAUUUCUUGAUGUUUGGAGUAUGAUAUUGAAGGCCGAUAGCCAUUUUUCUGAUUGAAUAAUUGUUGAAGCGUUUUCUGUCAAAGCAUAAAGGCCGAUAGCCAUUGCUUUUGUUUGAGUGUUUGUUGGGUUUUUUCACAAGAACAAGGCCGAUAGCCAGUAAUGUGUGUUCUUGGAGUUAUUAUACUUCUUGAAGAUUGUUUGAGUACUUGAUUUCUUGAUUCAGUUUCUAUCAACAAUAUGGCGUUUAGUUCUAUCAAAAUUGAAAGUCUUUUGGGCAUGAUCACUGUUAAGUUGAAAGAAGAUAAUUUUGUCAAAUGGGAUUAUCAGUUUCAAUAGGUGCUUAAGGGGUAUGAUUACUUUGAUUUCUUUAGUGGGGAGUCUCAGUGUCCUCCAAAGUUUGUAAUUAAUACUGAGACUGGGGUCACUAAAGAAAUUACUACUGCAUAUAAAGACUGGGUUAAAACAGAUGUCUCUCUAUUGAGUUUGUUGAUUGCUACACUUUCGGAUGAAGCUAUAGACUAUGUCAUUGGGUGUAAAACUUCUCAAGAAGCUUGGAAAUCUUUUCAGGAACGAUAUGCAUCUGUAUCUGUUGUCCGGGUUAAUCAACUCAAGACUGAGUUUCAUACUGUACAUAAAGGUGCAGAUUAUGUUGACAAGUAUUUGCUUCGAUUGAAGGUUAUCAAGGAUCAACUGGUUGCUGCAAGGGAGAGAAUCACUGAGAAUGAUUUGGUCAUUGCUGCUUUGUCUGGUUUACCUCCAGAGUUUGAAAUGAUCAGGACAGUAAUCUUAGCAAGAGACACUCUGAUUUCAAUGAAAGAUUUUCGAGCUCAACUAAUUGGGGCUGAAGGCAGUAUUGAGUCUCGACUGACAACUUUAUCAAGUUCUAUGGCUGCCAUGUAUGUUCAGGGCAAUGGCUCGAAUACACAGGGAUCUCAGGGAAAUACUCCAAGUUAUGAACAAUGGGAGAGUUCAAAUGCACAAAGGUCUCAAGGGAGGAAUAAUUACAAUAGUGGUAAUAACAACAGGAGGUAUAAUGGGAAUAAUUUCAACAAUCGAAAAUUCUCUGGUGGUUAUAAUGGUGGGAAUAAUAAUUACAGGCCAUAUUCUACUUUUGGGAAUAAUGGGAAAGGUGUUCAAAAUGGAGGUUCUCAAAGUUAUUUUUCUGGUAAUGGAAGCAAACAAGGAAACACUUGGAAUGGUGAUACAAAUUACAGAAAUGCUAUAUCUCCUGAAUGUCAAAUCUGCUAUAGAAGAGGUCAUACAGCACCAAAUUGUUACUUUGGAGCUGAUAACAAUCAAUCAUCUGGAGGGAUCUUGGUAUGUCAGAUAUGUGGGAAAAUAGGUCAUCGGGAUUUGGAAUGCUUUCAUAGAAAUAACUUCUCAUAUCAAGGCAGUGCACCACCCACAUCUCUUGUUAGGAUGGCUGCUCAAGGCUCAAAUGUUGCAACUGAAGACUCAAAUAUCCAUGGUUUUUCAGCUGCUGAUACAUAGGUAGUUGACACAAGUGCAACUCAACCACAUGACAUCACAUGUCGAAGUUUUAAAUCAUAUCACUCCUUAUAAUGGUGAUGCCACGAUCACUGUUGGUAAUGGAGAAGGUUUGGUGGUUAAAAAUAUUGGUUCUUCUGUUCUUAACACUCAACAAAAGUCACUCAUUUUGCAAAAUGUGCUACAUGUUCCACACAUUACAAUGAAUUUGUUGUCUGUUAAGAAAUUAUGCAGAGAUAAUAAUUGCUGGUUUGUAUGUGAUGAUCUGAUCUUCUUGAUACAGGACAAAGCAACUCGAAGGAUUGUGUACCAAGGCCAGAGUGAUGAUGGGGAGCUCUUCAAGAUACCAAUAACAGUGCUGUCGAGAUCCAGAGUACCAAGUAUUGAAAGAUGUGCUGCUUUUGUUAGAAAGAAGCUAAAGACUGCAGUUUGGCAUAAAAGGUUGGGUCAUCCAUUUGAAGAAGUGCUUACUGCAAUGUUGAAUAAGUCUAAAGUAUUAGCUAGUAUAGAUUUGUCUCCAUCUAUAUGUACUGCUUGUAUUCAAGGCAAAAUGACUAAGUUGCCUUUCUCUGUAAGUCCCGAUAGGUCAAAAGUUGUAUUUGAAAGGAUACAUUCAAAUAUAUGGGGUCAUUCACCGCAUAGGUCAAUAGAGGGUUAUAGGUAUUACAUAAGCUUUGUAGAUGACUGCUCUCAAUUUGUAUGGAUUUUUCAGAUGGUUAAUAAAUCCGAUGCUUUUCCAAUCUUUACCAAGUUUCUUACAUUUCUUGAGAAUCAGUUUAAUGCUUUUGUUAAAGUUCUUCAAUCAGAUGGUGGAGGUGAGUAUAUGAGUAAUGUGUUUAGACAGUUGUUGGAGAUAAAAGGAAUUAUACACCAAGUUUCAUGUCAUCAUACACCACAACAAAAUGGUCUUGCUGAACGAAAACAUAGACAUUUGGUUGAGAUUGCUAUUAGUUUGCUAUCAGAUGCUCAAUUACCUUCAGCAUUCUGGUAUCAUGCUUGUUUUCAUGCUGCAUUCUUAAUCAAUAGGAUGCCAUCUAGAACUUUGAAGAUGUAGUCUCCCUAUCAAGUUGUGUUUGGUUGUGUUCCUGAAGUGCAGCAUCUUAAAGUCUUUGGUACUGCAGUUUAUCCUCUAUUGAGACCAUUUAAUAAAAAUAAAUUGGAGCCAUGGUUAGCUCAAUGUGUAUUUCUUGGUUUUGCUCAUGGAUAUAAAGGAGUUAUUUGUAAUGAUAUCAAGACUAGAAAGUUCAUUCUGUCAAGGCAUGUAGUACAUGAUGAAGAUGUAUAUUCGUUUAAACAAGUUUUGCCAUCUAAGGAUUCUACACCUACAAAUAGGUGUUCUCAGACACUUGUUUUGAUUCAGUUACAAGUUCCAAGUGAAAAAGUCCUGCCUCAUACACACAUACAACAUGAUUCACAAGCAGCUAGUUCUAUACAUAUAUCAGCAAGUGAUACUGGUUCACAUCACAGUAUUCCUGUAAAUGGUGACAGUAUAAAUAUGGUUGGUGAAUUGAAUGUUUCUAGUUCGGACAAUACACAGGUGAUUCAACCUAGUGAUCAGGAUACAAAUUCGACUGAUACCACUACUCUACAUGCAUCUCCAAGCUCUUCCCAUCAUCACUCUGGUACACAAUCCUUGUUGCAUGUCCACUCCGAGUCACAACUUGAGGUAAUCCUUCCUGAUUUAUCUCCAUUUGAUCUCAUUUUACAUACUGCACCAUCGACUUACUCAAUGGUCACUAGAUUGAAGAGUGGAACAAUUGAGAGACAAAAUUAUGCUGCUUUAAUAGCACAAUGUCCUGAGCUUUGUUCUCUCCAAAUCACUAAUGAAGAACCUUUCACGGGUGGCUAUUCCUUUCUUUCUGAGAUCACUGAUGCUUCAGAACCGAAGACAUUUCGGAAAGCGGCUACUAAUCCACAGUGGCAAAAGGCAAUGCAGGAGGAAUAUGAUUCACUUCGAGCACAAGGAACUUGGCUAUUGGUUCCUGCACCUGAAGAUAGAACAAUUGUAGGAAGCAGAUGGGUGAAGUGAAGAAAAACCCCGAUGGCAGUGUCUCUGAUGUGAAAAUUACUUGACACACAAAUUAAACCCUAUUGAUGACAAUUGUAGCAAAGAUGUUAGUAGGGAUCGUUCUAAACCGGGAAUUAACUAGGGCUGCUAAUCUACUCAAAUUAAACUCUAAAACACUAAACUAGACUUAAAAACACAAGAAUAGACUCUAUAGACUCUAAACUGACCUAAGACACUCAAAUCUGCAAAACUAAGUGAAAUUGACUCAAUUCUAAACCUAACAAGUGAAUUGGACGAAAUUAAAACUUACUUUGACUCAAAAGAUUAAAAGAAAACAGAUUGUAACUUAACUAACUUAGAAAACACUUAAAAGACUCAAAACAGCACAAUACUAACAAUUAGACUCAAAACAGAUUCUAGAGAUGAAAUUGGACGAAUUUAAGACUAAACUAAGACCCAAACAAUGGUUAUGGACUAAACCUAACCUAUAUUGACUCAAAACACUCUAAAGAACCUAAUUAGGACAGAUUCUGACCUAAUAACAUAAAACAGAAAAGGGUGUUUGAUUUCUGACGAAAUUGAAUUAAAACUAAACAAAUUGCAAAUCAAAGUAAACUAAAACGAAAUUAAGAUGAAUUCAAGGGUGAAAAGCUAGUUAGAGGAUCCUUCUCCACACAUGAACAUAUGCAACAUAAAUCGAUUUCCAGUAUUGUUUCUUUAAACCAUGAACGACAAUGCCCCAAAUUAAUCGUGAAUGCACAAAUUAACUCUCAGAUUUCCCUAAAUUCAUUGAAUUGGAUGAAUGCAUGCAACAACCCAAAUUAUUCUUCUCAAGUUCCCUAUAUGAACAUCAUGAUAGAGAUACAUUCAAAGAUCAUUAAAUUCCAUGGAAAUCAUAAGCAUUGACAAGGCAAUUAUAACUAUGAACUGCAUGAUACUUUUGCCAAGAAUCUACUUAACACGAUUGUGACUAACAAUCUCCACUACUUGUAAUUAUAAGUUUCUAACGAUUAGGUGAAAGUCCCUUAUAAUUUAGCAUCAGAUUCAAGCAUGCAAACUAAGUAGGCCUCCUUAAUCAACACACAAGAAUAAGUUAUCAAUCAAAUAGAUAAGUAAAUCGCAUUCAUGUUUUACGAAACAAUAACUGAAAGGAAUCAAUUCAUAUUAACAUAUGUCCAUGGCUUCAAAUUCACCACUAACUAAUAAGAGUUUAGUUCCACAUGUUCAUAACAAUUGAAACGCAAAUUAAAAUAAACAUCGAAACUGAAACGAGGGAAGAAAAAACUAUGAAAACUCCCAAGGAUGCAGAUGGCUUGCGCACAAGGCCCUCCUUCAUCAAUGGAAUGCACGACAAGGUUCUCCUUCUUCUCCAAAAGGUGCGGCAGAGAUGUAUAUGGAUGUAGGAUGGUGUUUUGUGAUGUAGAAUGGUGAUUAGGGUUGCGGCAAGGUGUUUCUGAAUGGUGAAGGGUGGUGACAAAUUUAGGCCUUAAAAACACAUAUAUAUAGGCAUGGCAAAGCUAGGGUUUUCACAAAAUUUGAUGGGAAAAGGUUAGGGUUUUGGAGAUAAAAGGCUUGGCCCAUUCAAAGGAGAAAAGAAUUAGGGUUUUAUGCAGAUUCCUAGGCUUCUAGAACACUAGGUGCGGCACAACCCUAGGGUGGAUGGACUAGGGUUUAAAUUUAGCAGAAAAUAAAGGAUUAGGGCCCUAGGGUGCGGCAUGGGCUUAGAACAAAGCUGAAAAAGGAUUAGGAAACUUCAAAUUCAAGAGUAGAAACUUUCAAGAAUGGAAACCUCCAAGAAUAGCAACUUCCAACUUUAGAAACUUUGGUUUCCAAUUCUGAACUCUUUGCUCUUCAUGUUCAUUUCUUCAUUUCUUCCCUCCUUUGAUCUUCAAUUUCGUUCAUCCCUUUGGCUCCAAGCAUGUGAUAUCCAUUUUAUGCUCAAAACUGCUUCAAAAGGCUCCAAAUUGCACUUUCUCGCCAACUUUGUCAUUUGGACCUAAAAACACACGAAAAUAGCUUAAAACACUAUAAUAACCACAAACUAACUAUAAAAGUGCAAGAAAACAAGCUAACUAAGUUGCAUAAAUAUGCUCCUAUCAGUCUCCCAGUAUAAAGCAAGGCUUGUAGCUCAAGGGUUCUCCCAAGAACAUGGUAUUGACUACUUGGACACAUUUAGUCCUGUUGUUCGACAUACUACUGUAAGGAUUAUUCUUUCUUUAGCUGCCAUGAAUCAUUGGACUCUUCGACAAUUAGAUAUCAAGAAUGUUUUUCUACAUGGAGAUUUACAAGAAGAAGUUUAUAUGCAGCAACCACAAGGGUUUAUUGAUCCAUCAUAUCCUUCUCAUGUUUGCAAAUUGGUCAAGUCAUUAUAUGGCUUGAAACAGGCUCCACGCGCGUGGAAUUCAAAGUUUACAAGUUAUUUGACAGUUAUGGAGUUUCAUGCCUCAGCUUCUGAUACAAGUUUGUUUGUCAAGAAGGAUGACUCUGAUAUCAUCAUCUUAUAACUUUAUGUUGAUGAUAUCAUCUUAACUGGUUCUAAUCCUUUGAAGAUCCAAAAAGUGAUUCAAGAAUUAUCUGAGGUAUUCGAGUUGAAGGAUAUGGGACAGCUUACAUAUUUUUUGGGUUUACAAGUUCAAUAUAAAGCGGAUGGCAGUGUUUUUGUUAAUCAGUCUAAGUAUAUCAAAGAUCUUGUCCAUAAAGCAGAUAUGGAAUCGUGUAAACCAGCAACCACUCCGUGUAAACCUCAUCAUCAAAUGUUACACUCUGAGGGACAAUUGUUGACAUAUCCAACUUCCUAUAGAAGCAUUGUGGGAUCUUUACAAUAUCUGACCUUUACUAGGCCUGAUAUUGCCUUUGCUGUAAACACAGUAUGUCAGUUUAUGUCCUCACCAACUGAUGUUCAUUUUGGCGUUGUUAAACGCAUCAUUCGUUAUCUUCAAGGAACCAUGAAUAUUGGUAUUACUUUUUCUGCAAACACAGUUUCAAAGCUUACUGUGUUUUCUGAUUCUGAUUGGGCUGCAGACUUGAAUACUUGUCGGUCUAUCACUGGUUAUGUUGUGUACUUAGGCAAUAAUCCAAUUUCUUGGCAAUCGAAGAAACAAAACUCGGUAUCCAGGAGUUCUACUGAGGCUGAAUAUAAAGCCUUAGCACAUACUGCUGCAGACAUAGCUUGGAUUCGCAAUAUAUUGAAGGAUUUGGAUGUACUUUUGGAUGCUCCACCAACAAUUCACUGUGACAAUAUGUCCGCUAUUGCCUUAAGUGCCAAUCCGGUGUUUCAUUCAAGAAUCAAACACCUUGAUACAGACUACCAUUUUGUACGCGAACGAGUGCAGCAAGGCGAUCUGGAGGUGUUGUAUAUCCCAACUGAGGAGCAAACUACCGAUGUUCUUACCAAAGGUCUUCACAGUCCUUCACUUGUCAAACAUUUUUACAAUCUCAAGCUGGAAAAUCCCGGUUGAGAUUGCGGGGGGAUGUUGAAGAUAUAUAGUGAUUGACACAUCAUCAUAAGUGCCACAUCAGCUAUUGGAGUUAGUUAGUUUGUUAAGAAUCAGUUACACAGGUGGCUUAGCUGAUAAGCUACAUGUGCAGACUAUAUAAAGGAAUCAGGGGUCUUUUGUAUCUCUCUUCAUCCUUAAUGAAAUAACAAAACUUUUACUCAUUUCUUUCUCUAGUUCUCUCUCUAUUCCUUUCGAUCUUUCUCUCUGUAUUUCUUUGAUAUUGCUUGCAUACAUUCAUCUGUUAAUUCUUAGAUGAAUGUUAUCAUUUACAUCCUACACCAUGCUAAUAAUAUCCACCAAUUCUCUAUUUUAUUUAAAAAUAAAUAAAAAAUAUAUAUGAGGUAACGCAAGCUCUAGCUAGGUUUCAAGUCUACCAUGUUUAUUUUGUAGCAAGCAAGUGGAAUUAAUUAAGAAAAAUUUCAGUUUGGGUUAGGAGGAUAGAGGAGGGUGAUUAAUAUUACCUUUGGUGUAUUUCCAGACUUCACAGAGCCCGAAGUUUCCCAGUCCCCUUCAUUUACUGCAACAUGGUGGUACAGUAUCAGAGGCUCGGGAAUGUACACGUGGUGCUGGUUGCUAAUGACUUUGUACAAACGAUUUAUCAGCGUUCGCUUUGAACCCCCCAGUCUCCAGCUUGUAAUCACCAGCUCCACUCACAGCCAUUUUUUAUAAAGGAAAUUAAUGAAAAUGAUUCGAAAAUUUUGAAUUUUAACUAUAAUAAUAAAUAAAUGGUAAAGUAAAUAGUACCAUGAUUGAUUUUUAGUGUAAAUAUAUUAUUUUUCCUUAAAAUAAACAAUAUCAGAAGUUUUUCGUUCAAAUUCUCUUUUUUUUAAUUAGUAAUUAAUAUUAAAGUUCAUCUAAGAUUAUUUUUUAAAGGAGAUAUAUAUUAAAAGUAUCAAAUAGAAAAACAAGACAGCAUCAUUUAAAAAAAGGAAAACUAAUGAAAAUUGCUUGAAAACUUUGAGUUUUAACGAUAAAGACAAAAUAAAAAGUAAAGUAAAUAGUACCAGGUUUGACUUUUUAAUGUAAAAAUGUGGUUUUUCGUUAAAGUGAACAAUAUCGCUGGUUUUUCGUUAAAACUCCCUUCAAAAAAAGGGAAAGGGAUCAUUUUCGGAUUUGUUCUACCUAAUCAUCCUCAUCAAAUAAUCCGAGCUUUUAAAAUUUGAUCUAACGGCUAAAGUUAUUAUAACUUUUAGAAUUAGCCCGUAUUUUUAACCGUUUAAUCAAAUUUUAAUGAUCUGAAUUAUUUGAUGAUGAGAAUUAGAUAAAAAAGAUUGAAUGAUCGCUUUUCCAAAAAAGGAAAAAGAAAAACAAGACAGCAAGUUUCUUUUAACAGAUGAAUUUUAUUAGAGGUGGAACUGGUGUCCAACAUCCCAGGUGUUUUCUGAUAGCAUAACCCAAUAACGUCAAAUCCAUUAAUUUGAUUAUUUAAUAAAUGGCUCCCACAAUAGGAUUUGGAUCCUCUCCGAGGCAAUUGGUCGGAUCCUUCUGAUCAAUGUUUGUGGACUGUUAGAUUUUUAUUCAACGACUAUAAAUAAGGGGACAUUCUAAAGUUAUAAUAAUUGUAGUCGUUGGAUAAAAAUUCAACGGUCCAUAUACAUCGAUCUGGAGGAUCCCGACUCGAAGAGGAUCCAAAUCCCCCACAAUACACCAAUCACGUACCCCACCCAACCAAUUUACACAAUUUUUAACAGUAGGUCCCACAAUAUAUAAGAAAAAAGAAAUUUGACUCAUCAUUUGAAAAAAUAAAAAAAAAUUAACAUUUAACUUCAAAUACUCAUUUUAGUCAUUAAAUAAAAUUUAACAAUUUAUAAAUGAGUAAUGUUAGAGAAGCUAAUUUUUUAGACUAAAUUUUAUAAAUUAUAUGUAUUUGUUAACGAUUAAAUUAUUAUUUAAGUGUUGCUUAAUGUUUAUAUAGAGCCACAACCCACAAAGUCCUAGACAAAUAGCAUGUUUUAGUUAUGGAGGCAGUUGUGGUGGAUAUGAUCUGAUCACUUGAAGAAAAUGACGAGUCUGCGGAUCCUUGUGCAUCUUCAUCUUUGACAUGGGAGGUUUUAUGACUAGACCUACCAAAUUUAAUCACAACAGCGAACUUGAUAAUGAGACAUCAAUAAUUCAACGAUUCAGAAAACUUCAAUUAAAUUGGGACCCAUAAAUAAAUAUGCUAUUACUUCUUUUGUAAUCAAAGCUGGAUCAUUGAUGCCUAAUUCAGAAAGAGAAGUGUUAUUGGCACUUCAAAAGUCUCAUUGUACACUCUUUACAAGUGUAUUUUUCUUUCUUAAUAUAGAAAAUUUGGAGUGUAGAAUAAGAUUUUUGAAAUGCUACUAACAAUUCCCUUAAAAAAAAAAAAGGUUUUUAUGUUUUGCAUGCAACAUUUGGACACAGGAAUAUUCUUUGGGAUUCUAAUUGCGCAUACGUAUUAUCUUUCAAAUAUAUAAAAUUUGAAGUGCAAUUAAAUUUUUAGAAUGUAAAUAAAAGGGGAAACUUGAUAUAACUUCAAUUUUUUGAGCCAAUAGUAAGAAUAGUCCAAUUUAUUAAAAUAAGUCCAAUUCUUUAAAUUUAAUUAUUUUAUUAUCAAUAAUUAUCUCUUAAAAGAAAAAACUUAUUGUAAAAAUCAAAUUUCUUCCUAAUUAUCUCUUUGAUUAUUUCUUUUUAUUUAUUUAUUUGUUAUUUCUUGUUCUUCCUCCUGCUUUAACCCAUUUAUAGAUUUUUUUAAAUUUUUAUAAUCAACCUAUAUCAUAGGUUAAUUGUAUUUAUCUACCUAUAUGACAUAUUCUCUUUCAUAGUCAACAUGUCACAUAUUAAUGUGUCUUGCUUGUAGGUAUAUUAUAUUUUUUUCUACUUUUUAGUUAGGUUUCAUAUCUCACUUAUAGGUAUAAUAUACAUUCAUAUAUUUGCUACUUGAGUUAGGGUUUACUGUUUUGCAGAUAGAUUUAUGUUAGUAUAUUAAUUUUUUUUUGUUUAUAAGAUAUUAGUUAGAUAUUUUGGAGUUGAAAAAUGCAUAAUAUUAAAAUAUUUUAAUUGAUUUUUAAUAUUUUUAGAAAAUAUAAAAGGAGUAUAAAAGAAAUAAAAACAUAUAAUUAGAUAACUGGAGUCACUUCUAAAAACACUCUAUGUUUUUUGACCUGGAUCUAAAAGCCCCUAAAUAAAAUUACCUUCUUUUAUUGGUUUUUUUUUAAGGCUCGCAAAAAUGGUUGUCUUUGUUGUUUGGCGAAGGAACUUCAUGGAUAUCAUCAUAUUGUGGUCUUCUUUUUCACUUGUAUUGCUAAAAAAUAACUAAUUACAAAUCAAUUUUCAUCAAAAGGGUUGUUAAAUAAGAUAUUAAUUAAUGCUAUUUUUUUUCUUGAUACUGUUUGGGUCUCUCAACCUCGAUCUAUUAUUUUGCAUUUUAUUUCUUCCAUGAUCAUAUGUGUCUCCAUUGUUUAACAACAACUAAAAAUACUAUUGUUUCUUUAAAAAAAGUACUAUGUAUUUGACUAAGGCGAUUUUAUAUGACGAUGAGCAACAAAGUGGAGAUGGUGCACUACACCUUUUAUUUUGCAUACCAUAGUUCAUACAUUACAAUCUCACAUAUGAUAUCCCUUCACGUACAUUUGUUACAAGGCAACUUACAAAGCAAAGCAUUUUAAUUACUUGUAAUCAAGCAAAAGGCACGCAUUAUUAACACAAAUAUUAUAUACUAACGAUGGACGUCACACUGUUUCACCAUUGCAUUCUUUUCCUUUCCUUAAUUUAUCAUGCCUUGAUAAAGUGAGCAUCAAGAUCCUUGACGAUGUUAACCAUCAAACCGACGUAUUUGUCCGGACUGCAACAUCCUCAGUCAGUUUCUCAUAUUCAGUCGACAAUUUUGCAAUGUUGUCUUCAUUCUUUUGAGUGAAUUGAUAGACUGGCUUGAAGCUCUUGUAAUACUGGAAGACAUCUCCUUUCAGUCCAUUCAGUGUUAUGGAUUUGUUCUCGUUGUUUGACUACACUUUUUCCUUGAAUACUCGAACUUCGUCCCCUAUGUAUUCACAAGAAAGUGGUCUCUAUAUUGACCAAGGAACAAUAUAAAGGGAGCGUUUGAUAAAUAAUUUGUUUUAAGUUUUCACAAAAAUGAAAAUUGAAGUUAUUUUUGUCAGUUUUCUAAAUUUAUAUUAGUAAUUUUUAUUUUUUGAAGACUGAAAUAACAUGAGAUGGUUGAAUUAUUGCGGCACACCUCGAUUCUUUACCAACAUAUUUUGUUCUAAUUAUCCAUUAUAUCAAUAUAUAUUUUUCACGUAUGGGUUAAAAGUUGUUCGCUUGUGAAUCAGGGUUUAGUUAUUGCGAUCCUUCUAGUAUUGCUGGAUUAUGAUUAACAUAUAAUUGUGUUCUGAUCUUAGAGAAAAAAGGUACAUACCAUGUUAAAUACAUGAAGGUAUUUAUAUAUAAAUAUAGAGCUCGUUUGGAUGUGCUUUUAAAAUGGUUAAAAACACUUUUAGAGAAAGAAAAAAAUUUGUUCCAAAAGCACUUAAAUUGCUUUCUGCAAGAAGCAACAGUUAUGUGCUUUUCCAGGAAGCACUUUAAAUGCUUUUCCAGAAUUAACUUACAUUUUUACCAAGGAUUGGUUUUAAAAACAUUUUCACAAAAAAUGUUUUCAAUCAUUUUAAAAACAUAUCUAAACAAACACAUAUAUUAUGCACGUAUACUGAAAUUCCAACUUUUGAUAGAUCGAGCCAUGAGUUUCCUCCUUCAUGCACGUGAACUCCCUGGAUACUUCCAGAAUAAAUUUUUGGGACGUGUGGCGAGCCUGGCUAUUGAAGAUAUUGUAGAACUUCUCAGCAGGUGCCUUAAUUUCAAUCUCUGUUCGUGCAGAGUCAUGUUUAUGAUCAGUUGGGAUGGUGCUCAACAAUGCGUCGCCAAGGCCUGUUCUAAAGAAAACUUAAGGUCACCCCUCUACUGCUACAGUUAAAUUAUGCAAUAUUAAUUUAUGCUAUAACUUUGAAAAAGUAGUGCUUCGAACGAUCGCAUGAAAAACAUUCGUUUAUUAAAAAAAAGGUAAAUCGUCAAAAUGGUCCUUGAGAUUUGUAUAACUUAUCACUUUGAUCUCUAAGAUUCCAAAUCGAUAAAAGUAGUCCCUGAGAUUGUCUACCAUCCAUCAUUUUGGUCAUUCGGUUAAAAAAUCCGUUAAGUGUCCCGGAGCUCUUAGCCGGAGGUUUGGACAAUUUUCAAAACUUCGUAACUCAAUCGUUUCUUAACCAAAUUUGACCCAUAAUAUAUCAAAAUGAAGAUAGGAAAGUGUAGAAUAAGAUUAUACCUAUUUCAAAGCCCAAUGGUUGCCGAAGAUUGUCAGAAAAUAGCCUCAAAGUUGACUGGUUCGAGUGAAAACUUGAAAACUCGCUGGAAACUGAGUAAACUUUAAACGUUCAUAACUUCUUCAAUACUCAACGAAAUCAAGUGAUUCAAAAACAAAAAUCAUACUUCUCGAUGAGAUGAAGAGAAUGAUACCUUUUUAGAUGGCUAAAUCGUCGUGGUUUGGCCGGAAAGCAGCUCGAAAGUGGCUAACUCGAGACCAAGAUAGCCACUUUCAAGCCGUUUUCCGGCCAAACCACGGCGAUUUAGUAGUUAAAAAAGGUACCAUUCUCUUUGUCUCAUCGAGAAGUAUGAUUUUCAUUUUUGAAUCACUUGAUUUUGUUGAGUAUUGAAGAAGUUAUAAAGGUUUUGAAGUUUACCCAGUUUCCGGUGAGUUUUCAAGUUUUCACUCUGACCAAUCAACUUUGAGGCUAUUUUCUGGCAAUCUCUGGCAACCAUUGGGCUUCGAAAUAGGUAUAAUCUUAUUCUACACUUUCCUAUCUUCAUUUUGAUAUAUUAUGGGUCGAAUUUGAUUAAGAAACGAUUGAGUUACGAAGCUUUGACAAUUGCCCAAACUUCCGGCCAACAGCUCCGGAACACUUAACAGAGUUUUUAAUGGAAUGACCAAAAUGAUGGAUGGUGGACAAUCGCAGGGACCACUUUUAUCGAUUUGGAAUCUCAGGGACCAAAGUGAUGAGUUAUGCAAAUCUCAUGGACUAUUUUGACGAUUUAUCCUUAAAAAAAAUUCAGAUAAAGAAAAUGAGAAAUUAAUUUCUCAUCCCUCUUUUUUCUAUUACAUUGAUUAAAAUCUUAUUUUUGAUCAAGGUCCUAACUUUCAAUGAACGUCAUUAUUUCUGUUAUAAAUUAUUUAUAUAUCAACAUAAUUAAAUUUUAUUUUUGAAAUAUAUUCAAUUAGUAUUAGAAACAUUACAUUUGGUACAUUUAUAUUUAUCAUUAAACUUUGUAUCAUAUAUUUCUAUUUUUAGUUUGUACCAUUUUUAAUUGGCAACCCUUUUUUAAUUUGUAUCAAUUUUCUUUUUAAUUUUAAUGUGUACCGAUAUAUUAAUUUCAUUUUGUGCCCAUAAUUUUUUUUAAAUUUUUUUAUACUCAUAAUUCAUUUAUAAUGUACCCAUAUUUCAUUAAAACUCUUUUUUUUUCUUUAUAAAUGUACCACUUUGUUAUAUGUAAGAUGUACCAAAUUGUUUUUUUUGUAAAUGUACCAUUUUUAUGUAAAAUGUUCCCAUAUUUAAUGUAAAAUCUAUUUAUUUUUUUAUUAAGAAUGUGUACAUAUUUAUAAUAAAACGUUCCCCUUUUCAAUUUUUUUGAACACUAUGGGUACAUUUGUUUGACAUUUAUUAUUUCAAAGGUAUAUUGUUACCUAUUUUUAUCUAUUUAUUCAAUCAAAAUUUUUGAGUAUUUUUUUUAUUGUAAUCGUUUUUAAUUUAUAUGCUAUAUAAUAUGGGAUUUUAAAUCUCAUAACAUGUCAAGUAAUUAAUAUCAAACAAUGAAAAUACAUAUUAAUAGCCAUAAUGAGGUGUACCUUUAAAGUCAAGGGACUUUGAUAAAAAAUUGAAUACUAUUAAAGGUUUAGUCAAAUAAUGUUAUUGACUAGGGACUGAAUCCAAAGUCUCUCUAAAAAAUAUAUAUAUAUAUAUAAGACAAACGUACGUAAUCACUUUCGGUUCGAUUAAGAACAUGAUUUGGAUCAAUAAUAUUAGGGUGCUAAUAUUGAUAUCAUUAGAUUUCAAUUACUAAUCACUGGUUUUUUUGCAAUAUUAUACUUUUACUCAACUACCACAUUUUUUCCCUUCUGGAUGUAUGAAAAUUUAGGUAUUGCGUUCGUUCUUUUUUGAGAAGUCAUCGCCAACUCCCUUGCCCUACUAUUUUUAUCAAGGAAAAACUCCCCAUGUUUAAAAGCUGUAUAAUUAACCAGGAUGAAUGCUGGACAACUGUCGAAAGCAAAACUCAAAGUUCAUUGUAUAAUUAUAACAGUGAGACUACAGCCUGACGAAGAACAUGAUUGUCAAAAGUUAUAUAAAAAAAAUGAUAUCAGAGUAAAUCUCCAAUGAAUCGGAAAGUGAGUCUUUAAAAUAUAGAGUCUUAAGUGGAUUAGUGUAGAAUAUCUUUUGUACUAAAAAAAAAGUUAUGUAUAUAAUGUUGAGAAUGAAUCCCACAUUGAUAGGAGGAGUGAUAAGGAUUUUUAUCACCUGCAAAUAUAAGGAUAAAAACACUUAAAAAUACUUGCAAAAGUACAAGGUUGUCGUAGUAUAGCAGUUCAAGCAAGGUCAUUUUUCACAGGAAUUGAAUGCAUAGUUUAUGUUUAUACUAAUUCUUAGCUAAUUAUUUAGAACAAAGAUUGGAAAAGGUUGAUUUUGAAUUUAAAAAUAAUAAAAACGAAUUUAAUUAAAAACAAUUAAAGGAAUUUACUAGAGAACAAUUUAAAGAAAGUCAAUUUGUAAAGAUUAGGGUUCCGCCGUUCCCUUAACAAUCCUACGCAAUUUUACCAAUUACUUAUGAAUUUCCACACACAUGCUUUGAAGGUUAGGUUUUCCUAAUGCAUAUUUUUCUCGUGAUGUUCAAGCGAAAACAUAAAUCUAACAUGCAACCCUUUUGUAAUGUUCAGAUCAAAUAUAAACAUGCAAGACUCAUUAAGCUUUGUGAAAACCCUUUGAAAAACCAUGGAACCCUUAAGAGCGUGAUGUUCGCCUUAAGUGAACUUACAAUUACUAAUCAUAAGAAGCCCUCCUCAAUUUCAGGGUGAUGUUCUGUCACAUCCCGGCAUCGUGCUAGGUAGAUAUGAGAAUAUACAUAUAAGGAUCACUCCCCUGGGCGAUGUGGGAUCUUACAAUCCACCCCCCUUAGGGGCCUGACGUCCUCGUCGGCACACCACAACCAGGGUUAGGCUCUGAUACCAAAUAGUCACAUCCCGACCUGGGCCCCCAUCACAUCCCGGGCUCGACUCCACCGUAGCACGAUAUUGUCCGCUUUGGGCCCCGACCACGCCCUCACGAUUUUGUUUCUGGGAACUCACACGAGAACUUCCCAGUGGGUCACCCAUCUUGAGAAUGCUCUCGCGCGAACUCGCUUAACUUCGGAGUUCUUAUGGAACCCGAAGCCAGUGAGCUCCCAAAAGGCCUCGUGCUAGGUAGAGAUGAGAAUAUACAUAUAAGGAUCACUCUCCUGGGCGAUGUGCGAUCUUACAUGUUCCAACCGAAAUUGCAUCAAAUUACUUGUCUAAAAAUCCUAAUGGUCGCAAAUUACUAAGACAAUUAGAUAGCUUUAAUCGCAAUGAUUAAUAAUUCAAAGCAAGCAUGCAUCCAUUCAUAAGGAAAUUAAUAAAAUCACAUAUUCAUGCUAAGGCUCAUGGCUUCGCCCUAGCAAACAGAAAUUAGUUACGAACUAUAAAAACUAAAGAAAAUAUAUUAACUAGAAAAAGGAUUGAAAACACCUUGUAGGUAAAAAGUCUGAAAUUCUCCAAAAUAAUGUGUGCCUUCUCCCCCUAACCUUAAUGGCUAAAAAGCCUUAUUUAUACUACUCCAAAUUAAAACCCUCAUAGAAAAGGUUUUCUAAAAACUAGGAAAUAAAAUAACAAAAGGAUAACUAAGAAUUGCAUUCCUAUUAUGACUAUGAAAUCUGCCCAUAAAAAAGAUAGCCAUGUUUCUGGAUCUUCAGGGUUCCAAAACAGACCCAAAAUGGCUAGAAUUAAAGAUUAGGACCUCCUCUUCAAGUUAGAAGAAGAACCCAAGUCCAAAAUCCAUCAUCUUCCAACCCAAAAGUCACAAAUAAGCUCUGCAGCCCAAUCUGCCAGCACUGCACGCUGGGCAUAAAUUAAUUCACCACGAUCUGAUGCUUUGAGAUAAAAUUAUGAAAUUCUGAUACAAUCUUCUUGACAGACUCACGAACCCACUCCAAUUGGAAUCACUAAAAAAUUCCACCGUUUGAGUACUUUAUGAUCAAAACAAGUUCGCAUGUCCUACAAUAAAAACAUAGAGCAAAGCCUCAAAAUCUCACUAAAAUAAUAACCAAAAUAUACCAAGAAUAGGGAAUAAUAUAUAGUAUAAAAUUGACUCAUUAGGACAUUGCAUGAACUUAUAAGUAAGUUGGGCUACUUUCUAUAUUGCCAAUUGGUUUUAUGGUGUAACCUUAACUUUCUUCAUACCCAUGUGUGAAGCCAAAAGACCACGCACGCUCCAUGUCACCCAUUUGUGUUGUUCACGUAUUAGACUUGAAAAUUCGCCACACGUGAGGGCGCGUAUUAAGAAUGAAUCUCACAUUAAUGGGAGGAUAAAUCUUGCAUGCACCUAUAAGUAGGUUGAAAAACAAUAUUGGACAAAUAUUGUAGAGUACACCACAUUUUAUUUUAUAGAUGCGAUCGACAACCAUAAUCUAUUACAUCACAAUGUCAUAUAUGACAUCCUUCGUACAUCUUUUACAAUACACACAAACCUAAUUAAGAAAAGCAUUUUAUUUAAGUAGGUACGCAUUGAUGAACAUAUGCAUGCAUGAUUACAUAUAAUUGAACCCUUUUUAACAAGACCAGCAAAAGCUCUUUCCAACCGUUGCAUAUGACGUAUGGUUUUUAUUCAUUAAUUAAUUAAUUUAUGCUCCCAGAAGGUGAGCGUCAAGAUCCUGGACGAGUUUAACCAUCAAACCGACAUAUCUAUCUGGAGCUUUAACAUUCUCAUGCAGUUUCUCGUAUUCGAUCCACAGGUUGGCAAUGCAGGUGCCUUCAUCUUUUUGAGUGAAUUUAUAGACACCCUUGAAGCUCUUAUAAUACUUGAACACUUCUCCUUCCAAUCCUUUCAGAGUUGCGGCUUGUUCCCAUCGUCUAGCUCCACCUGUUCCUUGAAUAUCCCGACAUGAUCCCCUAUAUAUAUGCAUGCAUGCAUUCAUGGUUAAUUUCAUAACAACAAAAUAUAUAAACUUUCUCACCCUCUCUUAUUAGGAUCUUGUUUCCACUGUAGCAAAAAGGGGGCAAUAUGACUUAUUUAGGAAACAUGUAUUUACUGUAUAUGACUCUCAUUGUCUAGAACAAAAAUUGAAGGAAGCAUUGAAAUAUAUAUAAGAGGUCAUAUAUGGUAAAUACAUGAUUUCUACGAUUGUUCUAUCUCGACCUUGUUUUUGCUACAAUAAAUCAGAAUUUCUGCGAAAAAGCUGUAAACAUUGAAACUCGUGCUAUGAACGUAUGAUGAUUUGAGCGCAUCUGUUAAGGUAUACAUACAUAUAAAGUGAAUAAUUAAACAGGAAAAUUGAAUUAAGUAGCGGUACCUAGUUCAUAUUUCCAAAUCUUAACAGAGCCGUGUGUUUCCCAAUCUCCUUCAUGCACAUCAACUCCUUUGAUAUGGGUAUUAGAGAUGUUUGGGAUGAGGUGGGCGCUCUUGAACAUGUUGUACAACUUGUCAGCUGGUGCCUUAAUUUCUAUUUCAGUCCCAAUUUUACCAUGCAAAACCAUGUUUAUGAGCAGUUUUGAUGGGUGCUACUCAGAAAUUAUAAGAGAAGAAUGUUAAAGGAUAUGUAUAAUUUGGGCUCCUACCCUCCUUAAAUAGAAGCGACUAGAGUUAAAUUGCGAGAUAAAACUUAAUAUAUCCGGAACACGAUACAGUACGCCAUAUAUAUAUAAUAUGUAAUAUAAAUAUGGAGGGAAAGUUUUUUUUUUUUUUUUUUUUUUUUUUUGCAAGUGUUUCUCUACUUGUGUAGACGUAUGUACCCGUGUUCUAGAUAUUAAAAAUUCUCCCGUAAUAUUUUAAUAGUGGGUAAUCCAAUUUAAAAACCAAAUCAUGCAACACGUGAUAAAGAUUAAGUCAUAUAUUUUUUAAAUCAUACUUCUCGGAUAAUUGGAAUCCUAUGAAGUAAUGAUCACAAGUUCACAAUAUGCAUGGAUAGAUGAAGGGUUUGCUCAUGAUUAAUGUUAGGGAGACCAAAUUUCUAAAUCAAAAUUUGUAAACAAAAUAAUGUGGAGGUAAAUGAUUGAAUUAUUAUUUAAGUGUUAAUUAAUAUGCUUGUUUCUUAUUAAUAACAUAUCAUUUGAUUUGCAUUCACGCAUGCGAUAAAGAUUAGAUUAGUACGAUCACACUAAAAAUUUAUAUGUAAAUGUUUUAAAAUAAAAUGUAAUUUAUCUGCAAAAUGUUUUUUUUUUAAAAGGUACGAUAUUCUUUAAUAACAAAUUUAUACGUACAUCAAUGAGGAUAGGGUGUAAACAAAUGGCCUCGAUAAAAACCUUGCCGGGGUUUUUAACCCGAUCGAAGAGAGAUUUUUCAAUGUGACCGUCACACAAGGAGGUACACCACGUGUCUCUAUGUAAAUGGUUAGAUAUGUGUGUUAAAAGAUUAAUAACUUAAAAAUUAAAAUUUUCCACCACUUACAUAAAAAUACGUGGUGUACCAUCCGUGUUCCUGUCACAACUAAAAAUUUUCCCCGGUUGAAGGGAAAAAGAGUGUCCCACACCAACAUAAUUAAUUAAGAAUUGCUAUCCUAAAAAAGAAGAUCAAGAAUUACAUUAGGAAGUUCCUCAGACCAAACCACACAUUGUUACCAUAACUCAAGCUCAUACGUGCUAGCCUGUGUGCCACCUUGUUCGUCUCCUUUUGACUAAAUUCAACCUUCCACUUGGACAAUGAAUGAAUAAUUGCGUGUGUCGUUUAGAAUGUUUCCAAAGUGUGAGGUGUCAAUACUUCCUUCUGCAAAAUGUUUUAGAAUAAAAAGUUUUAUAUCUUGUAGGAUCACAUCUAUUUAUUUAUUAUCAUUAUUAUAUUUUUGGAAAGAUCGAUACGUAUGGGCCAUGGCGUCUGGUUCUUUUGUUAAAAAGCCAUCAAAUGGGGAGGCAUGGAUGAGGUAUUAGGUAUCCACAAAUGUCAGUUCACAAAAUAUUAUACUAAAAGUAAUUGAAAAGAAUCAAACAAAUAUUAAUUCUUUUCCCAAGAUAAUCCACUAAAAUGAGGGUCCACAACAUAGUUUUUCGGGAACUUUAACGAAAAACACCCGGUACUGUUCACUUUAACGAAAAACCACAUUUUUACACUAAAAAAUCAAUCCUGGUACUAUUCACUUUACCCUUUAUUUUGUCCUUAUCAUUAAAGCUCAAAGUUUUCAAGCCCUUUUCAUUAAUUUUCCUUAGUUUUUUCCACUAGAGUUUAUUGAUCCUUGAAGACUAUCAUUGACGAUUGAUCAUCCAACAGGUGCAUUAUUUAUUUUUUAACAAACGGUAAUAGUUACUAUUUCUUGAAUUGGAUAGGGGUAUCGAUACUAUUUCUUAAAUAAAACAUUAAUACUAUUAUUAUUCUUAAACUGAAUACUGGCACUAUUACUAUUUUUUAAACUGAACAUUCAUUAUUUCUUAAACCGAGCGCUGGUACUAUAACUAUUUCUUAAACUGAACAUUCAGUAUUUCUUAAACUGGACAUUCACUAUUUCGUAAACUGAACACAAAUAUUAUUACUAUUUCUUAAACUGAAUAUUCAUUAUUUUGUAUACUGAACACGGAUAUUAUCAUUAUUUCUUAAACGUAACACUAAUAUUAUUACUAUUUCUUAAGCUGAAUACUGACUAUUUCUUAAAUUGAACAAUAACUAUUUUUAUAAUUGAAUACAAGCACUGUCCCUAUUUCUUAAACCAAAAAUAGUGAAUUAGGGUUUAGUUAUUACGAUAUAUUACUGGAUUAUGAUUAACAUAUAAUUGUGUUCUGGCCUUAGAGAAAAAAGGUACACACCAUGUUAAAUACAUGUAGGCAUUUAUAUAUAAAUAUAUAUUACAUACGUAUAUAAUUCCAACUUUUGAUAGAUCAAGCCAUGAGUUUCCCAGUCUCCUUCUUGCACCUGAACUCCCUGGAUACUGCCAGAACAAAUUUUUGGGACGUGUGGCGAGCCUGGCUCUUGAAGAUGUUGUAGAACUUCUCAGCAGGUGCCUUAAUUUCGAUCUCAGUCUCAACCUUACCGUGCAGAGUCGUGUUUAUGAUCAGUUGGGAUGGCACUCAACAAUGCGUACAAGGCCUGUUCUAAAGAAACUUAAGGGCAGCCCUUUUCUGCUACAGUUAAAUUAUACAAUAUUAAUUUGAGGUAUUCAUCAAUUUACCUCCUAACUUAUAAGAAUUGGUCAAUUUUCCUUAUCAACUUUCAUAAUUAAUCAAUUUGCACCAUACUAUUAAUUUUUUAAAAUUUUUCAUCCUUUCUUCUGUUAAGUAUGUCAAGUGUUAUCCGCAUGACUGCCUUUAAAGGGUAAAAAGGUCAUUUUACCUACACCUUCCGUCUUCUUUCUCUUCUCCGAACUUUCUUUUCUUCUUCUUUUUCACCAAGCCGAGCCCGUACUGUUCCACCGUGCUCCACAGGCACGAUUUUCCCGGCGAACACCAAAAGAAACAGUGGGAGGGAUCUGAGCUCGUAGAUCCGCGUUCACUACAUCCCCUUCUUGCACUCCUCGCAAACCCUACCCUCCGAUUCUAAUGGGACACCUCCCCCGUCGCCACUGAGUUCCUGAAGAAGAACCGCGCAUACGACUUGGCCACCACCGCCGCCACUCCAACCACUCCCAGAGCCACAGGCGCGUGCUCCCCCGAAGACCCGCACCUGAAGUUGGCGCCCCCAAUUAUGAUCGAGUACUUGGACUUUCUCUUUCCCGGAUCCACGAAGCGCGUGGAGUAGGAGGCGGGGAGGUUGCAUAGCGUGUAAGACCCUAGCUUGGCGAUGUGGGGAGAAGAUGAGAUGGAUUUGAUCAAAGACUUGCCGAAGAAUCUGGGGAGAAGAUGCGGGGACUUUCUCUCCCGUAUUACUUAUCCUAUCAUUUUCCUUGUACGGGCUGCCAAACGAGGCCUUAGUAUGCUAUUGCCUUGUAUUUGAAAUUAGACAAUCGUUUUAUUUAAAAAAAAACAAACUUACUAAGUUCACACUUAAACAUAUUUAAACAAACUUACUAAGGUCAACACACUUGCAGAUAACACAAUUAAAACUAAACAUACCAACAAACAUGGAUCACACUUACAAGGCCAAACAAAGCAUAUAUAUAUAUAUAUGUAUGUAUGUAUGUAUAAUGUAUGUAUGUAUAUAUAUGUAUAUUAUAUUUAUGAACAGUAUUGCCCUUGCUCUUGUCUUUGCCCAACUGGUAGUAGAGUUGCACAGAGACAAAGUUGUUGGUAUAUGGUCCAGCCCAUGAUCAAUGUUCUAGAUUAUUCUAGUAAGCAAGAGAUGAGGCUGAAGCUUGCUAGACAAUUCUAGAAUGUUAUUAAGUUGAUGGAAGAAGCUAGAGAGUACUAGCUUCCUUGGUUGCAAAUGGAAAGAUCUAGAAGCUACAAGUAUAUGGCUAGUCUAGAUUUUUCUAUACUAGAGGUUUGAAGAAGGAACUAGAAACUAGUAGAAUGCCAAACCCUCACCUAUAAAUAUGGGUGUGAUGUAACCAAUUGAGAACCAAGAGUGAGUAGCAAAGGAUCAAGUCCAAAGCUAGAGUUCCACUCCAAGAGUGAGAGUGAGAGUGUUCCACUACACAUUGUGUGAGUGAAGUUUAGAGUGAUAGAAAGUGUGUGUUAUACUUUCUUGUAUCCAUCAAGCCUUGUCUUUGGCUUGGUAAGACUACUCUUGUUGUAUUCAUCUUUUUCAUAUAGUGAAGAUUGAUCCUUGUUUGGUGGACGUAGGCAUAAAUUGCCGAACCACAUAAACUUUUCUUGGCGUCCAUUUUCUACUUUACCUUGUGCAUUCUCUAUCUUGUAGUACCGACAUUCCUAACAAGUGGUAUCAGAGCCCGGUUGGCUCGUACUACGAGAUGGAAGGAAGUGGCACUAUGAUCAAACUCACCAACUCCAAUUGGGUAACAUGGAAGCCAAGGAUGGAGGACAUUCUCUAUUGCAAGGAUUUGCAUGAGCCAAUUGAAGGAGAUGCCGCUAAGCCCGAGAGCAUGUCCGAUGCCGAGUGGAAGAAGAUGAAUCGCAAGGCUAUUGGCACAAUUAGACAAUGGGUGGACGAUAGUGUUUUUCACCAUGUGUCUAAUGAAACCAAUGCUCGCGAGUUUUGGACAAAGCUUGAGUCCUUGUUCGAGAAGAAAACUCCAGCUAAGAAAGCCUUCUUGAUCAAAGAGCUCAUCAAUGUGAAGUACAAGGAUGGUUUAAGUGUAGCAGAACACUUGAACAAUUUCCAGAAUAUCAUCAACCAGUUGGCUACUAUGAAAAUGAUGAUCGAGGACGAGCUACAAGCGCUCUUGUUACUUGGAUCCUUGCCAGACAGUUGGGAGACCUUUGUGGUGAGUAUAAGUAACUCUGCUUCUAAUGGUGUUCUUACUCUUGAUAAUGUUAAAAAUAGCAUGCUCAAUGAAGAAACAAGGAGAAAGACUUCUGGCACAGAUAGCAGCCAAGUAUUUGUCACAGAGAACCGCGGAAGAAGCAAGAGUAGAGGGCCUAGAGGUCAUGGCAGGAGUCCUAGCCGAUCCAAGUCAAAGUUCAGGGGUGCAUGCCACCACUGUGGCAAAGAAGGCCAUAUGAAGAAAAAUUGUCGAGUUUGGAAGAGAGAGCAAAGGGAAGGAAACAAUCAGAAGAAAGAUGAUACUGGCAAUACCACCGCUGUCAUCUGUGGUGAUGUACCAGAAAUAUUGUCUGUUGGUGAAUGUCUGCAUAUGGGCAACUCUGACAGAGACAUUGAAUGGAUCUUUGAUAAUGGAGCUUCCUUCCAUGCUACGUCCAAACGGGAGUUCUUCAGUACAUACAAAGAAGGUGACUUUGGCAUAGUGAAGAUGGGGAAUGAAAGCUAUUCCAAAAUUCUUGGAAUUGGUGAUAUCUGCUUAAGAACUAAUCUCGGCUGCCAAUUGAUGUUGAAAGAUGUGAGACAUAUUCCUGAUAUACGUCUCAAUCUGAUAUCCAUCGGUACCCUUGAUCGACAAGGAUAUUAUCACCAUAUUGGCGAAGGAAAAUUGAAGCUUACUAAAGGCUUAAUGGUGGUAGCAAAAGCACGACUUUGUUGUACGUUGUACCGGUCAAAUGCACAGGUUUUUGAAAGGUGAGUUGAAUGCUGUGGAGGACUCAUCUCUAGACUUAUGGCAUAAGAGGCUGGGCCACAUAAGCGAGAAAGGCCUACAAGUUUUGGCAAAGAAGUCUCACAUUCCCUUUACCGAAGGUACGUCGUUAAACUCUUGUGAGCAUUGUUUAUUCGGAAAACAAAGAAGAGUUAGUUUUUCUGUUCCAUCUACAAAGAAAGGAAACUUGUUAGAUCUUGUUUAUUCAGAUGUGUGUGGUCCCAUGGAAGUCGAGUCACUUGGAAGAAAUAAAUAUUUUGUUACUUAUAUUGAUGAUGAUGCUUCACGAAGGGUGUGGGUGUAUUUGUUGAAAUCCAAAGACCAGGUGUUUCAGACAUUCCAGGAGUUCUAUGCCAUGGUGGAGAGGGAAACUGGGAAACCUCUCAAGUGCCUUCGUAGCGACAACGGCGGCGAGUACACAUCUCACCAGUUUAGAGAGUAUUGUGUAAAACAUGGCAUACGUCAUGAGAAGACAGUUCCUGGAACUCCACAACAUAACGGUGUUGCUGAAAGAAUGAACCGAACCAUCAUGGAGAAAGUCAGGUGUAUGUUGAGGACUGCAAAGUUAUCUAAGCAGUUCUGGGGUGAAGCUGUAAGGACAGCCUGCUAUUUGAUCAACCGAUCUCCAUCAGUACCAUUAGGUCUUGAUGUUCCAGAGAGAGUAUGGACUGGUAAUGAUGUGUCUUACUCUCAUCUGAAGGUGUUUGGUUGCAAAGCUUUUGUGCAUGUGCCCAAAGAGCAGAGAUCGAAGUUAGACUACAAAGCUACACCGUGCAUCUUUCUUGGUUAUGGCGGUGAAGAUUUUGGUUACAGAUUAUGGGACCCAUACCAGAAGAAGUUUAUCCGAAGUAGAGACGUGGUCUUUUAUGAAGAACAAACAAUUGGGGAUUCGGAUAAAGAGGCACAACCAGAUGGCGCAGUCAGAGGAGUUGAUCCAUUAGCUUCAGAUGAAGAAAGUCACGAUGACAUCCCUGAAGCAACUGCCAAUGAAGUGCCUGCAGAAUCAGAUAAUGCUAAUCAAGAGGAGCCUGAUCAAGAUGUGCCAAACCAUGAGAUUGCUCAUCAGGGGAGCCUAGUCAAGAAGAGCAUAUUCAAGGAGAACCCAAUCAGGGGGAGCCUCCAGCCCUACAAGAGAAUGAAGAUCAGGUCAGAAGAUCCAUCAGAAGUCGAAGACCGUCUACCAAGUAUUCUUCAUCAGAGUAUAUCAUGUUGACUAAUUAUGGAGAGCCCGAAACAUAUGAGGAGGCCAGAGCUCAUAACGACAGUGACAAAUGGAUGAAGGCAAUGGAGUCGGAGAUGGAUUCCUUAUCAAAGAAUGAUACCUAUGAGCUGGUGGAGCUUCCAAAGGGCAGGAAAGCAUUGAAAAACAAGUGGGUGUUCAAAUUGAAAAGAGACGACAACAUGACAAGGUACAAGGCUCGUUUGGUUGUCAAAGGUUUUGGUCAAAAGAAAGGAGUUGACUUUGAUGAGAUUUUCUCACCGGUGGUGAAGAUGACUUCCAUUCGAGUUAUCCUUGGUAUGGCAGCAAGCAUGGAUCUUGAGCUCGAGCAGUUAGAUGUUAAAACUGCAUUUCUCCACGGCAAUUUAGAAGAGGAGAUAUACAUGGAGCAACCCAAAGGCUUUGAAGUCAAAGGUAAAGAAAAUUUGGUGUGCAAGCUCAAGAAAAGUUUAUAUGGUCUUAAGCAGGCUCCGAGACAGUGGAAUAAGAAGUUCAACUCACUCAUGGUGAGUAAUGGGUACAAGAGAACUCAUGCUGACUCUUGUGUCUAUAUCAAACAAUUUUCUGGAGGUAAAUUCAUCAUCUUAUUGCUUUAUGUUGAUGACAUGUUGAUUGUCGGACAAGAUACCUCUAUGAUUAAAAAGCUCAAAGAAGAGUUAUCUAAGUCCUUUGACAUGAAGGACUUAGGGCCAGCCAAGCAGAUUUUGGGCAUGGAUAUAAUUCGUGACAGAAAAUCCAAAAAGUUGUGGCUGUCACAAGAAAAGUAUGUUGAACGGGUGCUUGAAAGGUUCAACAUGAAAGCAGCCAAAUCGGUAAGCUCACCUUUAGCCAAUCAUAUCAAGUUGAGCAAAGAGUCAUGUCCAAAAACAUAUUGAAGAAAAGGAGAAAAUGGCAGUUGUUCCCUACUCUUCAGCAGUAGGAAGUAUCAUGUAUGCAAUGGUGUGCACACGGCCAGAUAUUGCUCAUGCAGUAGGUGUGGUGAGCAGGUUUCUCUCUAAUCCAGGGAAGGACCACUGGGAAGCUGUUAAGUGGAUUCUCAGAUAUUUGAAAGGGACUUCUAAGAUGUGCUUGUGCUUUGGCGGUUCCAAACCAAUCUUGGAAGGAUUUACAGAUGCUGACAUGGGAGGUGACCUGGAUGGUAGAAAAUCUACGUCUGGGUACUUGUUUACUUUUACAGGGGGAGCCGUGUCUUGGCAAUCCAAGUUACAAAAGUGCAUUGCUUUGUCCACAACCGAGGCUGAAUACAUAGCCGCUACAGAAGCAUGCAAGGAGUUGUUGUGGCUGAAGCGGUUUCUCCAAGAGUUGGGUUUGAAGCAAAGUGAUUAUGGCGUUUAUUGUGAUAGUCAGAGUGCUCUGGACUUGAGCAAGAACACUACAUAUCAUUCACGCACUAAGCACAUUGAUAUUCGUUAUCAUUGGAUUAGAGACGCUAUCGAGAACAAGUUGCUGCAGCUGAAGAAGAUUCAUACCGAUAAUAAUUCUUCAGACAUGUUGACAAAGGUAGUCACAAAAUCAAAGUUGGAAUUCUGCAUUAAGGCUGCUGGGAUGAACUCCAGGUAACUUGGAGUCAUGAUCGGAAUUCCUCCCUCAUGGACUGGAGGGGGAGAUUGUUGGUAUAUGGUCCAGCCCAUGAUCAAUGUUCUAGAUUAUUCUAGUAAGCAAGAGAUGAGGCUGAAGCUUGCUAGACAAUUCUAGAAUGUUAUUAAGUUGAUGGAAGAAGCUAGAGAGUACUAGCUUCCUUGGUUGCAAAUGGAAAGAUCUAGAAGCUACAAGUAUAUGGCUAGUCUAGAUUUUUCUAUACUAGAGGUUUGAAGAAGGAACUAGAAACUAGUAGAAUGCCAAACCCUCACCUAUAAAUAUGGGUGUGAUGUAACCAAUUGAGAACCAAGAGUGAGUAGCAAAGGAUCAAGUCCAAAGCUAGAGUUCCACUCCAAGAGUGAGAGUGAGAGUGUUCCACUACACAUUGUGUGAGUGAAGUUUAGAGUGAUAGAAAGUGUGUGUUAUACUUUCUUGUAUCCAUCAAGCCUUGUCUUUGGCUUGGUAAGACUACUCUUGUUGUAUUCAUCUUUUUCAUAUAGUGAAGAUUGAUCCUUGUUUGGUGGACGUAGGCAUAAAUUGCCGAACCACAUAAAUUCUUGGCGUCCAUUUUCUACUUUACCUUGUGCAUUCUCUAUCUUGUAGUACCGACAUUCCUAACAAAAGUAUUGUUCAUAGUAAAAAGUACGGGCAAGCCAACUGCCUUGUUCUUACACUUGCGUUCUCCAAACGGGUGAAACUGCUAUUAUGAUCGGUCUGAAGUAGACGCGCUUAUUCUUGCGUGAGGAAAUUAUCAGUCUCCUUAACAAGAUAACAGCUAACUGGAGCUGAAGUUGGGGAUCCGGAACCCAUCAUGUAGCUUUUCAUAUUGUAGAACCAAAUUCACCACGCUGCCCUCAUCAUGAACGCCUAAUUUUGGAGUAACUUGUAAAGUGAUCUUAAAGCUCUUGUAUCGAUCUAGAGGGUUUCCUUCAAGCACUGUGAAAGUCACCGAAUGAUUUACAUCGUCUAUGGCUUCAGUUAACUCCUUGGAAAAAGUUGGUUUCCCAUCUGCUAACAUUUCAUCACAAAUCAAUUACUUGCUUCAUCCACAAAAAAACAUGUCGACAUAUAUAGUAAGAGAACAAUCUUUCAGCCACACUUACCUUCAAUAUAAUCCCACAAGAAGACACAACCCACUUUACCCCAUUCACCUUCAAGUAAUUUAUGACUCGGAACUUUGUCGGGGCUGAUGUUGCAUAUUUCGUACGGUGUUCGUGCAAAGAAUUCAUGGAACCUGUUUGCUUCAGACUUGAUUUCAACACUCGUCUCCACCUUGCUAGAAUUUGACAUUUUCCACAAGUACCAGAGUUGAAGGAAAAACGACUUUGGUGGUUCCCAACGUGAAAAUGGCGGGGUUUAGUGCAGCAACAAAGAAAAUGGCGGUGGCUGCUGCAAAUGGAUGUGGUGAUUCCCUCUCCCGCAGAAAAGAAGAUAAGUUUUUCUUACAAUAUUCUAAUUAUUCUCCAUGAUGAUGUCUGCCAUCUGCAAUAAAAAAAUAAUAAAAAGAAAAAAGACAGCCACUGAUGAUUGGUGAAGUGACGAGAUAAUCAUCAACUAGCUCAGCUCCACCCUCAGCACAACUGUGACGAAACCCACUUUUCUGAGAAAAUCACGAGAAAAGCAGAAAGCAAAAGAUAAAGCAAAAGGAAGACACAUGGGGACACUGCAAAAGUAAGGAAUAAACAUCCCACCAGAAUGAUGUAAUUUAUUUUUAUUAUCUUUCGGAGACAUCUGUAUAAACCCCAUCAGAGGGUAAUUAAAAAAAAAAAGCCCAAAAUAAUGGGCUGCAAACCCAAAAUAAGGGGCUACAAUGUCAUGGGCGAAGGCCCAUAUGCCCAAAAGACCCAUACCCUCUAUUACCACCAACCAGGUGAUCAAAAGUACGCCCAGUACUCCACAAUUAUUCGACAACCUGCCGCUAUUACCACCAACCAGGUGAUGAAAUGUACAACCCGUACUCUAAAAUCAUUUGGCAACUAGUCAUUCAUGCCACCAACCAGGUGAUGAAAUGUACAACCCGUACUCUCCUUCAUGCCACCAACCAGGUGAUCAAAAGUAUGCCCAGUACUUCAUAUUAUACAUGAACAUUACUCAUGUCAAUCAUACACAAACAUUCAUGAGUAUCACUCAUAUCAAUCAUACAUAUACAUUCAUGAGUAUCACUCAUGUCAACAUUCAUGAGCAUCACUCAUGUCAACAUCCAUGAGCAUCACUCAUAUCAAUCAAACAUUCAUGAGCAUCACUCAUGUCAAACAGCUUCAAAAGCUUCAUUUACAAAAGCUCUAGCUUCAAAAGCUUCAUUUACAGAGCUUCAGCUUCAAAGCUUCACUUAUAAAGCUUCAGUGCAGGGUAUACAAAUACCGCCUCCGAACAACCGCCACUUCGGCCCAUACAUGGAUUCAAUUUGAAGUCUCCAGCUAACAGACUCUAUUGACCGAAAAGACUUGGGGGACUACAUUAUAUACCAUAUAUUGGGCCUCAACUGGGCCUCAUAAAAAAUACUUGGGGGACUUAGCCCAUUAUCUAUGUACUGAGGAGCGAACCCUUAUUCUAUAAAAGGGACUUCCUCACUUUCAUUAGAGAGCAUCGCCGCCAGCUGAGCAACCGCCUCGCCGCGAGCAUCACUCCUAACCCAUCACUUAUGUAUUGAGGAGUGGGCCCUUAUUCUAUAAAAGGGACUCCAUCACCAUCAUUAGAGAGCAUCAACUCUAGCCCAUUAUCUAUGUACUGAGGAGCGAGCCCUUAUUCUAUAAAAGGGACUCCAUCACUUUCAUUAGAGAGCAUCGCAGCCAGCUGAGCAACCGCCUCGCCGCGAGCAUCACUCCUAACCCAUCACUUAUGUAUUGAGGAGCGGGCUCUUAUUCUAUAAAAGAGACUCCCUUACCAUCAUUAGAGAGCAUCAACUCUAGCCCAUCAUUCAUGUAUUGAAGAGCGAGCCCUUAUUCUAUAAAAAUGACUCUCUCACCUUCAACGCCACAAGCCGAGCCAACCAAGGCAACAUAAGCCACGAGCCGAGCAGCCUCGCAGCAUGUGCUACUUCUAGUUGAGCAUCAUCUCAGAUUGAGCACCGCCUCAUAUCGAACAUCAGUUCAAGACAACGUCUAGUUACUUCGGCCCACACAUGGACUGAAUUUCAAGUCUCCAGCCAAAAGACUCUCUUGACUGAAGACUUGGGAGACUACUGUUUAUACCAUAUUUAGGGCCUCGUAUUUAGAUCUUGUACAAAUACUCAGGGGACUUAAAUGUAAUUAUGUGAUAAAAGAAGGGGCAAAUAUGUAAUAAGUGAGGAGUCCUUAUUCUAUAAAAGGACCCCUCACCCUCACAAUUAGAGGAGGCCAAUUCCUAGGCCCUCUCACCCCCUCUCAACGCUCUCACUAUCAGUGCUCCCUCUCCCUCAGAUAAAUACAUAAUCAAAGUGGACGUAGCCCAAACCUUGGGGUGAACCACGAUACAUCUUGUGUCAUUUACAUUACUUGCAGAUUCACGGUCGGAUUUACGUUGUUCCAAAACCUCCGGUUUUGUGCAUCAACAGCCCUUACAUUUAUAUAGAAGAAAAGAGGGAAACAAAAACUUUACAAGAACCUAACAAUUUGCCCAUGCCAUCAGACAUGGAUGUAUUUAUUCACUAAAAAAAAUGCGUUAGUUGUAUUAUUUUACUAGAACCGAACAAUUUGCCCAGUAGACAUGGAUGGUGGAAUAUCUUGAUCAAUAUUAUUCCUCGUUUGCUCUCGUCGUUUCUAAGAAAACAAUGUUUUGUGGUUUUAUUAAAUAGCUGGAGACAAAAUGUUUCGAUCUUGUUCGUUUCUCUGUUUGUAUGCUUUUAUACAUGUUAUUUCUAAACAAUUUGUUUGUUUUAUGGUGGGCAUCUUUAAAAGUAAGAUACCCAUUUGUUUUUAAAGAAAUGUUAUUGUCACCUAAAAAUUUAAGUGUGUAUUUAUAAUUAUUUAUAUUUAAAAAAAAAUAUUCUUACAAUGAAUGUACAAUUAGAUUUUUGUAGUGUAAAUUUUCUGUCUUCAAUUUCGACUACUCGAAAUAUAUGAUCCGAUUGACCCCCAAACAUUGAGGUUUAAAUAUUUAUGGCUGGGGAAGACGAAUUCACCCAAACCUCGAACUCCUUUUCUUAGGAAAUAAAUUGAAAGUUAUAAUCUAAGGCCAAAUUCAAACCGAAACAACAACAUUCUAUUCUAUAAUUUCUCCUAGUCCUGAUCGGUUAGGGAUUCUAGUUAGUUCGUUUACAAACUACGUUGGCUAAUAUAUUUCAGUUACAACUUCAUAUAUAAAUGCAUUCUUCGUCGAAUUAACAAAUAAUCAGUUUGUAUCUAUAUAUAUAAAGUGAGAGCCCUAGUUUGGUGAAGCAUUUGAUAAACCAAAAAUGCCCUCACUUCAUACACUAUACCAACGUUAAUUGUCCAAUAAAAUUAGGGUCAAAAUUGUAAUAUAAUACAACGAAAUUCUACUGUGCGAAUAAUACAUGCACUCAUCUGAACAAUGACAAUUUUCAACCACUAGAUAAAAAUAUACACACUUAAAAUUCAUUGUGACCCUUAGAUCAAUCCUCCCACAAAUACUGCAUCACAUUCUAUCUUUCCACCAAAACCAAAAUAACAAAUAAAUUGAUAAAAACUGACAAACACUCCCUCCAAAUUAGAGUAGAACUGUCAAACACGUUGUCGCACAAAACAGAACACCGGUUGCAGCAGUUGCAAAGAUCGGAGAUAGAACCACCAAUCUACCACACGUUCUAGAGGGGAUAGCGAUCAUUCCAACCCCAAAUGCACAGAAAAGAGGAAGAACUCAUUUUCGUCUUCUGCACAAACCUCUCAUCCACGUGUUUUUCCAGAGUUUCUUCUGCAUCCACACUCAAUUUACACAAAUUCAGGUGAUUUUUUUUUCAUAAUUUCUACCCUCCAAUUAAGUAAUAUUACCCACAUGAAUCUGCUUUUCCGCUUGUUUUGUUUAUUAUUCUAUAUAAUUUAAUAAGGAAAUUCGAAUCAUUGAUGGCGUAGGAUGGGAUUGCUGGGCGUUCAAAAUUGCUCAGUGAUUAGUACUUAAUCGACCACACUGCUUAUAUUAUUUAAACUUAAUUGUUGUCAUAUGGGUUUUUCUGGAUUCCAUUUCUCUUAUUUAUGUGAUUUGAGUCAGUGGUAGUCAGGUGCAUGCAAUGAGAGACAUUUGAGGCUAUAGCUGGGAAUUUGGUUUCUAUAAAAUUACUUCUGCAAUUGGUCAGAAUUUAUAGGAGUUACUAAAAUUACCCCAUUACCAGUUUUUGUUUUACUAUAGUUGGUAAUGAUUUGUAAGCAGAUUGUACAUUGAGGUAAUGUGUGAAUUGAAUUCUGAUGGUUAAACUAAUACGACAAACUGGUAAAAAACCAUCACUGAAAAAAGAUAAAGCAUCACAACUGUAGAGUUUUGCCUAAUGAAGAAUUAGAACCGCGACGUGGGAUUCAACCACCCUCCACGUUCUGCAAACUACAAACCAGAUUGACAAAGACUCUUCCUCUACAGAAAACGAGGGGAGGGAGAAAUAGAGAUACAUAUUGACAAAGACUCUUCCUCUACAUCGACUGAUUCUUAUCGCAGGUAACUUUCAAACUUGAUUCUCAAUUUUCUAUGUAUUCCUUCCAGCGUUUGUUCAAACUUUCAAACUUGACUCUACUCGCCGUGAUCAACAACUGCAGCUUCUUGAAACAGCCUUUCACUCGUCAUAAACGACAAGUGUGGCUUCUUUACCAGUAUGUUUAUUAGUCUCUUUUCUAAUCAAAUUCAUUGCCAUUAAUUAACUGUUUCUCAUCGAUCAUUCAUUUCUGAUCAUAUUUUCAAUUUCCGUUCUAUUCCCAUUUAUACAUCUUUUUCAAUUGUGUAUGAAUUAUUUGCUUUGAUGAAGCAGAAUUAGAUUUGCGUUCAUAUUCAAUUCUAAUUAAUUGACGAUGUCCUUUGAGAGCGAGCCCAAACUAUCUAGCGAUUCGAUAUAAUCGGAGAAAGAUUUUCCAGGGUGAACCAUAUCCUUUACCUGACUAUUGAGCCGUAAAGUUUCCGGUUUCUUAAGGUUUCGGAUAUCCACUCAAUCUAUUGGGACCUGUCUGGAAAUCCCCACAGCCAUGUGACUUGCGAUUCUUCUUCUUAAUAAACGACUUAGUUUUUGCAUUUUUUGUUCGAAUUCAAAGUUUUUUUUAUACAAAUUUGAAGCUUUUCUUCAAGCUUAUUCAUUAUAUAGAUUCCAAAAUUUUUAAAUCCUCUCAAAGUAGUAGGGAUUUGGAAAUGAACUCUGCUAGAGAAGGUGGCUUGCGUUGAAAUUACCAUAAUAACAGUGUUGGGUUGGGAAUUUUUUACUGGUUUUUUAUUUAAUAUGUUUUGAAUCUUAUCUUGCAACCUGUUGUUUUUCUUCAUGGGGUUCAGGAGGAGGAACUUCACCAAGUAUUCAAAGUAAUCAAAGAUUCUUCAAUCCCGAGUUUUACCGAUCAUUCUGUUUGAUCAGGUUGCUACUUCACCCUUUAUGAUAAGUUAUUAGAUGCAUUUCAGUGUGUCCUGCAUUUGAUAACUGAGUUAUUUCGUUAUUGCUAGAAAGGUAAAUUUUACGCUAGAUUGCAAUGCAAGGUAUGUAACUCGAUAGUUUGAUGAGUUUGAAUUAUUUUUUUUAUUAGGGCUGUUGCUACUUAUUUAAUUAUGCUUGGCAAUUAGCCUGCUUGAUCGGGGGUAUGAUCGUUGUGAAUGCCGUAUGAUUGCAAUGGCAAAAUUUUAUUGAUUCAAGUGUGAAAUAGAUAAACAAAUAAGAAAAAACCAUGUUCAUGCGUAAACCAUGUCAUUGUCAUUGAAAAAACUAUAGGUAACCCUCUAAAAAUUAAUAGAUGAAGUCAAUGGAAUUGAGAGCUAUGUAAUCCAAGUCCCAGUUGCAUAUGUUAUUGGUGCAUUCAAGAGCUAGCUAAUUGAGGAAGAAAUUCAGAGGUUGAUGUAAGUUGUCUGCAAAGCAUCAUAACCUAGGGUUGAAGCACUUAGCUUUUCUCUACCCUCUUCCAUAUAAUUAGGAUUACAAGUUGUUUUAGAUAUUCAGUUAAUUUUGAAGCCAUUGGCAAUGUUUCAGUUGCAGAGUUUGAUUUAUCAAUUAUCUGCUAAAUGCAUGGAAUUUCAUCUUUUUUACUUUCAAUUUUGGGUCAAAUGUUGGGAAAUUUUUACUGGUUUUUUUAUAUAAUAUGGUUUAAAUCUUAUCUUGCAGCCUGUAGUUUUUCUUCAUGGGGUUCAGGUGGAGGAACUUCACCAAGUAUUCAAAGUAAUUAAAGAUUCUUCAAUCCCGAGUUUUACCGAUCAUUCAAUUUGAUCAGGUUGCUACUUCAUCCUUUAUGAUAAGUUAUUAGAUGCAUUUUAGUUUGUGAAACUAGGAAGGGCAUUCUUUUUGCUUAGUUGUAAGAUACUUGAGAAGCCGAAUAUUACACUUAAUCAAAGAACCGAAAUGGCAAUGUGCUAUUUCACUUUGUUUCUUUGAUGACUCAAAAUUGUAAUAUGAUUGAACUGAAUGAUUACCUGUUUUCAUCUGCAUCUCCAGAUUCAUUUCUUUCAUUUUUAGAAUCAUCAACUCCAUGAUUACCUGUUUUCUUUCAUAUAUGUUUUUCUUUUACUAAUUUAUGUUUUAACUUUUCGUUCUCUUUCAAUUUUCGUAAAUCUGAGUUUUAGAAAACACAUACAAUUCAUGUUACUAACAAAACUUUUGAUGCUUUUACACACUCAUUGGGAUUGUGUAAUGGUACAAGAUUAUUGUGUCGUGGUAAUUACCAAAAUCUUAUUGAUGCUGAAAUUCUAACUGGACAAUUUGUCGGAUCCAAAGUUUUCUUACCAAGAAUCCCUCUCAAAAGUACUAAUACUGCUGGGCUUCCAUUUAAACUUACAAGAAAGUAGUUUCCAGUGAAACUAAGUUUCUCUAUCACUAUAAACAAAUCUCAAGGUCAGACAAUACCACAUGUAGGCAUUUACCUUCCAGAUCACAUCUUCAGUCAUGAACAAUGAUAUGUGGCUUUAUCGAGGGGGGUCUCAAAGUCAACCACAACCGUGUUAGUAAAAAAUGGCUCCAUAAUCAGCCAACAAGGUGUAUUUACACGGAAUGUAGUAUACAAAGAAGUCUUGCUUCAUUCCAGCUAAUUAUGGUGAUUUCUAAUAGGUAACAAUUUUAUUAUCGAUAACCUUUCAGUAUGCAUUUCUCACUUAUCAAUUAACUCUUUUUAUUUGAUUUUUAAUUUUCUCACUAUCAUUUGUAGAUUGGCAAUGAAAAUUUGAAGCAUCAAUCAUGAACAAAUGGGUGGAAAUUGCAGCAUUGAUAUCAAAAUGAAAACUUUUUUUUCAAAAGAAACGGUGACAUAUAGACUCUAUGGGUAUUGUGAAUAAUGUACAUAUUGUUAUGCAAGAUUUAUAUUUUGACAUUUAAGUUGUUUUGUAUUUUUCUACGAGUAAUGUUUUCAUCUACUCUUUUUUUUACAUCUACUUACUAUUGUCCAUGGACUUUAGGUAGGAACUUGCGUCUAAAAUCCCAUGUUGUUUGACAAGUGCAUGAAUAACAUUUAAAUCAUUACUUUACGCAAAGUAAAAACGAAAAACAUGAUAACUUUUUAGGAUAUGCAUGAUAAAAAAAGAGUUCCUCUUUGCACAAUACAUUUAAAAUAUAUCUUGACAAUUACGAUGGGAAAAACUAACACAAUACACAUUUAGGGGCGCGUAGCACCCGUGAUGUAAAAAUGCCUCUCGCACGCACAUUAGUGGGUGCGGAGAGGCUAGUAAUUAAUUAAGAACAAGAGGACUCGAAACAGAAGCAGCAAAACAUGACCAUGACCAACAACGACAACGUUUUGGAGCCGCCCAUCAAUUUCUCGAUGGUGGAUGAGGGCGUAUUCCGAUCAGGCUUCCCGCAGCCGUCAAACUUCCCAUUCCUCCAAUCCCUUCAACUCCGUUCCAUUAUCUAUCUCUGCCCCGAGCCCUACCCGGAGGAGAGUUUGGAGUUUCUUCGGUCGCAAGGCAUUCGGCUCUUCCAGUUCGGAAUCGAGGGCAAGAAGGAGCGGUCUACGUCUCCGCUGAUUCCAGCAGAGACCAUCUCCGAGGCACUGAAAGUUUUGGUUGAAAUUGAGAAUCAUCCGGUGUUGAUCCACUGCAAACGCGGCAAGCAUCGGACUGGUUGUCUGGUGGGUUGCCUGAGGAAAUUUCAGAAUUGGUGUUUGUCUUCGGCGUUAGAGGAGUACCAGCGGUUUGCCGGCGAAAAAUCUAGGGGGACGGAUUUGAGAUUUAUCGAGACGUUUGACGUAUUGGGCCUCAGGGGGGAUGCCUUCACGGCAUUGUCCGCCAUUAUUAUUAAGUUUAUGCUUCCGGAAAGAGGCGGUUGUUGUACAAACAAGAGUUGCAAACCCAUAAACCCUAGGUGAUGUUUUAGUUUUUACGUGUUGAAAUUUUAUGCCCUUUUAGUUGUACCAUAAUGAAAAUUCAUUCAUUCGCUUAGUGACGGGUCCCACGUAUGGGAGUGAUUUUUUUGUUGUUGUUGAUUUAGCAUAAUCACGAAAUUUAGACAUGCUUAUAAAUUUAGUCCUCAAUUUAGGAGUAGGAAAUUUUUAAGAAUAUAUGGACAUGCAUGUUUACUUAAAAAAUUAGAAUGAAAAAUUAUGAAUGGAGAAAGUCAAAAAUACAAUGAAAGAAAUUCAUAUAAAAUUAACUACCCCUGAUAAAUUUGAUACCUGGAAUGAGAAUAAAAAGUCAUGAAUUGAGAAGUUGGAAAUAAGAUAGAAUAAAUCCGUACGAAAUCAACUACUCCCUGAUAAAUUUGAUUCUUGGCAUGAGAAGUCAUGAAUUGAUACGAAGUCUAAUUCUAAUUCUUUUGACAUAUUUUUUUCUAUUUUUAUUUUAUUUUUUAGUUGUUAAAUUAUCAAUGUAAAGUAGAACUCAAAUACUUUUUGACUCCACAUAACCACAUAAAAAUCAAGAAUUGAAACAGAGUAAUUCUAAUACUAAUUCGUACUCUAUCCUAGUGCAAAAAGUUAGAAUUGUAAAAAUUUAGAGCUGAUCUUGGUGAAAUAUAGAACGUCAUAGGACCAUGAUUCUGGAACUCCUUUCCCUCCUUCGACUGUGGUCGGCCUGGGUCAGAUUUCUUCGUUCAGGGAUUUACCUGUUCUGAAUAGUCUGCCCUUGAUGGGUCAACUCUAGUUAGUUAAUCCAAGCAUAGGAAGAUGAGACAAAAUACACACAAAGUUGUUAGGAUAUCUUUUCUUUUUAUAUUUGAGCGAUAUUCUAGUCUAAUCCAAAUUCAUGGAAGGAGGAUUCAAAUUUGGCUACAAUCGGAUUCACAUAUUAGGAUUGAUUUUAAAUUAAAUCCAGGUUGAUAAAAAUAUUUCAAAAUUUUUAAUGGAAACUUUUUUGUGAAGGUAUUGAAGUUGGGAUUGAAACAGAAGAUAGAGCGUAAUAUAAAGUUACAAUAACAUGUUCUAUUAAAUGAAAGUGACUAAAUAUUGAAAAAAAUGCUACACUGCGUGAUCAACUCCGGCAACGAGCAUUAGCACUGCAUCCACGGUUGUAGGGAUUACUCUGAUUCUGAGCACCCGGCUUGCAGUUGUUGGAGGAAGCACCUCUCUGAGAGCAAGGCACAGUGUUUCUCUGCAGAGCUUCAUAGCUUAUGUUUCGUGAGGUGGCCAAGAUGCGCCUGCUAAUCUCCGAGUCCAUGCCAAAUUCAUCAUCACGAUCAUCCAUACACUCUGCUACAGAACCCUCGCGGCGAGGUCUCACUGGAACCCAGCUCACCCCAUGAUCGCCGCCUGCAUCAACGGAGAUGAUCAGAGCGGCCACGAAGGCCAAGGAAAAGAUAAUCGCUGAGGAAUUGGCCAUAGGUUUUGGUAUGGUCUGUGUUUUUAGCUGCCAACUUGUAUUUUGUUGUACGCCUGUUUAAUUACUGAGGGAGACAGAUGGGGCGGCAAGAGAGAGAAGAGUUGGUGAAUUCUGAUGUAUAUAUUAUUGCACUCUAUUGUGUUAUUUAUAGUAGUAAAAAGUAUAAAAAAGGGAAAGUCCUAAGGGAAAAUCCUUAUCUUUCAGGCAAUCCAUCUUAAAUAACACACAAUCUACAAGAUAUUCUGCAGUCCCAUAAGGAUUUUUUACACAAAAAUUCCUAGUAAGUUUGGACUUUGAUACAUUUAAAUUUGAUUAAAUGGAAAAUUGGAUGCUGAUUUCUUCAAGGAGGUGAUUGUGGAUGCAAAUUUCUUCCUCCUUGAUCUUGGACAAAAUUGGACCUACAAAACAAUUAACACCUUAGGGUCAAGGCCAAGAGCCUCACGUGUCCACGAUGAACGCGGGGGGGGGGGCUUUGGCCGUUUGGCCGAAGAACCUCUGAUGCCAAAGUUAGAAUUUAGAGAGAAAAGUGUUUAGAGAGUAUUGGGAAUUUUGCGUGUUGGACCUAGGUUUUGGUGAAAAUGGGAGCCAAUACAUAGGGCAUAGGGUGUAACUUAUGGUUUAAUGUGUGAUUUAAUGGAUUAAUUAGGCAAUUAAUCGAUUAAUUGGUUAAUCAACACAUUUUUGGCAUAAAUAUUUUGGGGGUUAUGUAAUUUAUACCUUGUGGAAAAUAUAGGAUGAGGAUGGAUGAAAUAACUUUGAAUUUGUUACUUAUUUUGGGCAUGCUUGAUUUGGUUGAAGGAUGAUUGCCCGCUACUCGCGCGUAGGAAUCCCGUUGUACCUCAAGGGUAUUUUUGUCUUCUUUUGUCCAAAAAUCCACGUGUCGCCUUGUGAUUAUUUUUGGCUCCAUAGUGAUUACUUAAAUGACUUGCACUAAUUAGCCUUAGGGCUAGUUUGGUAUUACUGUGCUUUGAAAAAAACUGCUUCUGCUGUGCUGCGAAAAUAAACAACUGUGAAAUAAAGCGGUAGAGUGUUUGGUAAACUUUUUUGUAAAAAUGCUUUUAGCAAAAAAAUCAGUGUUAAAGUGUUUGGUAAAUUUUUAUAUAAAACUGCUGUGAUUAGGUUAAAUGACUAAAAAUGAUAUAAUGUUAAAUUUAAUAUAUAAUUUUUUAUUUUUUAAUCUCUAUAAUUGUUGAGUCAUCCAAACUCUUCCAUUUUCCAAAUCCCAUUUAUAAUUCUAGAGUCAUCCUUUUCGCCUAAUUUUUUUUUUCAUCUGACGUUCAGAUCCGAUACGUUAGCGUUCCGUUGGUUAUCAGACAGGAUCAAACUAAGCGUAGGCUGUUUCCGGAUCAGAUCUAGUCGAAGAGCUCUCCCCUAUCGUACUUAACUUGAAUAAGGCAGUUUCCCACUAGCCGCUUAAAGGAGUACUCAAGGAUUACCCUAUUACCGAUCUCGAACUGGCCUCCUACUGUCCUCGCUAAGAAAGAGUCUGCCCGCUUAAUUCAAUGAAGUAGUUGAUAUUUAUCUAUUAAAGUAAUUUAUCAAUUACGGCAUUCAAGGUCGGAUGAUAACAGUUCUCUUUACCCAAGAAGCUCGGGGAAAGGAAACAGAAGCCAUGCAGACUGAAAUUGACGAACUCCCCACCCACACUAAAAAGCAAAUAAAGACCCAUGUUUAGCGUCCUCCACUCUAAGGACCACAUCAUCCAGAAGUUCAAUCUCAUUUACCUCAAGAUCAUCGACAAGAUCGAUCUUCCAAUUUCUGAGACUGAUAUUUCUACCAUUUUUUCCCCUAGUUAUAUAACUUCCACUACCACUAGUUUCCCAGUUUCAUCUCCCCUACCAUCCAUGGCGUCUGCAAGCUCUCACAAACACCCAUCUCUUCUGUCAUCCAUUACUUUCCCCAUCACUUUCCCACCUUCCUCUUGGAGUUGCAGAAGGAGCUUGCUAUGAAGAUCUGUUGUGUGAAAUUGUGCAUCUUGGAUCGAGCACUUUUUUGACAACUGGGUUUUGGAUUUGUUUCCUGGUCUACAAUGCCACGAUGAGUUGAAAAAUACUCUGAUCAGAUUUCGAUUUCGAAAAUUGAAAUCCGACAAAACAAAAAUAUCAAUGAUGAAGAUUCAAUCUCAACCCAGCGAGAAGGAGAAACGGAGGAGAGUAUUUUUGAGAUUGUGAAAGUUUCAUUAAAAUAUACUGUUCACCCGCCUCCUUGAAAAAAUAAGUUGGUUUUGAGAAAUAACAAAAUGUAGCUUCUGUUUUUUGCCACUUUUCAGCUUUUAAUGAUCUGUGACUUUUAAAAUAAGCAGUGUUACCAAGCACAAAUUGUACUCCAAUUUUUUUUCAUCCCAGCUUUUAAAAUAAUUUAAGCAGUACCAAACCUUACCUUAUUCUAAUUGCAACAAAGAAAGCUGAAAUUGGAAUAAUUCGUGAUUUGUUCAAACCAAGAAUACAAAAGCAACAACCUACUAGAAAAUAUGCUCGUAGAGAUUUACGGGUUGUUUCUGCAAGUAAUUUUGCUAAAAGCGCUUUUAUUAGAACAACAUUGAGAAAUCAAUUUUAUAAUGAUAUGAGCAUGCCAAGAGAUUAAACUAGUUUACAACAUCAAUAUUAUAAUGAUAGUACUCUCAGUUCAUUCUUGCUCAUAGAAUUAAAGAGAGAAACCGAACUAAACAACAAUGCGGACUAGCUUGGUCAACUCUCAGGCCUUUAUUCUUGAAGAUAGCAAAAUUACUCAAAGUUCCAUAUCAUAUGUAUGCAUAAAUCUUGUGCUUGGCACUUAUUCCUUGAGAAGAUGUGCAUCAAUAUCUUUAAUGACAUUGACCAUAAAGCUGAGGUACUUCUGUGGAGGCGGAUCGUUCUCGUUGAGUUUUUCAUAUUCUAAAGUAAUUUUCACAAAACCUCCUUCACUCUUUGGAGUGACCUGGAAAAUGAUCUUGUAGCUUUUGUAAUUGUCCAGCACAUGUGAUCCUUCCAGAGCUGUAAGACUCACCCACUUGUUUACUUCAUCUAUUUCCACCUUUUCCUUGAAUGUCUCGACAUUUCCAUCUACACGUCACAUGGAAAAUUACAAUGAUACAUCUAUUCAUGGAGAGAUUUUUCAAUGCUCAGAACACUGGGUGGUACAACACAUGUUAUUAUACAAACGAAUGAAAAUUAUUUUCAAAUGUCUCUUCACUUAUAUAAUGAAAUAUAAUUUAUAUAUCCAUGUUCUGAGCACACUAAAAAUUCUCUCCUGUCCAUGAUCCGAUUCUUUAUAUAUUCAUCGUCAGGUAAUGCAAACCUAAUGGCGCAUGGAUGGCCUGGUCAAUAUAUUUCAGUUUUAAUUCUAGAAGAAUCUUAUACGUACAUAUACAUAUCACGUUAGCAUGUUUAUUUCAUAGCAGGUUAGUUUGUGUUAUUCAAUAAUAAUAAUAAUAAUAAUAAUAAUGUUACAGUAUUAACUAUAAACGUAACAUUAUUAUUAUACAACUUUUUUUAACAAACAAUAUUAUCUACAUUAAGGGAAAGAGGUGAGCUUAGCCUCACAAUGUUUGAAUGAUGGAAAUAAAUUUGGACUUUUGACAAAAUUUAGAAUUUAUAAAUUAACAUGCACCAAUUCUCUUGUCUAGAUUCAUAAACAUAGAAAUUUAGAAUUUCCGCGUGAAAAAAAGGGAGAAUUUGAGACCUCCAAUUCCCAAGUUUAAAUUUCAUGUAAAUAAGUCACUCAGUACUACGGUCUUGUAGUAUUUCUCUUCACUUGAAAGUGAGAGGUUAUAAGUUCGAAUCUUGUUGAUGACGAAUUUGAUACCAAAUUAGGCUACCCAUUGUGUGGCUUUGCCGAACUCCUUAGUGUAAAAAUAUCGAUGUACUAAAAAAAAUCAUGUAAAUAGGUGUUAUUCCAAAUUUUUAUGAGUGAGAGUUUAAAGAUAACAAAAUCUAUAUUGAAUUUAUAUUAUUCUUUUAAGUUAGUCAAACAAGAAAAUUUACAAAUUCUAGAAAUAAAAUUUCUUAGUAAUUUUAAAUUUUCUCAUCCAAACAGAAUGUUAGAGUCAUGAUGUAACACCCGUCGCUUUUUAUUUAACAAAAUUAAUUAUUAGUUUAACUAGGUUAGGAGGAGAGAGGAGGGUGAUUAAUUUCAUAUUACCUAGGGUGUAUUUCCAGAGCUUGACAGAGCCAGAAGUUUCCCAGUCACCUUCAUGUACUGCAACAUCGUGUAUUUUAUCAGAGGCUGCUUUGGGGACGUCGUGGUGCUGGUUGCUGAUGACUUUGUACAACUUAUCAGCGUUGGCUUUGAUCUCUACCUCAGCCUCCACAGUCAGCUUGCAAGCACCAGCUCCACUCACUGCCAUUUUCUUUUAUUUGUUAUUAGUAAUAUGUGAUUAGUCUGGGGAAAUUGUAGGAGACGUAUACUAACCUACAGGUUUCAACUUCUUAUAUAGAGUCGCAAAGUUGUAAAUUAACAUGUUAUAAACUGAUAGUUAUGGAGGCAGCGUGUGGAUAUGAUCCGAUCACUUAAUUAAAUAGUUAUAUAAUAAUAUUGUGUCUGUGGAUCUUCCAGGCAGAGUUUUAUUAAUUAUUACAUCUAGGGGUGGAAUUUUUUCCCGAAAAUCCCGAACCGUCCCGAUCCCGUCCCGAAAUUUGACUGAAAAAUUCCCGAACCGAAUUUUCCGAAACAUUCGGUACCCGAAACCGAACCCGUCCCGAAAGUUUUGGGUUGGGAUUUGGCCACAGCUUUGAAAGCUUUCGGUAAUCCCGAACCGAACCGAUUAUUAUAUAUAUUUAUUUUUAAUUUUUAAUUAGAAAUUACUUGAACCGUUGGAUUUGUUAAAAUCUAAUCCAACCGUCCAUUAGUUAGGUCAUUUUAUUAGGUUGUGAUCAGAUCUCUCGGACUCACUCACUCUCGGUCUCUCCGCUCCACUCUCGCUCACUCUCUGCGCUCCGCUGUCACUCACUCUCUCCGCUCUCUCUUGCUCACAGUCUCAGUCUCCCUCACACGCACUCUCACAAACAGUCUCGCCGCCCGUGCUCCCGCCGCUCUACUCCUCCGUCGAAUCCACGCUGCUCCUCAUCCUCCACAACUCACGCAAACACAGGAAGGAACCAAUUGAGUCCCAAAAUCCAGGAUAGGGUUUUUAAUUUUCACUGGGGUUUUGUCCUUUCUCUCUCUUUAACUCUUCAGACAGCAUUUCACAGAAACCCAAUUAAACAUAUGAAAAUAUACAAGCAACAACCUGUAAAAUUUAACAUAAAUAAACAAUGGUAAACUACAAUUAACAUAAAAAUUGCUCACAGAGAGAGAGAGAGAGAGUUCUUACAUGAGGUGCUGCAAUUGCUUGAGAGAGUUCUUACAUGUGGCUUUGUAGCUAGUGUGGAUUGUGACCUACUUAUUUGUGUGUUUAGAUACGCAAGCUAAGUAUAGCUGAUUGGUUUCGUAUCUGUUUGAGAUUUUUAUUUUAUUUUAUUUUGCUGUCAUAAUGUGCAGGACAAUCCCAAUUUCGAGGGUGAAACAUGUAGGAUCACUACUAGAAAUUUCCACUUUGCCGACAAAAAUAGUUUGUAGGCAAAAGUCAAAAUUCGUCGGCAAAGAGCCUUUCCCAACGAAAAAUUUUGUCGGCAAUUUUGUCGCUAAAAGCAUGUCGCGCAAGAUCUUUCUCGACAAAUCUUGAUAUUUCGUCGGCUCAUUUUUAAGGCGACAAAUCUCAGCCGUCAAACUGUGCCCAUCACCAAAACAACAUUGCGACAAAAUAUUUUGUCAGCAUAGGUUGUUUCUUCGCGAUGAAAUUAUUUGUCGGCUUAGUGAUCUUGUCGCGACAAAAUAUUUGUCGGCUGAGUAAUCUUGUUGCGACAAAACAUUUUGACGGCUAAGUAAUCUUGUCGUGACAAAAUGGUUUUUCGGCUAUGUAGUCCUAUGACAACAAAUUGGUUUGUCAGCUCAAAUGACUUGUGUAGACAAAAUAAUUAGUUGGUUGAAUCUUUUGUGAACAAAAACAUUUGUCGGCUAAUUAAUUUUGUGCCGACAAAACAUGUCAAGUCCAAUAUUUUCUAAUUUUUAAUAAUAUUUUUAACCAUCACAAACAAGCAAGCUUAAGAGAUCGAGAAGGGGCGUGAAUGAAGAAUUAAUGUAGGAACAACACAAAAUUCAUGUAAUAUAAACUAAUGUAAGGUUCACAAUUCGGUGUAGCUACAAAAUACAAAAAUAUCUAUGUUUUCAUUUCGAGAUUACUAUAAUAUAGAUAAAAUAUCCUUAAGUAUCACCAUUCUCACUAUAGUCCUCAUCAAGUUGAUAUGCAGCAUCAUGAAAUCGGGAAACGAUAAGGAUCAUCAUGAAACACUCCAGUAUCAAACAACUGUAGAAGAAAAACAAAUUAAAAAACUUGAUUAGCAAACGUUAAGGGUGCUAAAUAUCAUUGACAUUAAGGAACGCAAGGCCACACUAGUGGUAUUUCUAAACAAAUAACUUAUGAAACCAUAAAUGUGUAAACAACAAGAUAAAGAUAUCUACUAAUCAAGUUAACUUACCAACGCCAUGCAGCAUCACAACCUAGCAAAAUUACAUGUUUAAUAGAUACCAGGUAAUAACCAAGUUAACAUCAACUACUUAUAUGUCAUUCAUCAUUGUAAACAACAAGAUAAACAUUAUAAACAGCAAGGCAACAUGAUUAUCACUCUGUAAACAAGGCAGCAUGAUAAGUAGAUCAUAUAAAUCCUUGAAAGGUAUAUAAUUUAUAUAAACAUAACAAUACCAAUCACCUAUCUAAGUAGGUUAUAACUCUAGAACAUAAGCAUAUGCACCUGGAAACAUAAAUAAACUAUACUAAAGCAUCCUAAUUCAUCAUUGUUUAUAAUCUUUAUCAGUGUAAACAAGAAGAUAUAGACAUCUACUAAUCAAGUUAAUCCUCAAAUAUCAAAAUUACCUGGUGUGAAUGAUCCUCACAUUGGUCUCCAUGCCGUGCUGAUACCAGUUGUAAGCUAUCUAGCCCAGAAUUCCACUGAGCCAUAGACAACCUGCAAGUGUUAUAGAAAGGAAAAACAAAUAUGUCAAACCUAGACCACAAUAUCGAAAAAUUACAGUGGAAAUCUGGAAUUAAAGUCAAAGGACAUUGUUUUCACCAAUAUUAUACAAAUGGAUUGCCAAAUCAACCAAAAAUUGGAAACCUAGAUCAUAAAACUCGAACCCAAAUGAAAUAGUUCAAUUAAGAACAUGUUUUUCAUCCAUAUAUGCGAUUCAAUCAAAGCAAAUACAAUUAUUUCAUUUUCCAAUAAAAACAUGGAAAACGAAUACAAAAACAAACAAACAAGUUAGCAAAUUAAUGUGGUAAGGAAAAUGCAUAUACAAAAUCAUGAUAAAACCUGCAAUCAUGAUAAAAAAAUAUAAUAUUACAAAGAUAGAAAAAAAUUCCAGCCUUGAAUAUUUAUAACACAAAGAGAAUGAAAACUUCAUUUUAUAUCCAAUUCUACUCUCUCACUGACUGAUUAAUUAUGUGUGUUCCCCAUUUCCCAUAUACCAUUCCAUUCCAUUAGUUUUAAUAGGAAAGAUCAUCCAAAUCAUCUAAAACAAUGAAAACUUCAUUUUAUAUCCAUGAACAAAAGCUCCAAACUCUGAAAAACAAAACCAAUUUUAAUUCAUUCCAGAGCAACUGAAUAAAACAGAACUAAACACAACUGAGAAGAAAAACUGUUUAAGCCAAUCACACAGACUAUAUUAAAUCUUUACAAACCAACCGAAUGAUGCAGAAAUGCUUAAUAACAAAAUAGUUAAGCAACAAAUCAUGUAAAAUAAUCAUAAGUCAACUCAACAAAACCAAACAAAACACCGACACCACUGAAUAAACCCUGCCCAUUGGAAAAAAAUAAUACCUAACAAAGAACCCAACCACUGCAAGUGUAAAUUCAAAAGACAUAAGCGUUCAAACACUGCAAAAAUAAGUGGAAGAAAAACACAAAGUCACCAAAGACAAAAGCUUCCUAAAACGAAAAAUCAAACCAGAUGGAACAACCAUAGACAAAUGAUCACAAAAUAGAAGAAAACAUUUGAAAGAAAGAGCUAACAGACCUUUAUUCGAAAGGGCUUGCAACGCUGUUCACAAAACCCCCAAACUCUGGAGACCAAUAUUUUCUGCAACACAAAAGCCAAUCAGAUUAGGGAACCACACCGAAAUCACUAAAAAAAUAACCAAACAAUGAAUGAAAAACGCUAAAAGUUCAAUUUCACACCGAUCAAGCAAUAAUGUAUAGGAAAACCCUAAACCCGAAAGACCCAAAUUUCCCAAAACGAAAAAUCGAAUUAGAUCGAACAGCCACACCAAAAUAAGCAGAAAAAAAGAAGAAAACAUUCGAAACAAAAAACUUACAGACCUUAAUCACAUAUGCUCUGCAAGACUAUUCCCAAAAACCCUAAAAUUCACACACCAACUUUUGCUGAAACCAAAAACCCAAUCGGAUUAAACAAACACGCUAAAAACAAAGAAAAAAUUAGGAAACAACCAAUAUAACACAAACACUCUAAUUUUACAGGCAUCAAUCUGCAAAUUUUCUUCCCAAUCAAAGAAAACACACACACACACACACAAAAAAAAAAAAAAAAAAGAGAAACGACCUCAAACAGCGCAAUGAAUCAGAAAAAGAAACUCUUCAGACAACAGAGGAUCGAUGCAGAGAGAUAAGCAGAGACACGAAAGAUCAAGGCAGGCGGAAGAACACAUAAACAAAGAGGAAGAAAAAAGGGAAAGCUACGGAAGAAAAUAAGCGAUCCCUCGCUUCCGCACCAAAAACGACGGAGACCACGUGGUAGAUGCAGCAAUUGAAAUUAAACAGACCAAGCAGGGGCAAUUGCGUCACAACACUGUUACUUUCACUGUUCAUCAACAGUGUUCCACCCGUUUGGGUUUUAGUAUAUAUAGAAUUUAUACUUUCAUUAAGUAUAACAUAAGAAUCUGUGGUAUCCACAAGUGUAAAUAUUUUAAAUUGAAGAUCGAGCUCAUUCAUUGUAUUCAUAUAGGAUCAAGGAGUGUAGCUGUACAAAAUCAUCAAAAUCGAAGUUAAAAUAACCGUUAAAUCAUGAUUUUUCGUUUAUAACCGUCAGAACGUUUUGUCUCCUUACAUGAUCUCUGAAGGUUUUUUUUUUGCAAUUUUUGGCGUAUACGAUCUCGAAACAUAUAUAAACAAGUUUGACGGUUGGAUCGUUGAAACUAGUUUCGUAUAAUGCGUAUCCUAUGAAAAUGAUAGAUUCACUAACACUUAGAGUUUAUUUAUACUUUCAUUAAGUAUAACAUAAGAAUUUGUGGUAUCCACAAGUGUAAAUAUUUUAAAUUGAAGAUCGAGCUCAUUCAUUGUAUUGAUAUAGGAUCAAGGAGUGUAGCUGUAAAAAAUCAUCAAAAUUGGAGUUAAAAUAACCGUUAAAUCGUGAUUUUUCGUUUAUAGCCAUCAAAAAAUUUUGUCUCCUUACAUGAUCUCUGAAUGUUUGUUUUUUGCAAUUUUUGGCGUAUGCGAUCUCGAAACAUAUAUAAACAAGUUUGACGGUUGGAUCGUUGAAAUUAGUUUCGUAGAAUGUGUAUCCCAUGAAAAUGAUAGAUUCACUAACACUUAGAGUUUAUUUAUACUUUCAUUAAGUAUAACAUAAGAAUUUGUGGUAUCCACAAGUGUAAAUAUUUUAAAUUGAAGAUCGAGCUCAUUCAUUGUAUUCAUAUAGGAUCAAGGAGUGUAGUUGUAAAAAAUCAUCAAAAUUGGAGUUAAAAUAACCAUUAAAUCGUGAUUUUUCGUUUAUAGCCGUCAAAAAGUUUUGUCUCCUUACAUGAUCUCUGAAUGUUUGUUUUUUGCAAUUUUUGGCAUAUGCGAUCUCGAAACAUAUAUAAACAAGUUUGACGGUUAGAUCGUUGAAAUUAGUUUCGUAGAAUGUGUAUCCCAUGAAAAUGAUAGAUUCACUAACACUUAGAGUUUAUUUAUACUUUCAUUAAGUAUAACAUAAGAAUUUGUGGUAUCCACAAGUGUAAAUAUUUUAAAUUGAAGAUCGAGCUCAUUCAUUGUAUUCAUAUAGGAUCAAGGAGUGUAGCUGUAAAAAAUCAUCAAAAUUGGAGUUAAAAUAACCGUUAAAUCGUGAUUUUUCGUUUAUAGCCGUCAAAAGGUUUUGUCUCCUUACAUGAUCUCUGAAUAUUUGUUUUUUGUAAUUUUUGGUGUAUGCGAUCUCGAAACAUAUAUAAACAAGUUUGACGGUUGGAUUGUUGAAAUUAGUUUCGUAGAAUGUGUAUCCCAUGAAAAUGAUAAAUUCACUAACACUUAGUUUAUUUAUACUUUCAUUAAGUAUAACAUAAGAAUUUGUGGUAUCCACAAGUGUAAAUAUUUUAAAUUGAAGAUCGAGCUCAUUCAUUGUAAAUAUUUUAAACUGAAGCCCUUUUGUGACGCCAGCAUUAGUGUCGCUAUUCCAAUCCGACAUUACAUUGUUUUAUGUCAGAUUUUUUUCUAAAUUUCCGAUAGAAAUUGGGUUUCUUGUCGGUUUUUGCUUCGCCACUGAUAAGGUAUAUUGCAGUAGUGGGUGUUGGUACCAAGUAACAGAUUCAUGAUAAAUCGUUCAUUUAUUUGAUUCACAUACAUUAUCUCUGAGCGGGAAGAUCCCCGCCAAAAUAUUACAUGAUAUUUUAAAUGAUUUUUCGUUAGUUUUCAUUUUUUAUUAAAGUGUAACAAGGUAUGUUUAUAUCUUUCGCCAAAAAAGUAACCAAAAAUUGUUAGAGAAGGGAGACAGAUAAUAGGGGCGUGGAUGAUAAUCAGUUAAGAGUGCAAGAAUCGUAAACCUAGGGAUAGAAAUCGUCAAAAUUGUUUCUGAGCGGGAAAGACCCCGCCAAAUUGUUAGAAGAUAAAUAAGAAUUCUUAUCAAACUGAAAUCGGAUGGCGUGAGCGAAGAAUGUGGGAGGGAAGUCAUGAGCAAUUGGGAUUAGCAUGCAAUUGGGAGGGAGAUCAUGAGGCGACAAAAUAGGAAUAGCAUGCAAUGGGAGGGAGAUCAGGCAAUUGGGGGAUGUGAACCGACAAUUGAGGGAUGUGAACUGACAAUUGGAAUAAUAGAAAUAUUAUGGGAGGGAGAUCAUGAGGCGGCAAAAUAGGAUUAGACAAAAUAUGGGAGGGAGAUCAUGCAAUUGGCAGAUGUGAACCGACAAAUUAGGUUUGGAUUGCCACGGGAAAUUUAUAAGUUUGUUCUUAUAAUCAUAUGUUAUGUUUUUAGAAAACUUGGCAUGCUUGUCGAAUUAGAAUGGAUGAUUACAUACAACUGUAUUCAAAUUUACAAUUGUAAUUGCUAAUAAUUGAUCAUAGCCUAAACCAAGUUAUAUGUUGCUAGAAAGUAGUUUGGAGUUAGAAUUGAUAGGAAGAACUUUUUCAAACACUCACAUAUUAUGAAAUCAAAUUGUCAAUAUAGAUUAUUGAUGGCAUAAAACUACAAUCCAGAAAUAUGAAAUGCUAGAUAUCUCUUUAUCUAUGCUCCCGUUCAUAUAGAGAAACAAGAGAGAAUGACAGCAUAAAUAGUUGCCAAGAGCUUUGAUUGUGUUCCCCGGAAAAAAAUGGAUAGGUGCACUGGUGAAAACCUCUCACGUAGAGUUAUUAAUACCUUACCAAUGACAUACUUUAUUGCCUCUCUAAUCAAUUUGCCGAUGAAAUACUUUGUUGCCUCACAUCAUCGGCUAAUAUUUCAAUAUAGUGGGAAAAGUUCCCGCCAAAGUUUACCCGUCAAAACAAAAUUUGUCAGGGUAUCGAAUUUACGCCUACAAAAUGAUCGUCGGCUAACGUUUCAAUUUUCUCGGCUAAGAUUGGCAUUGUAAAUUGGUUCUAGUGUGAGUAUUCAGCCGACAAAUUAAAAAUUUCGUCGAGAAAGGACUCUUGUGCCGACAAAAUUUUGCUUUGUCGGUUUAAUUUGUCGGCAAAAUUAUAAUUUCUAGUAGUGGAUAUGCAUGAAUGCAAUAAUCGACAGGGGUGUUCUCGAUUGCUGCCAGCAUUGGUAUGUGCUUUAGUGUGGUUUUGUGUGUGUGAGAGAGAGAGAGAGAGAGAGGAAUUUUAUUUUAUGACAUGGGUUCAUCUUGGGGUUUUCAGGUUCUGUUUCUCAUGCAUUGACAAUUGGGCUACCAUUACAAACCUCUGCCCGCUUUGCCAGAAUGAAUUUCAAAUGAUCACAUGUGUUUCGGAGAGUGAUGCAAAUAAACAGUUAUCGCUUUAGUAUUAUUUCUGUUAUGAUUGCUAUGGAUUAUAGAAUGGUAUUAAUGUACAACCAGUUUAAAGCACAGUUGUUACUUUGAUUUCUUAACUAUCUGUUUUCAAUAGUUUUCUUUUUGUUGCAAACAGAAUUUUUAUUUUGAAGUUUUCUCAAAAUAACGAUUUGAUGCUGGUUUGAAGUGGCACUAAAUCAUAAGAGUUUGAUUUGUAUGUGAAGGUAUACGAUACUAUUGGGAGCAUCAAAGCGGACGAGGACUCAACUUAUAGGUACUUUCAUAAUUAUGGAUAAUGUGUUUAAGUCUAUUGGUGAGGGUUCUUUGUUCACAUUUAUGCGGCACAUGUUCCCAAUUUGGAAGCUUGGUUUGUAAAACUUAACUUAUUUCAUUUUGGUUGCAUGCACUUUUAAUUAAAUAGUUUGGUAGACAAAUACAAUUGUGAACUUAAGCUUAACUUGUUAGUUGCUUCCUUUGUAUGAAAAUUGAAACAUGUGGUAUUGUGAUAUUCAUAUUGUGGUGAAAUUGAAACAGGUGGGCUGGGCAGUGGCUGUGUAACCUUAAUUUUUUUUUUUUUUGGGGGCAGUGGCUGGCUGCAAUCUUAAAAGCCCAACAUUUUGGGCUUCAAGGCCCAAUCCCGAAGUAUCCCGAAAAUCCCGAAACACUUUCGGGAAUCCCGAAUUUCGGGAAAUGCACAUAUUCGGUUCGGUUUCGGGAUAUAAAAGCCCAUCCUGAAAUGUUUUGGUUUGGGAUUCGGGAAAGGAGUUUCGGUUCGGGAUCCCGACCCGAACCACCCCUAAUUACACCUACCAAACUUAAGAGCACGCGCAAACUUGAUGAGACAUAUAUCAACACGUGAGAACAAUGAUUGAUCAACAUUACCUCCAUAGUAUUAUUAGAGUGAAUGAUUGUAUGAUAUUAAUUUACUAGAGUGAAUGAUUGUAUGAUAUUAAUUAUGCGUUAAGAUCUUGGGAAUUUUAAUGAAAAAUUACUGGUAUUAUUCAUUUUAAUAAAAAAUUACAUUUUUACAUUAAAAAGUCAAUCUUAGUACUAUUCACUUUAUUCUUUAUUUUGUCCUUAUUGUUAAAACUCAAAGUUUUCAAGUCAUUUUCAUUAAUUUUCCUUAAGAUCUUUUGAUUUGGCAUGCGGAAGUGUGUGUGUUUGUAUAUUAUAUAGGGAUAAUACUAAGUUAGGUUCAUAUUAUCUUAACUAGUGAUAAAUUAAGGGUUCUUUCGAGUUAUUCGAAACAGUGGUUUAUAUUAUCUUGACUUACGUGCAACCUAAACACAAAAAAGAGAGGCUGUACUGGCUUCCAAAAUAAAACUAGAUGCAAACAAUAAUGUGGAGUUCCGGUUACUCUUUUGGAAUCAACCAAAGCUGAAUCAUUGAUGCCUAAUUUCAGAAAGUUUUCCUUUUCUGCAUGCAGAUCUUUUCAAUGGAUGUAGCUCAGUUUUGGGAGGUAACCACUUACUUCAUCGAGUUCAUUAAUUUUAAUCAAUCUAAAGUAAUUUAACUAAGUUUAUUAACCUUACAAUGUUGAGCGUUAAUACCCAAUUUUGGAGGAAUUGCAUCACGUUUAUGUAAAGGUAAUCGAAAUAAUAGAGCGGAAUUAAAUUCCAAUUACGGAAUACUCCAGUAUUUACCAAAUAUUGGAGAAUAAAAAAUUUGAUAGCACCCACUCAAUUUUUUAAUCCAAUACUAAUUCAUAUUCAAAUUUUGGAAUAAAAAAUCUAAUACUAAUUCGUACUCAUCAAAUGAAAGUAAAAUCUAAUUCUUCAUUUUUUAAGUAAUUAUUGUAAUGUGAGUAAACGCAUGAAAAUCAUGAUUUAGAAUAUUUUCUAAUGCAGACUCUAAGUCUGAAAUUGAAAUAUAAAGAUAGCCGUUGACGGGUCGAUUCUGGUUAAUCUAGGCAUGAGAAUACGAAAAAAAUACACACAAAGUUAUUAAGAUAGCUUUCCUUUUUUAUAUUUUAGCGAUAGUCUAGUCUAAUCCAACAUUAGACCACAUUCAGUGAUUCAAACUAAGAGAAGGGGGAUUCAAACUUGGCUACACUCGGAUUCUCAUAUGAGGAUUGAUUCUGAAGUAAAAGAAUAUAACCAAGUUGAUCAAGAAAUUUCAAAAUUUCUAAUGGAAACUUAUUAGAAAUUUUUUGUGAAGGUGUUGAAGUUGGGAUUUUUUUGUUUGUUUUCGUAUUGAAGUUGGGAUUGAAACAGAAGAUAAAGCAUAAUAUAAAGUUUCAUUACAAUUAACAACAUGUUCUAUUAAAUGAAAGUGACUAAAUAUUGAAAAACAUGCUACGCCGCGUUGAUCAACUCCGGCAACGAGCAUUGGCACUGCAUCCGUGGUUGUAGGGGUUGCUCUGAUUCUGAGCACCCGGCUUGCAGUUGUUGGAGGAAGCACCUCUCUGAGAGCAAGGAACAGUGUUUCUCUGCAGCGCUUCAUAGCUUAUGUUUCGUGAGGUGGCCAAGAUGCGUCUGCUAAUCUCCGAGUCCAUGCCAAACUCAUCAUCACGAUCAUCCAUGCACUCUGCUACAGAACCCUCGCAGCGAGGUCUCACUGGAACCCAGCUCACCCCAUGAUCGCCGCCUGCAUCAACGGAGAUGACCAGAGCGGCCACGAAAAUCAACGAAAAGAUAAUCGCAGAGGAAUUAGCCAUAGGUUUUGGUACGGUCUGUGUUUUUAGCUGCCAACUUGUAUUUUGUUGUACGCCUGUUAAUUACAGAGGGAGAGAGAGGGGGCGGCAAGAAAGAGAGAGAUAAUCGGUGAAAUUUUGAUGUGUAUAUUAUUUCACCCUAUUGUGCUAUUUAUAGUAGUAAAAAGGGAAAAUUUUUGUCUUUCAAGUAAUUCAUAGGAGUUAGGGAAAAUCCUUGUCUUUCAAGUAAUCCAUCUAAAAUAGGACACUACGUAAAAGAUAUUAUACAAUUCCAUAAGGAUUUACACAAUCACAUUCCUAAUUAAAUUAAGACUCUGACAUUUUUAAGUUUGGUUAAAUAAAAAUUGGAUGUUGAUUUCUUCAAGGAGAUAAUUACUUAAUUGACAUGCUUUAAUUCAACCUUAUUCCAAUUGCAACAAAGAAAGCUGAAAUUGGAAUAAUUCGUGAUUUAUUCAAAACCUACCAAGAAAACAAAAUCAACAACUACUACAAAAUAUGCUCGUAGAGAUUUCCGGGAUGUUUCUGCUCUUAAGUGUUUUUGCUAAAAGCUCUUUUAUCAGCACAAGGUUGAGACUUUAAUUAAAAAACUAAGUUUUUCUCGAAAAAAUAUAAGCAUGCCAAUAGAUUGAACUUGUUUACAACAUCAGCAUUAUAAUAAUAUUGUUGGAAAAUAUUAGGUUUACUUUAAUGUUUGGUUUUCUGGGCUUAGCCCGUUAGUAUUAGGGUUUCGUUUUCUUGCUUAUUAGGGUUAUGUUAGUUCUCUAUAUAUAUGGUGUUUUGUAGCUUGUAUGAUUAACAAGUUAGUCACAAUGUAGUCUCUAGGGUUUUUGUAGCCGUCUCGGCAUUCUAUGUUUGAUAUCAAUAAUAUUUCUAGUUUUGUAAUCCGUUUGUUUGUUCAUUGUGGUAUGUGCACUCUGAUAUUCAACUUGGUAUCAGAGCGGGUUUGAUUCCUCGGAAUUUAAUCUGUUUUGGAUGGAUAUCAAUUUGUUCAUCUGUUUGUCCACUGCGUAUCAGUUCGUCAUGGUAUGUUUUGUUGGUUUGUCUGUCUAGUAGUAGUUAGGGUUUUGUUAUAUGUUUAAAAAAAAAAAAAAAUUGAAUCAGUUUGCUGCGUCAUGUCAUCGUCCUCUGCUAAACUUGGAAUCGCCGCCACGAACCCCACAUCACCAGCGUGCUCCUACCAUCAGGACAUCACCGCGCCAACCCGCCAUGCCUGCACCCAGUGCCACCAUGUCCCGCCUACAACCCCGUUGUCUUACCACCACCUGCUGUAAACCCACAUCGCUCGCCUGCUUGCGCGCCGUGCAGACGGGAUUUGAUAAAGCCACACCAACUUGCUGCAAAUACAUGCAGUUGAUCCGUACCCAUGAGCCUGCUUGAAUCUCCGCACCCGACCCGCUUGUCGCCUGCACCCACUGCUUGCUUGCCGUUCCCAUUGUUCGUUGACCAGAACUCGCGCUUGGUUUACGCGUUCUGGAGAAAACCAUUGGAAAAAAGGAAGCAGAAUAAAAAGUAAGAAAAAGAAAAAAAAAGUGAUGUUUGAGGAAAAGGAAAAAAGAAAAAAAAGAAAAAGAAAUGCAAAAGUAUUAGAAGUUGGGCUUGCCGUUGGUCUUGUUGAUUGUUUUGGAGAAUGACUAUGGUCGUCUGCUAUUGUACCCACAACGAUUGUUCGAGUGCUUGGAUUGUUGAUUACUCGAGUGAUUAUUGUUGAGGUUUUCGUCUGCUUGUUUGUUGCCGUUGGGCUAUUGGAAUCUCGUCCGUUUAGUGACAAGGUCCAUGCUCAAACGAAAUAUGUCUGCCCUCUGCCAUGUGAAUCUAUAUCCACCUGCCUGUCUGUCUGUCCGCGUUGCGGAGCCUGCCUGCCUGUCUGUCUGUCCGCGUUGCGGAGCCUGCCUGUCUGUCCGCGUUGCGGAGCCUGUCUGCCUGUCUGCCUGUCUGUCUGUCCCCCUAACGGAGCCAGUCCACAUCUGCUUGUUUGCAAACCCAUGUCGUAUACCGCCAUGAGUUUGACUGGGGGUGUUGGAAAAUAUUAGGCACACUCAAUUCAUUCUUGCUCAUAGAAUUAAAGACAAACCAAAUCGGAAACCGAAAUAAGCAACAGUGCUAACUAGCUUGCUCAGCUCUCAGGCCUUUAUUCUUGAAGAUAGUUAUAUUACUCAAUGUUCCAUAUCGUAUGUAUGCAUAAAUCUUGUGCUUGGCGCUUAUUCCUUGAUAAGAUGUGCAUCAACAUCUUUAAUGACAUUGAAUAGAAAGCUGAGGUACUUCUGUGGAGGCGGAUCGUUCUCGUUGAGUUUUUUAUAUUCUAAAGUAAUUUUCACAGAACCUCCUUCACUAUUUGGAGUGACCUGGAAAAUGAUCUUGUAGCUUUUGUAAUUGUCCAGCACAUGUGAUCCUUCCAAACCUGUAAGACUCACCCGCUUGUUUGCUUCAUCUAUUUCCACCUUUUCCUUGUAAGUCUCGACAUUUCCAUCUACACGUCACAUGGAAGAGUACAAUUAUACAGCUAUCCAUGAUCCGAUCCUUUAAAUAUUCAUCGUGUGGUAAUGUAAACCCUAUGGUGCAUGGAGGUCUUGUCAGUUUUAAUUCUAAAAGUACAUACAUAUGAGGUAACGCAAACCCCUAGCUUGCUAGGUUUCAAGUUAGCAUGCCUAAUUAUUUUGCAGCAGGUUAGUCUGUGGUAUUAAAAAAAAAUUGUUAGUCAUAAGUAUAACCUUAACAAUGUUUGGUUGUAAUUUGCUUGCUCCUUCAUGCAAUCUCACAGUCUCACUACCAGCUCCACAAGUUUGCGGAGUAAGCUGCUUCAUUCACCCCAAAAGGGGUUCAUUUCACUAUCUUUUACACAGCGGAGGCUGUAUAAAGCUACGACAGAACAAAAUUCGGCACCCGGGAGAGGGACGAUCUCCAGAGAUUCUUUUACAUUUUUUGUAUUUCUUUUUUUGUUGAAUCAUUUCUUGUAAUUUAAACAUUUAGCGUCAUCUUGUAAUUUAAAUAUUACCUAUGGUGUAUUUCCAGAGUUUGACAGAGCCAGAAGUUUCCCAGUCACCUUCAUGUACUGCAACAUCGUGUAUUUUAUCAGAGGCUGCUAUGGGGAAGUCAUAGUGCUGGUUGCUGAUGAAUUUGUACAGCUUAUCAGCGUUGGCUUUGAUCUCUACCUCAGCCUCCAUAGUCUCCAGCUUGCAAGUACCAGCUCCACUCACAGCCAUUUUAUUUUAUUUGUUCUUUAUAAUAUGUGAAUAACGAUAGUGUAAGUCUGGGGAAUUGUAGGAGACGUAUACAAACCUAUAGGUUUCCACUUCUUAUAUAAAGCCAUGUUAUAGUUACGGAGGCAGUAUGUGGAUAUUAUCCGAUCACUUAAACAGUUAAAUGAUAACAAUGUGACAGUGGAUCUUUCACGUAAAAUUUUAUCACCACUACACCUACCAGAAUAAAACUUUUUUCUUUUUUCUUUUUUCUUUUUUUUUUAAUUAAAAGAAGAAAUGUCAAUUUCAUUCCGCAUUAUUAUCAUGGAACAAGACAUUAUUUUGAAUACAUUGAAGAAGAAAAAAAUAUAUAGAUAAUAAGUUAGAGGGGACAUGAAGCCUAGCCCUAACAAGAAGUAGAAAACUAUUUGAAACAACAAUCAAUUAAGACAACUCCUAAGAGAAACAAGAAUUUGGAAACACCGAAAGAUUAUGAGCAAAAGUCAUAACUGCACAUGACGGAUAAGAAUCACACAAAUAAUGAAAACUAACAUGAUCAACAUAAUAGUUUGCUAAACAAUUUGUUACAUGAUUUCCUUCCCGAUUAACGUGAGAAAACUGAACAUGCAUGGAAGAGAGAAUGGUAUAGUAAUUUGUCAAAUCAACCGAUAAACUAUGGUGCAUUGCCAAACAAGAAUUACACUCAUUUCAAAGAGAAUGCUGCCAAAACCUUUCGAAAGCAAUAAAAAUAACAUGAAUAAUAGCUUUAAGUUUCACUUCCAAAGCAGUAACAAUGCCAAAAAAAUCUUGUAUUAAAGCAUCAAAGAGACCCAAGUGAUCACGAAAAAUACCACAAAAACCAGCAAACUUGAUGAUAGAUUUCAACACGUAUAUGUACAAGAGGAUCAAUGAUUGAUCAACUUUACCUCCAUAGCAUUAUUGGAGUGAAUGAUUGUACGAUAUUGAGGCGUUUGUUUGGAUUUGGCACGAGGAAAUGUGUGUAUAUAUUGUAUAUAUAGUGAUAAAAUUAAGGGUUCUUUAGAGCUAAUAGAAAUCAAUGGUUUAUAUUAUCUUGACAUACUUGUAACCUAGAGAGAGAGAAAAAAAAGAGGUUGUAUUGUCAUCAAAAUAAAAUUAUGACACAAACAAAUAAUGUGGAGUUCAUGUUACUUAUUUGGAAUCAAUCAAAGCUGAAUCAUUGAUGCCUAAUUUCAGAAAGUUUUUCUUUUCUGGAUGCAGCAUCUUUUCACAGGAUUUUUUUCGGUUGUGGUAUUGUGAAGGAACUUCUUGGAUAGUUUUUUUUCCCUUUUACACUAGCUUAGGGCUGGUUUGGUAUUGCUGUGCUUUGAAAAAAAGCUGCUGUGAGAAUAAGCGGCUGUGCUGUGAGAAUAAGCGGCUGUGAAAUAAAUCAGCUGAGUGUUUGGUAAACUUUUUUGUAAAAGUGCUUUUGGAAAAAAAAGCAGUCUGAUAGUGGAUCUUUUCAUUAAAGAAGCACUGUACCUCCGUGUGCUUUGAAAAAAAACCAGUUUUCCAAAGCUACAAAUAGCAGCUUCAGCUUUUUCUUUUGAUUUCAGCUUAUUCUCACAGCAGCUUCUAAAAUAAGCCUUUUUUUUCAGUUUACCAAACACCUAAAACCCUCACAGCUUUUUUUCAUGGGUGCUUUUUUUUUAAGCACCUCACUCCCAAACUAGGUCUUAGUGUCUUCCUGCCAAAAUAAUGACACAGAAAUUUUCAUCAAAAGGGUUGGCGAUGUCGGGCAGCAAAUGUAGUUUCCCGUGAAAUUGCAAAAUUUGCUCACAAUCUGAUGAUUUCGUCUCUUGGGUUGGCUCUCCCUUCUCCUAACUGCUGAAGACUGAUGAAGCAGAAAUUUAAUCAUCAAUGAAUUUCCUUGACUAAUCCAUUAUCUUUCCGUUGCCCGUUCACUUUGAUUUGUUCAUAAUCCGAUUAUUGUUCAUUCCAAUUCCAAGCGCGUAAACGUGCCCUCAUAGUUAUGGACUUGUCCGCAUCGUUUAAUUUUCCUUGAAUACCUGACUUCGUCGCCUAUGGUUUCACAAGAAAAUAAUCUCUUUGUUAAACCAGAAAAUUUAACGGUUCAUUAAUUAGCAACUAUUUCAUUUUUUAACAAUAUUUGGCUACUCAAAGGAUGAGUAAGAGUUCCUACUCAAACCUAUUUGUUGCCAAUUCAUAGAACUUCAUGUUUAUAAUAGAGCAGUUCAUAUUAGAAAUCACUUUAUAAAAAUUGUCUCUACAAAAAAUCAAUUAGACUAAGGUCGUUUAGUAGUUGAACUGUGAAAAAACAAAGGAAAGAAAUUGGUGAAAAAAUUAAAAACCAUUUAUGUAUUUACUAGAAUAAAUUGACUAAAUGACCUUAAUUUUAAUUCAAUUUUUGCAGAAAUGAUCUCCACAGUGUGAUUCAUAAUAUGAACAGUUCUGUUCAUAAGCACAAACUUCAGUGAUUCGAACAUGAAAAAUUUUGAGUGGGAGUUCUUACUCAUUUUUGAGUAGCCAAGCAUUGUUCUUCAUUUUUUUUUUUUGUGUCAGUAAUAAUCUGACAGAGAACAAUAAUAAGUAAACUGUGAAAAGAAAAAUAUUGUACAAACGAAAAAACAAACAAAAUGAAAAAGAAAACAAAUUAAUAUUUUAAGUUGUUUUCACUUUGAAAAUUUUGUUUUAUUCAUUCCCACUUUAUCUAAUUCUUAGCCUUCAUGUAUUGAAUUAUGCAUUGUAUUGUAGAAUCCAAAAAAAAAAAAAAAAACUUUUUUGGAUUCCAUGUGUAUAAGCAUGAAAUUAUAGCCCACCCAUAUGAAAAUUUUGACUCCGCGGUUGCAUGUAAGGAUAAACAUGCCAAUAGAUUAAACUUAUUCACACUAUAACAUAAAAAUGCUAUUACGCUCAAUUAUAGAAGUUGCUCAAAAGACUAAAGACAGUCCAAGUCGGAACUAAACAACAAGGCUAUAGCUUGCUCUUCUUCCAGCCUUUAUUCUUGAAGAUAUAAGAUUAUAGAUUAUCUCCCCUCCUAAUCUCUCUUUCCAUCCCUCCUCUCAUAUUUAAAUGGUUACCGCGUCAACAUCUUGUUUUAAAUUUAUUAUAUAGACAAAAAGACAAAAAAGAAAAGUGUAAGAGGAGGAGAGAGAAUGAAAUGGUACUAGAAGGUAGAGAAUCCUACUCCAAGUGUUCGCUAGGGGCGAGGGGGACCCUGAGAGCAAAAGACUCUUCGUCUUCAGGUUUGAGAGUAAACCCUUUACAUCCUACACCAUGCUAAUAAUAUCCACCAAUUCUCUAUUUUAUUUAUAAAAAAAUAAAUUAAAAAUAAAUUAAAAAAAAUAAAAAAAAACAUAUGAGGGUGAAUAGUACCAUGAUUGAUAUUUUAGUGUAAAUAUAUGAUUUUUCCUUAAAGUGAACAGUACCGAAAGUUUUUCGUUAAAAUUCUAUUUUCUUUAAUUAGUAAUUAAUAUUAAAGUUCGUCUAAGAUUAUUUUUUAAAGGAGAUAUAUAUUAAAAGUAUCAAAUAGAAAAAACAAGACAACAUCAUUCAAAAAAAAGAAAACUAAUGAAAAUAGCUUGAAAACUUUGAGUUUUAACGAUAAGGAUAAAGGGUAAAGUGAAUAGUACUAGGUUUGACUUUUUAGUGUAAAAAUAUGGUUUUUCGUUAAAAUGAACAAUAUCGCGGGCUUUUCGUUAAAACUCUCUUCAAAAAAGGGAAAGGGAUCAUUUUCGGAUCUGUUCUACCUAAUCCUCCUCAUCAAAUAAUCCGAGCUUUUGAAAUUUGAUCUAACAGUUAAAGUUAUUAUAACUUUUAGAAUUAGUCCGUAUUUUUAACAGUUUAAUCAAAUUUUAAAGAUCUAAAUUAUUUGAUAAUGAGAAUUAGAUGAAAAUGAUCAAAUGAUCCCUUUUCCAAAAACAGGAAAAAGAAAAACAAGACAGCAAGUUUCUUUUAACCAAGGUAUUAAAUAUCGGUAAUAUCGGAAAUAUCGGUAGUCUGAAAACACGGAAAUAUCGAUGGAAAUAUCGGUAAAAUAUCGAUAUCGAUAUCGAUAAAAAUUACAUGGAAACCACGGAAAUUGUAAGAAAAACUUAGAAAUUUUAAUUGAAACUUUGCAAGAUGUUUAUUUAGUCAAUUAUCUAUUAGUUUAUCACAAAAAAUUGGAAGGAAAUGCAUUGCAUGAUGGAUUUAACUGAUUUAAAUUGAUUAUAUAGCGAGCUGGCAAACAUUGUGAGUGUAAAAAAUAUAUAGUAAUUAAUGAAAAAAGUUUAAAGACACCACAAUUAUUAUAUAUAAUGAAUUAGUACAAUAUUUUACACUUUAUAUAUUGCAUUUUUUUUUCUCUCAGAUAACACACACAGACUGACACAUAGCCCGGAUAUUUUGAAAGCAGGUUUGGAUUUUUUUUUUCUUCUCUCGGAUAACACACACACACCCCACUUCUACACACACACACUUCAAAGUGCACCCCACUUCUACACACACACGCACAGACACACUGUAACAACCCAACCCCAAAUUUUUAUAUAUUUUCGUGGUUCCCCAAAUAAUUAUGAAAUUAUCGUUUUAGUCCCCUAUCUUAACCAAAUCUGGACCAUUCAUCUUGAUUUCCAAAUUCUCUCAAGCUACCACAUGGCAGCACCCUAGCACCCUCACGUAUCUCUCUCUCUCCCCACCCCGUGACCUCUUUCUCCUUCUUUCUUCUCUCUGCACUCACUCUCCCUCUCUCGAAGACCCUCACUCUUUCACCCUUUGACCCACACCCGAGAGCACCCACGCACACCCUUCGUGGUACUCCGUCGACGGCAUCGGCAUCGUCAUCACCUUCUACACGCCGUCGUCUCUCUCUCUCUCUUUCUCUCUCUCCCGUCACUGCGCAACUCGACGAAACCCCAAGAACCUCCGGCGAGUUCUUCAUGGGUUAUGGUUAGGUAAGCCUCGAACCUCUCUUUCCGUGUUGGUUUGUUGCUUGGAUGUGAUUAUUGAGGUUAUUCUGUCCUUUUUACCAAGGAUUUAGCACGGAAUCAGCCCGGGAAUAGGCGCACCCAUCUCCGGCGAGACCGUGGGUAUCGAGAGGUUUUCCGACCACCACGGGUCGUUUCACGGCAAAUGGAAGGUAUAAACGCACUCCUCUCGUCUCGUGCUUUUAUUUGAUACCUAGAUCGGGGUCUAGAACCCUUGUUUGUGGUCGACCGGAGCUGUAGAAGCUCCGGCGUUCUUCUCCGAGUAGCACGGUUAAAAAAAUAUCGCGAUAUUAUCGAUAUUAUCGAUAAUAUCGCGAUAUUUUGCCGAAAACCAUUUGGAUACCUAUUUAAAUAUCCAUUACCUGAAAAACCGAUAAUAUCGGCGAUAUUUCGCCGAUAUUAUCGAUAUUUUCUUCCAUGCUUUUAACAGAUGAAUUUUAUUAGAGGUGGAAUUGGGGUCCAACAUCCCAGGUGUUUUCUGAUAGCAUAACCCAAUAACGUCAAAUCCAUUAAUUUGAUUAUUUAAUAAAUGGCUCCCACAAUAGGAUUUGGAUCCUCUAUGAGACAAUUGGUCGGGAUCUUCCUGACCAGUAUUUGUGGGCCGUUGGAUUUUUAUCUAACGGUUAUAAAUAGGGGGACCCUCUAAAUUUAUAAUAAUUAUAGUCGUUGGAUAAAAAUUCAACGGUCCACAUACAUCGAUCAGGAGGAUCCUGACCAAUUACCUCAGAGAGGAUCCAAAUCCCCCACAAUACACCAAUCACGUACCCCUCCCAACCAAUUUACACAAUUUUUGUAACAGUAGGUCCCACAAUAUAUAAUAAAAAGGAAAUUUGACUCAUCAUUUGAAAAAAUAAAAAAAAAUUUAACAUUUAACUUCAAAUACUCAUUUUAGUCAUUAAAUAAAAUUUAACAAUUUAUAAAUGAGUAAUGUUAGAGAAGCUAAUUUUUUAGACUAAAUUUUAUAAAUUAUAUGUAUUUGUUAACGAUUAAAUUAUUAUUUAAGUGUUGCUUAAUGUUUAUAUAGAGCCACAACCCACAAAGUCCUACACAAAUAGCAUGUUUUAGUUAUGGAGGCAGUUGUGGUGGAUAUGAUCUGAUCACUUGAAGAAAAUGACGAGUCUGCGGAUCUUUGUGGAUCUUCAUCUUUCACAUGGGAGGUUUUAUGACUACACCUACCAAAUUUAAUCACAACAGCGAACUUGAUAAUGAGACAUCAAUAAUUCAACGAUUCAGAAAACUUCAAUUAAAUUGGGACCCAUAAAUAAAUAUGUGGAAUUCCUAAUACUUCUUUUGUAAUCGAUCAAAGCUAGAUCAUUGAUGCCUAAUUCAGAAAGAGGAGUGUUAUUGGCACUUUAAAAGUCUCAUUGUACACUCUUCACAAGUGUAUUUUUCUUUCUUAAUAUAGAAAGUUUGGAGUGUAGAAUAAGAUUUUUGGAAUGCUACUAACAAUUCCCUUCAAAAAAAGGUUUUUCUGUUUUGCAUGCAACAUCUGGACACAUGAAUAUUCUUUGGCAUUCUAAUUGCGCACACGUAUUAUCUUUCAAAUAUAGAAAAUUUGAAGUGCAAUUAAAUUUUUAGAAUGUAAAUAAAAGGGGAAACUUGAUAUAACUCCAAUUUUUUGAGCCAAUAGUAAGAAUAGUCCAAUUUAUUAAAAUAAAUCCAAUUCUUUAAAUUUAAUUAUUUAAUUAUCAAUAAUUAUCUCUUAAAAGAAAAAACUUAUUGUAAAAAUCAAAUUUCUUCCUAAUUAUCUCUUUGAUUAUUAUUAUUAUUUUUUUUUAUUUCUUGUUCUUCUUCCUGCUUUAACCCAUUUAUAGAUUUUUUUUAAUUUUUAUAAUCAACCUAUAUCAUAGGUUAAUUGUAUUUAUCUACCUAUAUGACAGAUUCUUUUUCAUAGUUAACAUGUCACAUAUUAAUGUGUCUUGCUUGUAGGUAUAUUAUAUUUUUUUUCUACCUUUUAGUUAGGUUUCAUAUCUCACUUAUAGGUAUAAUAUACAUUCAUAUAUUUGCUACUUGAUUUAGGGUAGAAUGUUUUGCAGAUAGAUUUAUGUUAGUAUAUUAAUUUUUUUUGUUUAUAAGAUAUUAAUUAGAUAUUUUGGAGUUGAAAAAUGCAUAAUAUUAAAAGAUUUUAAUUGAUUUUUAAUAUUUUUAGAAAAUAUAAAAGGAGUAUAAAAGAAAUAAAAACAUAUAAUUAAAUAACCGGAGUCACUCCUAAAAACACUCUAUGUUUUUGGACCUGGAUCUAAAAGCCCCUAAAUAAAAUUACCUUCUUUUAUUGGUUUUUUUAAGGCUCGCAAAAAUGGUUGUCUUUGUUGUUUGGCGAAGGAACUUCUUGGAUAUCAUCAUAUUGUGGUCUUCUUUUUCGCUUGUAUUGCUAAAAAAUAACUAAUUACAAAUCGAUUUUCAUCAAAAGGGUUGUUAAAUAAGAUAUUAAUUAAUGCUAUAUUUUUUUUCUUGAUACUGUUUGGGUCUCUCAACCUCGAUUUAUUAUUUUGCAUUUUAUUUCUUCCAUGAUCAUAUGUAUCUCCAUUGUUUAACAACAACUAAAAAUACUAUUGUUUCUUUAAAAAAAAGUACUAUGUAUUUGAUUAAGGCGAUUUUAUAUGACGAUGAGCAACAAAGUGGAGACGGUGCACUACACCUUUUAUUUUGCAUACCAUAGUUCAUACAUUACAAUCUCACAUAUGAUAUCCCUUCACGUACAUUUGUUACAAGGCAACUUACAAAGCAAAGCAUUUUAAUUACUUGUAAUCAAGCAAAAGGCACGCAUUAUUAACACAAAUAUUAUAUACUAACGAUGGACGUCACACUGUUUCACCAUUGCAUUCUUUUCCUUUCCUUAAUUUAUCAUGCCUUGAUAAAGUGAGCAUCAAGAUCCUUGACGAUGUUAACCAUCAAACCGACGUAUUUGUCCGGACUGCAACAUCCUCAGUCAGUUUCUCAUAUUCAGUCGACAAUUUUGCAAUGUUGCCUUCAUUCUUUUGAGUGAAUUGAUAGACCGGCUUGAAGCUCUUGUAAUACUGGAAGACAUCUCCUUCCAGUCCAUUCAGUGUUAUGGAUUUGUUCUCGUUGUUUGACUACACUUUUUCCUUGAAUACUCGAACUUCGUCCCCUAUGUAUUCACAAGAAAGUGGUCUCUAUAUUGACCAAGGAACAAUAAAGGGAGCGUUUGAUAAAUAAUUUGUUUUAAGUUUUCACAAAAAUGAAAAUUGAAGUUAUUUUUGUCAGUUUUCUAAAUUUAUAUUAGUAAUUUUUAUUUUUUGAAGACUGAAAUAACAUGAGAUUGUUGAAUUAUUGCGGCACACCUCGAUUCUUUACCAACAUAUUUUGUUCUAAUUAUCCAUUAUAUCAAUAUAUAGUUUUCACUUAUGGGUUAGUUGUUCGCUUGUGAAUCAGGGUUUAGUUAUUGCGAUCCUUCUAAUAUUGCUGGAUUAUGAUUAACAUAUAAUUGUGUUCUGAUCUUAGAGAAAAAGGUACAUAUCAUGUUAAAUACAUGAAGGUAUUUAUAUGAGACGAAGAGAAUGGUACCUUUUUAGACAGCUAAAUCGCCGUGGUUUGGCCGUAAAACGGCUUGAAAGUGGCUAACUCGAGACCAAGACAGCCACUUUCGAGCUGUUUUCCGGCCAAACCACGGCGAUUUAGCAAUUAAAAAAGGUACCAUUCUCUUUGUCUUGUCAAGAAGUAUGAUUUUCAUUUUUGAAUCACUUGAUUUCUGAGUAUUGAAGAAGUUAUGAACGUUUUGAAGUUUGCCCAGUUUCCGGUGAGUUUUCAAGUUUCACUUUGACCAAUCAACUUUGAGGCUAUUUUCCGGCAAUCUUCGGCAACCAUUGGGCUUCUAAAUAGCUGUAAUCUUAUUCUACACUUUCCUAUCUUCAUUUUGAUAUAUUAUGGGUCAAAUUUGGUUAAGAAACGAUUGAGUUACGAAACUUUGAAAAUUGCCCAAACUUCCGACCAAGAGCUCCGGAACACUUAACGGAGUUUUUAACGGAAUGACCAAAAUGAUGGAUGGUGGCCAAUCGCAGGGACCACUUUUAUCGAUUUGGAAUCUCAGGGACCAAAGUGAUGAGUUAUGCAAAUCUCAAGGACCAUUUUGGCGAUAAAAUUAUGAAAUUUGGUACAAUCUUCUUGACAGACUCACGAACCCGCUCCAAUUGGAAUCACUAAAAAAUUCUACCGUUUGAUUACUUUAUGCUUAAAACAAGUUCACAUGUCCUACAAUAAAAACAUAGAGCAAAGCAUCAAAAUGUCACUAAAAUAAUAACCAAAAUAUACCAAGAAUAGGGAAUAAUAUAUAGUAUAAAAUCGACUCAUCAUGACCUUGCAUGAACUUAUAAGUAAGUUGGGCUACUUUUCAUAUUGCCAAUUGGUUUUAUGGUGUCACCUUAACUUUCUUCAUACCCAUGUGUGAAGCCAAAAGACUACGUGCGCUCCAUGUCACCCAUUUGUGUUGCCCACCUGUUAGGCUUAAAAAAUUUCCACACAUGAGGAGGCGUAUUAAGAAUGAAUCUCACAUUAAUGGGAGGAGAAAUUUUGCAUGGACUUAUAAGUAAGUUGAAAAAAAAUAUUGGACAAAUAUUGUAGAGUACACCACAUUUUAUUUUAUAGAUGCGAUCGACAACCAUAAUCUAUUACAUCACAAUGUCAUAUAUGACAUCCUUCGUACAUCUUUUACAAUACACACAAACCUAAUUAAGAAAAGCAUUUUAUUUAAGUAGGUACGCAUUGAUGAACAUAUGCAUGCAUGAUUACAUAUAAUUGAACCCUUUUUAACAAGACCAGCAAAAGCUCUUUCCAACCGUUGCAUAUGACGUAUGGUUUUUAUUCAUUAAUUAAUUAAUUUAUGCUCCCAGAAGGUGAGCGUCAAGAUCCUGGACGAGUUUAACCAUCAAACCGACAUAUCUAUCUGGAGCUUCAACAUUCUCAUUCAGUUUCUCGUAUUCGAUCCACAGGUUGGCAAUGCAGGUGCCUUCAUCUUUUUGAGUGAAUUUAUAGACACCCUUGAAGCUCUUAUAAUACUUGAACACUUCUCCUUCCAAUCCUUUCAGAGUUGCAGCCUUGUUCUCAUCGUCUAGCUCCACCUGUUCCUUGAAUAUCCCGACAUGAUCCCCUAUAUAUAUGCAUGCAUGCAUUCAUGGUUAAUUUCAUAACAACAAAAUAUAUAAACUUUCUCACCCUCUCUUAUUAGGAUCUUGUUUCCACCGUAGGAAAAAGGGGGCAAUAUGACUUAUUUACGAAACAUGUAUUUACUGUAUAUGACUCUCAUUGUCUAGAACAAAAAUUGAAGGAAGCAUUGAAAUAUAUAUAAGAGGUCAUAUAUGGUAAAUACAUGAUUUCUACGAUUGUUCUAUCUCGACCUUGUUUUUGCUACAACAAAUCAGAAUUUCUGCGAAAAAGCUGUAAACAUUGAAACUCAUGCUAUGAACGUAUGAUGAUUUGAGCACAUCUGUUAAGGUAUACAUACAUAUAAAGUGAAUAAUUAAACAGGAAAAUUGAAUUAAGUAGCGGUACCUAGUUCAUAUUUCCAAAUCUUAACAGAGCCGUGUGUUUCCCAAUCUCCUUCAUGCACAUCAACUCCUUUGAUAUGGGUAUUAGAGAUGUUUGGGAUGAGGUGGGCGCUCUUGAACAUGUUGUACAACUUGUCAGCUGGUGCCUUAAUUUCUAUUUCAGUCCCAAUUUUACCAUGCAAAACCAUGUUUAUGAGCAGUUUUGAUGGGUGCUACUCAGAAAUUAUAAGAGAAGAAUGUUAAAGGAUAUGUAUAAUUUGGGCUCCUACCCUCCUUAAAUAGAAGCGACUAGAGUUAAAUUGCGAGAUAAAACUUAAUGUGUCCGGAACACGAUACAGUACGCCAUAUAUAUAAUAUAUGUAAUAUAAAUGGAGGGAAAGUUUUUUUAUUUUAUUUUAUUUUUUUCAAGUGUUUCUCUACUUGUGUAUGACAUACGACGUAUGUACCCGUGUUCUGGAUAUUAAAAAUUCUCUCAUAAUAUUUUAAUAGUGGGUAAUCCAAUUUAAAAACCAAAUCAUGCAACACGUGAUAAGGAUUAAGUCAUAUAUUUUUUAAAUCAUACUUCUCGGAUAAUUGGAAUCCUAUGAAGUAAUGAUCACAAGUUCACAAUAUGCAUGGAUAGAUGAAGGGUUUGCUCAUGAGUAAUGUUAGGGAAACCAAAUUUCUAAAUCAAAAUUUGUAAACAAAAUAAUGUAGAGGUAGAUGAUUGAAUUAUUAUUUAAGCGUUGAUUAAUAUGCUUAUUUCUUAUUAAUAACAUAUCAUUUGAUUUGUAUUCACGCAUGCGAUAAAGAUUAGAUUAGUACGAUCACACUAAAAAUUUAUUUGUAAAUGUUUUAAAAUAAAAUGUAAUUUAUCUGCAAAAUGUUUUUUUAAGGUACGAUAUUCUUUAAUAACAAAUUUAUACGUACAUCAAUGAGGAUAGGGUGUAAACAAAGGGCCUCGAUAAAAACCUUGCCGGGGUUUUCAACCCGUUCGAAGAGAGAUUUUUCAAUGUGACCGUCACACAAGGAGGUACACCACGUGUCUCUAUGUAAAUGGUUAUAUAUGUGUGUUAAAAGAUUAAUAACUUAAAAAUUAAAAUUUUCCACCACUUACAUAAAAACACGUGAUAUACCAUCCGUGUUCCCGUCACAACUAAAAAUUUUCCCUAGUCGAAUGGUAAAAGAGUGUCCCACACCAACAUAAUUAAUUAGGAAUUGCUAUCCUCAAAGAGAAGAUCAAGAAUUACAUUAGGAAGUUCCUCAAACCAAACCACAGUGUUACCAUAACUCAAGCUCAUAUGUGCUAGCCUGCGUGCCACCUUGUUCGUCUCCCUUCGACUAAAUUCAAUCUUCCACUUGAACAAUGAAUGAAUAAUUGCGUGUGUCGUUUAGAAUGUUUCCAAAAUGUGACAUGUCAACACUUCCUUCUGCAAAAUGUUUUAGAAUAAAAAGUUUUAUCUCUAUUUAUUUAUUAUCAUUAUUAUAUUUCUGGAAAGAUCGAUACGUAUGGGCCAUGGCGUCUGGUUUUUUUGUCAUGGCGUCUGGUUUUUUUGUUAAAAAGCCAUCAAAUGGGGAGGCAGCGAUGAGGUAUUAGGUAUCCACAAAUGUCAGUUCACAAAAUAUUAUACUAAAAGUAAUUGAAAAGAAUCAAACAAAUCAAACAAAUAUUAAUUCUUUGCCCAAAAUAAUCCACUAAAAAAAGGGUCCACAGCAUAGUUUUUUCCACUAGAGUUUAUCGAUCCUUGAAGACUAUCAUUGAUGAUUGAUCAUCCAACAGGUGCAUUAUUUAUUUUUUAACAAACGCUAAUAGUUACACUAAGGGAAUGGAGGAGUGUGUUAAGUCUUACAAUAGGCUUGGCAAAAUAAUGUGAUUCAUUUUCGUUUAUGGCGAGAAUCAAAUCUAAGAUCUCUUACAUAUAAGUGAAGAGGGAUAGCACUAGACUGUAAUACUAAAUGGCCACAUACAGUAUUUAUAGAUAACAAUAAUAACAAGAAAUACUUUUUUUUUUUCAUGCUGGACCAUUUUUUCUAAGGUGAUGCUAGAAAUACCUUCUUUUUAAACUACAAUUGUAAAUCACGUGAUGUGGCGGUUAAUGGUCAGAUUUUUUUUUUACUCAUUAAAAAUGUAAUCCAACUAUCAACAGCCACAUCAUUUGAUUUACAAAAUUUGGUCUAAAAAGAUGGUCUCCCUAGCAUUUUGCUUCUCUGUAUAACUUUUAGUCAUGACUCUAUACCGACUUUCAUUUCUAGAUUUUAAAAUUACGCCACGCUACUCGUUAGGUCCGAUUUCAAAAAAUCGAAAACAGAAAGAAAAAAAAUUGAACCAUUCACCAAACCAAAACAGCAAGAACAAAAAAUUAAAAUUGAAUAAGCAGAAUCGAACCAAAAUUUUGGUUCGAUUCGAUUUCGGUUUUAGUAGUUCAAAAACCGAACUGCACUGAAAUACCUUGUAACCAUAACAAGUGCAUUUGUUACACUUGACUAUCUCGGACUGGAUUAAGCUCAGGGACUAAGUUAGACUGGCUUAGACUAGACUAAACUGAAUUAAUUUAGUUAAGUGUUUGUUCCAAUGCCGGACUAACAAGCAAAAUAAUAUUUUUCUUUUUUUUUCUUUUUCUUUUUCUUUUACCAUUUUCUACAACACAUUCUCUUUUGAGAAAGUUCUCCCUUUUCUCCAUUUUUUUUCUUGAAAUGUUAUCCUCACAACCCAGAAUCAACGUCUGCUCGAUUGGGUUCUUCUGAUAAUCCCUAAGUGGAGCCUCUGCAACCACAGCUUCAUCUCAAUCUUUUGCACAUCUUCACAAAUUCGCUCAAAUCACAAAAUCCAAAUUCGCGGGAAUUGCAAAAACCCAUAUUCAAUUCCAAUUCGCUUGAAUCACAAAACCCAACUUCGUUGGAAGUGCAAAUCACAUAUUUGAAUCAUGAAACCCAAACUUGAAAUGCAAACCCCAAACUCAAAUUGCAAAUCCAAAAUUCCGUUCGAAGCUUUGCAACAUUUGCAUAAAUCAGUUUCCACCCACAAAAUCGAGUAAAGUAAAUGAUUGAGAGCGCAUGAGGAGGAAGCGGGCCUUCCAGAAGACGUGACUUAUUUUUGUGUUCUUUGAGAUUCGAAAUGAACAGACGAAGAAAUCCUGGUUUCGCGAGUGUAGGCAACGGCAAAGCAAGCAAACGAAGCAAGCAGGGAGAGGAGAGAGGAUGCGAUGCAGAGAGAGAACAGGACGGAGCAAGGUCUUAGCAAUCCCAUGGUUUUCCCGGGGAUUGGCCAAGACCUAGUGAAGGAGAUAAGCCGUGCGAGUCCUAUUUAAUCCCACUUAACUUAGUCUGUAACUUAGUCCGUGAACGCAACAAACACGGGAGUACCCUAAUGUUUAAUCCUAUCUAGUCCAGUGAUAGUUAACGAGUCCAAACAAACGCACCCUAAGUGUAUUCCUCCUCUCCUCCUCGUCCUCAUCGCUUUAGUUCAAUCCUCUCCUAACUUAAGUCAUGUUCCUCUGCGCCUCUGACGCUCCACGUCCUCAAUCUUCAAUCCUUUCUCGACGUCUUCAGGUCAUCUCCAACCGAAGGGUCCAGAAGGCCAAAGGGCCUAAAAUAGCCCGAAAACCGUCUCCAACUGAGGGCUAGGCCAUAGGGCUCUAGAAUCUGGGAGGGCCCCACGGAAUCGGAGAGGGCUUAAGGGCUGGCCUUUUUUUUUUUAAUGUUUUGUUAUUUCUAUCGGUUAUAACCGACAGAAAUAAUAUAUAUUAUAUUAUUAAUGUCGGUUAUAACCGACACUAAUAGCAAUGUUAAUAUAAUAUCAGUUUGAACAGUGUCGGUUAAAAUCGACACUAAUUUGAAUUCCAACGGCUAGCCAGUCACUAGCCGUUGUAUUCAAAUUUUUUUUUUCUUUUUAUGAAUUUAAACCUUUUUUUUUCUAUAACUUCCUAUAACUUUUUUUCUAUAACUUAUAUUUUACAAAAUUUGGUUCAUAUUUUUUCGUAUAACUUCUAUUUCACAAAAUUUGUUUCAUAUUUUUUUUUAAAUUCUAUUUUUUUCUAUAACUUCCUAAGCCAUUAUACAACAUUAAAUUAAAUUAAGUAACAUAAAACAACAUUAAACAAUAUGAAACAACAUUAAAUAACAUUAACCAACAUAAAAAUUAUACAACAUGAAACUUAAACAACAUUUUUAAAAACAUUUAGCCGUUGGAUUUGAAUUUAAGUUGUAGUUUUUAAAUAAUAAAUUAUGUUUGGCGUGAUGGCUCUUUGGCCCUCGGUUGGAGACGGUUUUUUGUGAUAGGACUAAAACGAGCCAUCUAGCCCUCGGUUGGAGACGGAGACAAAUAUAAUCAUGUACUGUUCAUUAAAAUAUUAAUAUCUUAGAGAAUCUUGAAGGGCCAAAGGGCUAAAACGAGCUAUCUGGCCAGCCAUCGGUUGGAGAUGGCCUCAUGUUUCAGAUAAUCAGAAUCACCUCGAUAGACAAAGAAAAAGAGGGACGUCGAGAUCCCUCCAUCGCAACUCCUUCACCGCUGCUCUUCCAUCACAGCUCCACCGAAACCUGUCACCCUUUAAUCUAACAGUGUUUGCUGUUGAAUAAUUUUUUUUUUUUUGACAAGUCAUAGGAUAAUCCAAAUUUACCGAAACUACGAAGAGGGAAAUAUUUUGAACACAAGACGCAGUGAGUUAAAUAGAAAGAUAAUAAAUUUCUAUAUUUGGAUCAUCAUGAAAUGAAUUAAGAACAAAGGAAAUUGGUCGUUAUAGGACAGUUACAAAUUUUUGUUGCUGAAAUAGUAAAAUCAACACGACCGACAUAAGGCUUGACACGUGAAAUGUCUCAAAUGGCCAUGUACGUAUAUUACCUAGAAGAACACGAUCGAUCAUAUUGAUUUUCCUAUUACUUUCAGCAAAAAGGUUUUGUAAUGUCCUACAACCACCAUUUUUGCCUAGUCCAUUGAAAAUGAAAAGAGAAGCAAAAACACAAUCCAAUAUCUAGAUGGUAUAUCAUACUUUUGAGAUUCGAAAUCCUAUUUGUAUGAUGUAAUCAGUAACUGUGCACAUCAGCCAUGCAUAAUUGAGAUCCAGUUAAGAUUUAUACAUUAAAUUAUAUACAGAAUCAUCUUUGUAAACAUGAGGUAUUGAUCACUUAUUUAGCAGAUCUAUCUUUUCUGGAACUAACUGUAACCGGAGAGGCAGAAAGGCGAUUAUGUUCAUCUGAAACCACCGGGUAAUCGAGUUUCUUACUAUUGUUUUCAUCUUUGUAAGACUUUGAAGGAGAUGCUGAUCCAAAUAUCUGCACUGUUAGGCUUCCACCCGCAGAGAGAAACAAGAAGUAAACAUGAAUAAUGCAUACCAAAAACAAACAAGUAUACAUCAACCUACAAGACGCUUGGGGAUAUGCUGAAGUGCAGGGGAAAGGAUAAUGCAUUGGUCCUUCAUGAUAUAACCAAAUGAGCUGGCUUAGUCGCGCAUACGUUGUACCUCGGAUUGGAUUAAAAUUAGGGAACUUUAAUGAAAAGCACCCGGUACUGUUCACUUUAACGAAAAACCACAUUUUUUCACUAAAAAGUCAAUCCUGAUACUAUUCACUUUACCCUUUAUUUUGUCCUUAUCAUUAAAACUCAAAGUUUUCAAGCCCCUUUCAUUAGUUUUCCUUUAAAAUUACCGUAAGUAGUAAGAAGCUCAAAGUUUUGUCCAAAGGGUUGAAAACUUAAAGUCUAAGACACAAGGGAAUAAUCAGGUUCCACAAGGAUGCCGCCCAUGAUCCCCAUGGGAAUUUAUAAAGAACUAUGAAGUAUGUCACAGUUUGAGUUUGAAUAUUGGUACUGAAGUUCGGUAAACUUCUACCCAAUAUAACGUCUAGUUGACAGUACGCUCAAUCCUAUAUAACCACUGUUUUUUCUACGGUAAAAGGUGGUUCGAACAUCUAGCAUGAAACUGGAUAAAUCUUUGCUGCUGAAAGUUUGUUAAAUUCAAAGCAUUGCGCUUAUUGAUGGUCUACUUGGUAGUUUACUAAUACUAGGUAAUGAUAAAUAAAAAUUGUGAGGUAGAGGUUUUUUUUUAUUCCCUCUAACCAGAGGUAAAGAGUACUUUACCUAGCACCAGAGCAGCGCCAACCCAACCAGUAGCACCCCACCUUUCCCCAAGGAGAAACCAUGCAAAAGCAGCACCCCAGACCGGCUCCAAACUAUAAAUUAUUGCUGUUUCUGUUGCUGAUACAUCACGCAUUGCGGCCAUCUGGAAAAAAUACUUUCCAUCAAAACUUUAAGCUAAAAAGAUGCGUUGCAAAUAAAACAAUAUUGGAGAGUUUUUUUUGUUUGGAAACAGCAUAAGUAGUAUACUCAACCAGAGGUCCUAUAAUUUACAAAUAUUAAUUUUUUAUACCGGCGAUAAGAUAAGCUUUAUAUCGGAGAUAUUUGUAUCCAUUGAAUCACUAGUAACUUAGAAUAGUAAAAGGUCGUACCCAGUGCACAAGGCUCCCGCUUUACGCAGGGUCUGGGAGAGGUGAAUGUCGGCUAGCCUUACCCACUCUCAGAUCAGCAUUUACACAUACCUCUACCCAUAAGCAUAGACCAGUCGAAAAUAUGCCCGAGUACAGUGCAGGUAUCCAUGGGAACACAACCAUCCAUUCCCAGAACAUACCGCACGUCCAUAACGAUGGGUUAAAAUCUUGGAGGCCACCCGACCCUACUCCAACACAGUACCAUAUUGUUGACAUGACAGUAACAACACAUACCUGAAUGGAAUCUUAGAACCUUAGAACUGUCCACACCACCAAUAAAGAUUAACAAGUAGCAUUAAUCACGAUACAAUUACCAUGGACAUAACAUAAGGACAACAUAUACUAACCUCAUAACAAACCAGGUACGAGCAGGAACUAUUGCUCAUGACAUACCAUCAAGCAAGGGAACUAUAACUACCUGUUAAAUUCAACAAGAAAAUGCCAAACAUUGUAUCUUCAGGUACUCCCAGAAAGCAAGAAAUUUGCCUUCCCAUAAAUGCAUAGAAGGUUAAUAAAGGUACUUACAGUGAACAUGGACUGAAACGAUGCACGACCAGCAUCUGAAGUUUGCAAUCCCAGUGCCUGCAUGAGAUACCCUAGACUGACCCAGGGACCCAACUCAAUCCCUGCUUUACAUGUCUGAGCAUCACCUCGAGCUUGGAACACAAAAGGGAUGAACGGAAUGGCUGACACAGCAAACCGCACAAUAGUGAAGGCUGCCGGGUCCAUGACGGCUUCCACCUCUUUUACAAUCGAGAAAUUACUGGCUACUGUUGGAAAUUCAAAUUAAAAGUCAUGUGAUCUGUCCAUGUGAUGCUAACCUUUCUUUACAGAUUGUUUCCAGCAAAAUAUAAUCAUCAUUGCUCCUUCAUUAUUCAGCCGAAUGGUGAUGAAAGACAGCAAGUGUGCUGCCAUGUGAUGUGCUAGCAGGAAGACAGCAGUGUGCUGCCAUGUGCUAGUCGAAUCUGUGUUAUUUGCAGCUGGAAAGACAGCUGCUGUGUGCUAGCCGAAUGUAGACAACCUGGAAUACAUUUGGUCUUUUCAUUUUCACGUUCCCAUGUGUUAAAGACAGCAGAUAUGCUGCUGUCUGUGUGCUGUCAAUGGAUGGUGUAAAGGUGUAGGUUGUCUUGUAUUUAAGGAAGCCUCUCGUAAGGCUUCAGUGUGCAUAAGAAAAAUCCCAUCUGAUUUGUCAUUCAGUUCUUGAAGUGUAUUUGCAAUCUGUUUUUAAUAUCAAAGUGCCUUGUUUCCCAAAGCUUGUAGCUUCCCUCAUUUCUCUAUUUUUGUCCAAUUUUAUUGAGAGUGAAAGUGAGAGGUGUGAUAGAGUUUGUAAACUUAUCAACCACAUAUUUUGGUAUUGAGUUAGUAAACUUCUCAAUACCAACAGUUGGUAUCAGAGCCAGAAUACCAUUCUGGCAGGUGCAGCAGUUAUGGCAUCCAACUUAGUGCAGCUCCAAGUUCCCACAUUGAAGAAAGAAAAUUAUGAAAGAUGGUGCAUCCAAUUCAAAGCAUUGUUUGGAUCACAAGAGCUAUGGGAAGUUGUCAGUAAUGGGUAUGUUGUACCCACUACCGAGCAAGAAGCCACAUAUACUGCAGAUCAAAGGAACACUCUCAAGGAUUUACGAAAGAAGGACCAGAAGGCGUUGUAUCUUCUCUAUCAAGGAUUAGAAGAUUCAACGUUCGAGAAGGUUGCAGAAGCAACAACGAGCAAGCAAGUAUGGGACACACUCAGUACAAUCUACAAAGGAGUAGAUCGAGUCAAGAAAGUGAGGUUACAGUCACUUCGAGCAGAUUUUGAAACUGCUCACAUGAAUGAAGGGGAGAGCAUCUCCGACUAUCACUCAAGGCUCAUUGUGAUAGUAAAUCAGAUGAGGAGAAAUGGCGAGAGACUCGAUGAAGUACGAGUUGUGGAGAAGAUACUUCGGUCACUCACAUCUAAGUUUGAGCAUGUGGUGACUGCCAUUGAGGAAUCCAAGAAUUUGGAGGCGAUGAGCGCAGAGGAGCUACUAGGAUCCCUCCUAGUUCACGAGCAACGCAUUCAGAAGAAUGCAAGCCCCACAACACUAGAGCAAGCUUUGGAGUCAAAAUUGAAAAUUGACAAACCAAAUAAAGGUCGUGGGCAGUGGAACUCACGUCGUGGGAGUUCAUCCAACCGUAGCCGAGGACGAGCCCGAGGAAGAGGUCGAGGCUAUGAACAAAACCGAGGUCAAUCUCAAGAGUGGAGAUCUACCCGAGGAAAUGCGCAUAUCCAAUGUCACACUUGCAAGCAAUAUGGACAUUAUGCCAAUGAAUGUUCACAUAAAAAUGGUGAGCAUGUCAACAUGGCAGAAUCAAGUGGAAAUACUGAUGAAGAACUUACAGUCUUGCUAGCACACCAUGAUUCCAGUAGCCAACAAGAUGUUUGGUAUUUGGACUCUGGUGCAAGCAAUCACAUGUGUGGAAAGAAGGAGUUUUUUGCCGAACUCAAAGAUGGGGCCUAUGGAUCUGUAAGUCUUGGUGACUCCUCAAAGUUGCCAGUUGAAGGCAAAGGGAAGAUCAAGAUCAUCCAGAAUGAUGGUAGAGAAGAAUACAUCUCCGAUACCUACUACAUACCAGGUAUGAAGAGCAACAUUCUGAGCAUUGGUCAACUGCUCCAGAAAAGGUAUAUUAUACAUAUGGAGGAUAUGUUUCUCACUCUCAGGAAUGCAAGGAGAAAACUUAUUGCACGUGUUCAAAUGUCAAAGAACCGAAUGUUUCCCGUUGAAGUUGAACACAAAGAUUGGGAGUUGCAACAUCGGUGUAAUGGAAGAUGAGUCAUGGAAAUGGCAUCUUCGAUUUGGCCAUCUUCAUUUCAAUGGCCUAAAGUUGCUGUCAAGUGGAGGAAUGGUUCGUGGUCUACCCCAGAUUGAAGUCACACGCCAAGUAUGUGAAGGUUGUGUGCUUGGCAAGCAAGCACGACUAUCAUUCCCUGUUGGUGAUACAUGGAGAGCAAAGGCACCACUGCAAAUGGUACACACGGAUAUAUGUGGUCCAUUGGAUCCUAUUCUUAUGGAGGUAAAUAGGUAUUUUAUUACUUUCAUUGAUGAUUUCAGUAGGAAGACUUGGGUUUAUUUUCUCAAGGAGAAGUCGGCUGCCCUAAAAAUCUUCAAGGAGUUCAAGGCACUCACAGAGGCUGAAAGCAACCACAAGCUUGUGGCUGUGAGAUCAGAUAGAGGUGGAGAGUACACCUCCAAUGCUUUCCAAGCAUACUGCAAGGAGCAAGGAAUUAGGCAUCAACUGACUGCUGCCUAUACCCCACAGCAAAAUGGGAUAGCCGAAAGAAAGAAUCGAACCAUCCUUGACAUGACAAGGUCCAUGCUUAAGGAGAAGAAUUUGCCAAAAGAAUUGUGGGCAGAAGCUGUAGCUUGUUCGAUUUAUUUGUUGAAUCGAUGUCAAACAAAGAGUGUCAAAAGGAUGACACCACAAGAAGCUUGGAGUGGAUAUAAGCCGAGUGUUGCACACCUAAGAGUUUUUGGGUGUGUUGCAUAUGCUCAAGUUCCAGAAGCCAAGAGGAGAAAGCUCGAUGAUCGAGGUGAGAAGUGUGUGUUGGUGGGCUAUAGUGAAGAGUCCAAGGCAUACAAGCUCUACAACCCACUAACUGGCAAGCUAGUGGUUAGUAGAGAUGUCAUCUUCAGUGAGGAAGAGGCAUGGAAGUGGAACAACAAAGAAGUCAGUAAAGAGAAAGAUCGUCUCCACUAAUUUUGAAGAACCAGAAGUUGUACCACCUGUUGAGCAACAACCUGCUCAAACACCACAACAACUCCAUUGCACAGAACUGCAAGGAGUGGUCCUACAUCUAGUGAAGAAAGCAGCUCUUCAACUCCAGUGUGAGACUAAGAAGUCUCACCGAGAUAUAUGGACAAGAAGAAGAAGAAGAAACCAACCUUUUCUGCUUGUAUGCAGCCCACGAGCCUCUCUCAUUCAAUGAAGCUGUGGAGAAGAUCGUUGGAGAAUAGCCAUGGAGGAAGAAAAUCCAUGCCAUCGAGAAGAAUGACACUUGGAGUUGACAAAGCUCCUACCAAAUCAGAAGGCAAUUGUGUGUCAAGUGGGUGUACAAGAUCAAACGCACUGCAGAUGGGAGUGUGGAUCGGUACAAAUCAAGGCUUGUAGCAAAGGGCUACAAACAAAAGUAUGGAGUGGACUAUGAUGAAGUCUAUGCUCCAGUUGCAAGACUUGACACGGUAAGAUUACUAAUCUCUCUUGCCGCUCAUUUCAUAAAUGGAAAAUUUAUCAACUAGAUGUCAAGUCAGCCUUCCUUAAUGGAGUACUUGAGGAAGAAGUGUACGUGGAACAACCAGAAGGCUUCCAAGUACAAGGAGAGAGAAGAAAAGGUGUAUCGUUUGAAGAAGGCUUUGUAUGGCCUCAAGCAAGCACCACGAGCUUGGAACUCAAGGAUUGACAACUACCUUCACCAAAAUGGAUUUUCAGAAAUGUCCAUACGAGCAUUCAGUUUACAUGAAGAAUGGUGCAAAAGGGGAGUUCUUAAUUAUUUGUCUCUAUGUAGAUGACUUGUUGUUUACAGGAAACAAUGAAGCAAUGUUCUGUGAGUUCAAGCAAUCCAUGUUCAGUGAAUUCGAGAUGACUGACAAUGGAUUAAUGUCAUACUUUCUUGGCAUAGAGGUGAAGCAAGAAAGUGACGGUAUCUACAUUCUCAACAAAAGUACAUGAGAGAUAUAUUGGAGAAAUUCAAUAUGGAUAAGUGCAAUAUUGUCAACACUCCAGUUGCAACUGGAUUGAAGCUGUCCAAGGAAGGAGAAGGUGAGUUUGUAAACUCAACCGUGUACAAAAGCUUGGUUGGAAGUCUAAGGUACCUUACAAUCACAAAGACCUGAUAUAGUUUAUGGUGUUGGACUCGUGAGUCGGUACAUGGAAAUACAAGGGAGUCUCAUUGGCUGGUUGCCCAAGAGAAUCUUGAGGUACAUAAGAGGUACUCUAAAACUAUGGUCUGUUUUAUAAUUUUUGGUGAAGAUGCAAAAUUAUUUUGGUUAUUCAGAUAGUGAUUGGGGAGGUGACCAAGAUGAAAGGAAAAGCACAACUGGCUAUGUGUUUUUUCUAGGAUCAACAGCUUUCUCAUGGACUUCAAAGAAGCAAUCAAUUGUUGCUUUGUCAUCAUGUGAAGCCGAGUAUGUUGCUGUAGCCUCAACAGUAUGUGAAGCAAUUUGGUUAAGAAAUCUAUUGAAGUCAGUGUGUCAUCCACAAGUGGAAUCGACUGUGAUUCAUGUGGAUAACAUGUCUGCAAUCAAGCUUGCAAAGAAUCCUGUUCAACAUGGAAGGAGCAAGCACAUUGAUACCAGGUUCCAUUUUCUAAGGGACCAUGUGAAGCAAAAGACAAUAGAGCUUGUCUAUUGUCACACGAAGGAACAAGUGGCAGACAUCUUCACUAAGCCAUUACCAGUUGAAUCAUUCCGGCUAUUACGUGAAAUGCUAGGCAUGAAGGCGUUUUAAUUUGAGGGGCCAUGUUGGAAAUUCAAAUUAAAAGUCAUGUCAUCUGUCCAUGUGAUGCUAACCUUUCUUUACAGAUUGUUUCCAGCAAAAUAUAAUCAUCAUUGCUCCUUCAUUAUUCAGCCGAAUGGUGAUGAAAGACAGCAAGUGUGCUGCCAUGUGAUGUGCUAGCAGGAAGACAGCAGUGUGCUGCCAUGUGCUAGUCGAAUCUGUGUUAUUUGCAGCUGGAAAGACAGCUGCUGUGUGCUAGCCGAAUGUAGACAACCUGGAAUACAUUUGGUCUUUUCAUUUUCACGUUCCCAUGUGUUAAAGACAGCAGAUAUGCUGCUGUCUGUGUGCUGUCAAUGGAUGGUGUAAAGGUGUAGGUUGUCUUGUAUUUAAGGAAGCCUCUCGUAAGGCUUCAGUGUGCAUAAGAAAAAUCCCAUCUGAUUUGUCAUUCAGUUCUUGAAGUGUAUUUGCAAUCUGUUUUUAAUAUCAAAGUGCCUUGUUUCCCAAAGCUUGUAGCUUCCCUCAUUUCUCUAUUUUUGUCCAAUUUUAUUGAGAGUGAAAGUGAGAGGUGUGAUAGAGUUUGUAAACUUAUCACCCACAUAUUUUGGUAUUGAGUUAGUAAACUUCUCAAUACCAACAGCUACAACAAGCGAACAAAAUGAGUGAAACAAAUUUAAAAUUGUGAUCCACACACUUCCAAUGCGCCUCUGGAGCCCGAAUUUUAUUCCAAGCAACUCCCAAUCAACCAGCAUUUCGUUUGCAUUUUCGUUAUACAUUAGUAAUUGAAUUUUUGUUAGAAAGUAAUUCUGCCCCCUCAAUACAAAACGCGGUAAGCUCUUAGUUCGAUCUUCACCUAAAGCUCUACAUGAUCUCUCCGUUCAAGGCCUAAACCCUAUAUUUCAUUUCCCUUUACACACAUCCUUCUAAGUUUUCUACUUUUGCUCAAAAAUUCGAAAUUUUACUUUGCGUAUUAUCAAGUGAAAUAUUUUCCCACAUUUUCAUGGUUUUUAUGAACAAUCAAACACUUUUCAUAAGGAUUCGACGUAAACUAGCAGUGAAGGCUGUCGACUACCUGACGCCCUCCCCCUCCUUCUUUAUCCGGGCUUGGACCAGCAAUGUAAGAUAAACUUUAUGAACAAUCAAACACUAAGCAGAAAAUAAUUUAUGAAAAUAUUAAAAAGGUUUAAAAAGGAAGAAGCUUUUUACCAUGAGCGACGGUGAUGACGUUGAGCAAGAUGAUGCUCCUAACUUUCUUGGAAGCGAAAAAGAUCCUUCGCCAUAGAGAUCGUUUGCCGAACAAGGACUUGAAGCUUAGGGUCGUUACUCUCCUUUCGUCUUGCGAUCGAUUUCCACUAGAAUUUUUAACCAAUGUGGUUGGGUUCGGAUUCCGAUUCGGAUUCGGACGAUCCAAUUUCACUGGCUUUCAAAGUCCCUGUUUGGCAUUAGGUUUAGAGCUACUACUAGGAGAAGAAGGAGGAGGAGGAGGAGGAGGAGGAGAAGAAGCGGUUAAACGGGAUCGUUUCCGGGGAUUUGUGUGGAAGGAAGAGAAAGUUGAGAAGUUAGAAGAAGAAGAGCAUUUGAUGGCGGUGGUGGCGCAAAUUGAUGAGUUCCACGACCACCCGAAUGGUGAUUGGGCAGCCAUGCCUGAGCACUGGAGCACUGAACCCAGAACAACUGCGCGUUGUGGCUGGCUGGGAUUAAUUACCAGUUACACCUGAAAUUACUGAAACACCCUCGUUGAGAUUUUGGUUAAGGAAGUUGAUAUUUUGGUCAAGGAGUAAACUGUCGGUUUACCCCCUGAACUUUUACCUCACUUUCGAUUUCCCCCUGAACUUUUCCAUUGGAAAAUUAAGGACUCAAACUAAUUUUUUUAGCCAAUUUGCCCCCUACCGUUAGUUUUUCAUAUAUUCUAUCCAUAUUUCCGUUAAGUGAGACCAUGUGCACAACAUGUGAGGGUAGUUAAAUUAUUUCACUCUUAAAAAUGAUUAAAAAACUGAAAAUAAUAAAAAAAGCAAAACUUUCCCUCUAUUUUUUCCUGCUAAUUCCUAUCCUCGAUUUUAUUUUUCCCUCUCAUUCCUAUGCAUGAGAAAUGACAUAUAGUGUUAUUGUCUACCAUUUUUAUUUUCUCUAACAAAUUAAUAAUUUGACAAAUGCUAAUGGUGCUAUUGUCUCCAAAGCAGUGCAUUAAUAUAAGAAACCCUAGUCUUUUUUAUGGACAUGUUUCUUAUAUUAAUGCACUGCUUUUGAGACAAUAACACCAUGAGCAUUUGUCAAAUUAUUAAUUUGUUAGAGAAAAUAAAAAUGGUAGUACAUGCUUCAAAAAAAAGAUUAACUUAGCUACUUAUGAAGACAAUAACACCAUAUGUUAUUUCUCAUGCAUAGGAAUGAGAGGGAAAAUUAAAAUUGAGGAUAGGAAUUAGCGGGAAAAAAUAGAGGGAAAAUUAUUAUUAUUUAUUUAUUUUUAGUUUUUAAUCAUUUUUAAAUUGAAAUGACUUAACUAUCCUCACAUGUUAUGCACAUGAUCUCACUUAACAGAAAUAUGGAUGGAAUAUAUGAAAAACUAACGGUAGGGGGCAAAUUGGCUAAAAAAAUUAGUUUGAGUCCUUAAUUUUCCAAUAGAAAAGUUCAAGGGGGAAAUCGAAAGUGAGGUGAAAGUUCAGGGGGUAAACCGACAGUUUACCCUUUGGUCAAGUCUCCGACUAUCAGUUAAAAUAUCUAUAAAAAAUUAUUAGGACGGUUCAGUUCGGGUUAUCUAAAAGUUAAUAUAAAUAAUGUUGGGCAGAUUAAAUUUUCAGAUCAAAUUAAUAAAAAUGAAAAUGUUAAUUAAUAUUUAAUAAUAAUUUAAUCACCAACUAUCAUUUUACAUGAUUUAUAAAAUAUAAUUUAAAUAGAUGGUAGCUUUUGUUCUUUAGUGCUUUUGCUAAAAGCUCUUUUAUCAUUAUGAGAUUGAGACUUUAAUUAAAAAACUAAGUUUGAGACUUUAAUUAAAAAACUAAGUUCUUCUCGAAAAAUAUAAGCAUGCCAAUAGAUUGAACUUGUUUAAAACAUCAGCAUUAUAAUGAUAUCACACUCAAUUCAUUAUUUCUCAGAGAAUUAAAGACAAACCAAAUCGGAAACCGAAAUAAGCAACAGUGCUAACUAGCUUGCUCAACUCUCAGGCCUUUAUUCUUGAAGAUAGUAAUAUUACUCAAUGUUCCAUAUCGUAUAUGUAUGCAUAAAUCUUGUGCUUGGCGCUUAUUCCUUGAGAAGAUGUGCAUCAACAUCUUUAAUGACAGUGACCGCAAAGCUGAGGAACUUCUGUGGAGGCGGAUCGUUCUCGUUGAGUUUUUCAUAUUCUAAAGUAAUUUUCACAGAACUUCCUUCACUAUUUGGAGUGAUGAUCUGGUAAGUGACCUUGAAGCUUUUGUAAUUGUCCAGCACAUGUGAUCCUUCCAAAGCUAUAAGACUCACCCGAUUGUUUGCUUCAUCUAUUUCCGCCUUUUCCUUGUAAGUCUCGACAUUUCCAUCUAUACGUCACAUGGAAAAGUACCCGGUCACCAGAGUCUCGACAUUUUCAUAGAAGGUUUAAAAAAUUAAUUGUUAGUUUGAUUAGUUAGGAGGAGAGAGGAAUGUUAUUAAUAUUACCUAUGGUGUAUUUCCAGAGCUUGACAGAGCCAGAAGUUACCCAGUCACCUUCAUGUACCGUAACAUCGUGUAUUUUAUCAGAGGCUGCUUUGGGGACGUCAUGGUGCUGGUAGCUGAUGAAUUUGUACAGCUGAUCAGCGUUGGCUUUGAUCUCUACCUCAGCCUCCA
rnacentral:lncRNA from 1 species